UGGGAUAAAUCAUUGAGAUGCAUGGCAGUGUGAAUAUAGUAGACAAAAUCAUUGAGACACAUGGUGGUGUGAACAUAGUAAACUUCAUGGAAGCAAUGAAGCUUGAAAUUGAACGUCUGCAGCUGAAUCUUUCUGCAGCUGAAAGGGAUAGAGCUUUAUUGUCAAUCGGAACUGAUCGUGCCUCUAUAAAUCCAAAUGUAUUGCUUGAUGAAUCUUACAUGGGAAGACUGUGUCGAGUAGCAACCACUCUUGCAUUACUUGGCCAAACUUCCCUAGAAGACAAAAUUGUUGGUGCAAUUGGCCUUGAGAAUAGUGAUGAUAGUGUUUUAGACUUCUGGAAUAUUACUAGAAUCGGAGAGAGUUGUUCUGGUGGCUGGUGGCGGGUGCAAGGUUCGUGCAGAAACUAAGGUGCCUGCUCUUGCUUCCUCAACUGCAACAUCUGUUGGAGCUUCACAAUCCCCUUUGUUGUGUUCUCAAUGUGAAAGAAAAGUUUGCAAAGUUUGUUGUGCAGGAAGAGGAGCUCUACUGUUUUCAAAUUAUAAAUCAAGGGAUGUGACCAACUACAAUGGCUUCUCAAGUCAGAGUGGAUCAAGCCAUGGAAGCCAAGUUGAUGUACCUACCAGUCGUUCACUAACACUGGAUGGCGUUGUCUGUAAACACUGCUGCCAUGAGAUUGUGCUUGAUGCAUUGAUGUUGGACCAUGUUAGGGUCUUGAUUAGCUUGCGAAGAAGUUCCCGUGCAGACAACACAGCAUACAAUGCUUUGAAUGAGGUUGUUGGAUCCUGCUUAAAGGAUAGUCUUUCUGAAAGGAUUCAGUCUUCCGAUAACGUGCAAGCUGCUGAAGUCCUUCACCAAUUAUGUGGUGGACAGGAAUCAGUUGCUGAAUUUCCAUUUGCUAGCUUUUUGCACUAGGUAUGUUCUUGGUUUGUAUUCAGUUCUCAUCAUGUUAUGUUUUCCUUUUAAAUUUCUUUUCUUGAUUAAAAUUUUUAGAAAUAUGUUUUAGUAUUUGUUCUUAUGAUAUAUGCCCAGAACAUUCAUCCCACUUAUCCAUGAGAAUCCUUGUCUGGUUUGAUUUUCAAUUGAGACAUUUUUGGGAACCCUGAGCAGGUUCCAUAUGCUAAUAAUCUUUGAGGUAAGGUGUUGUAGGAUGCCUUGAGAAGCUAAAAACCAAUUACAAGGAAAAGCUCUUGCAUUGUUUUGUGCAAUCUGUGUGCUAGCAAGUCAUGUCUCUAAUAAUUUCAUAGUUCGCUUGAUUGGAAUUUUUUAUCUUGAUAUGGAUUGUUUAUUCUAGAUUCCUUGGUGCCACUGUAGGUUGAAACAGCAAAAGAUUCAGCACCGAUUUUGUCACUGCUUGCUCCAUUAAAUUCUGGAUCAAGGCACUCAUAUUGGAGAGCUCCACCUAGUACUACUUCUGUUGAAUUUGUUAUUGUUCUCGGUUCUGUUUCUGAUGUCAGUGGGGUUAUCUUGCUUGUUAGUCCUUGCGGCUAUCUGUGGCUGACACUCCGAUGGUAAGUGCCAUAUUUAUUCCCUUAUUUCCUUGUUGUUCAAUAAAUUUGGUGAUAAGCCAAGUGGCCUUAAUAAUGAAGCCCAGUACCAGGGGUGGUGGGUAAUCGAUAUUCAACUUGUGAAUAUUCCUAAGCAAGCACGGAAUCAACAUAGACGUCGGCAAAAAUUCUCCAUGCUAUUAUAACGAAAGUCAUAUUUUGAAAUGAUUAAAAGAGUCCCUUUGUAGUGCCAUUGCCAAAGAAAUUGCAGCUGGGGGUUUAGUUUCAUGUAGGUUAGUUUCCGAUAAUAAACUUUCCAUUUCAUUAAUUGCUGAUGAAAAAACCAAGUAAGAACAGUUUCGUUGCUCGUCAUUUAUGUAUAUUUUGGUAAACUGUAAUUUUAAAUUCUCAACGAUCUUCCCUUGGUAGGUAAGAAGAUGGUCCACUCACUUUAUAUUUAUGAUUGUAGAUCAGGUUUCUAUUGGUUUGCCUUUAUCAUUGGGAACCCAAGUUUGAUAUUAACAGAGAUCACGUCAAUAAUAUCCUAUUUGGGUAGAUGUGGGUGAGGAUUUAAAAUCAAAUUUGAAAUUGGGGGAAAGAAGAGAAAAGGAACCACAAUAAUUAAACAAAAUAUUAGGAACUAUUCUGAUGAGUUUUAAUCUCGAGAGGAACAAUUUUCAAAUGCAAAUUUAACUGCUAGAGAAAUUGUAGCUUUUUGUCAUUAGUUAAGAGGAAAGAGAAUAAGAACUAUCCAGCCCUUUCCUUCAUGAAUGUGUGUUGAGGUUGCUGUAUUAUUUAGUCAGUAUUUGUAAUUUUCUUCCCUGCAGUGCUCUCUGCCUCCUGAAUUUGCUACUGAGUCCAUAUUUUUCUUUGAGCUGUUGCUUCCUAUUGCUGUUACAAGUACAAAUCUGGGCAAGCAAUAAGAUACACCGGGAGGAAAGGUCAUCAAUGGGAAAAUGGGAUGUCCAAUCCCUCAUCACAUCUUCUUCAGACUUGUAUGGUCCAGAAAAGACAGCUAGUGUUGAAAAAUUACCUAGGCAUGUAAAAUUUACUUUUAAGAAUCCUGUUAGGUGCCGCAUUGUUUGGAUCACAUUACGUCUUCAGAGACCUGGUUCGGCUUCAGUUAAUUUCGGGAAGGACUUCAGUCUUUUGUCUCUUGAUGAAGAUGAAAACCCCUUUGCGCAAGUAGACAGACGUGCUUCAUUUGGAGGAGCAGUUGAAAAUGAACCAUGUAUUCAUGCCAAAAGAAUUCUUGUAGUCGGAAGCCCAGUAAAAAGGGAGGGGCUUACCUCAUCACAGAGCUCUGAGCAGCUAAGUAUUAGAAACUGGUUGGAUAGAGCUCCACAAAUGAGUAGAUUCAAGGUAUUAGUUGCUUUCACUCUUUGUUCAUUCAUAAUUCCAGCUUUCUGCUUGAUGCCCUGCCUCUGAUAAACCUCUUUUUUUCUCUUCAGGUCCCAAUUGAGGCCAAGAGAUUGAUGGACUACGAUCUCGUCUUGGAACAAUAUCUACCUCCAGCGUCACCUUUGCUUGCCGGAUUCCAUCUAGACGCUUUCAGUGCAAUAAAACCUAGGGUUACCCAUUCACCUUCCUCAGAUUCAGAUAUCUGGGACAAAUCAGUAACAUUUUUAGAAGACAGGUACAUCUCUCAAGCUGUGUUGUAUUUACAAGUAUCCGCACUCCAGGAACCACAUAACAUGGUAACUAUUGCGGAAUAUCGACUGCCGGAGGCUAGAGCCGGAACGCCAAUGUACUUUGAUUUCCCAUGACCGAUACAGUCCCGACGAGUUUCAUUCAAGCUUCUUGGAGAUGUUACAGCAUUUGCAGAUGAACCUUCAGAACAAGAUGAUUCAGGAUUGAGAGCUCCACUUGUGGCCACAGGUUUGUCUUUGUCAAACAGAAUCAAGUUAUAUUAUUAUUGUGAUCCUUAUGAGCUCGGAAAAUGGGCAAGCCUUUCUGGAGUUUGAUCGUUAUUUAUAUGUCAGAGAAAGGGUUUUGGGUUUGAUUUUGAUUUUGAUUUGUAAUUUUUGUCAGUUUAUUGAAAUUUUUUGUUGUAUAAAAGCAGAAUGUAAAGGUAUAAAAAUUCAUUGAUGCUGCAAUGUCUGUGCUUUUGAGAAAGAAGAAUUAAUUGUCUUUUCUAUGCCAUUGGAGUUUCCCACUGCUUGUAUACUUGGGCUGUCGAAUGCUCUGUGAACCUUAAGGGCUAUAAAGUAAUUUUCAAGACUGAAGGAUUUAUUAAUCGAGUUCAAAAGAUUGUAAGUUGGUGACUGGUGAGCGUUGGCAUUUAAAAAUCAAUUGUUAUUCUCUCAAUAAUCUCUCUCUUCUCCUCGUGAAGUGUUUUCUUUUUCGAGUGAAGGUGGUUUUCCACUUGCAUACGUCGGGGGUCUUAUGAUAUGUAAUGUGUGAAAUUUCUUUCUCAUUUUACCAUAAAGAAAAAUGUUGUAAUAAUCUAAAGCUCGAGUCUUAAAUUAUCUUAAAUUUAUAUUUAGAGUGGAGCUAUUCGCAACCCUAUAUUAAAAUUACAAUUAAAAACAAUUGAAAAUUAAACACUUAUAGAUUCUUUUUACAGCAAAUUACUUAAUUCAUAAUCAAUCCUUUAAAAAAAAAAUACAUAUGUUAUUUCUUAUCUAACUAAAAUAAAUUGUACAAAUUUAGAAUAAUCUAUUGUUCUCUUUUGAUUUCUUAUUAUUUAAAUAUUUUUAUACAUAAAGUUACUUUGAAAUUAUAAUUUGAAAUAUGUGUUAUUUCAGCCAAUGAUUAACACUAAAAAAUUUAUCACCCAUAUAACUUUUUAAUUUGUGUGUAGGGUAAUAAUAAAAUCGAAAAUAAUUAAAAAAAUAGUACAAUAAUGAUUUUUAACAAUAAAACAAAUCAAAUGAAAAUUGAAAAUUUAGAAAAGUGUAUCUAAAAAAAGGAACGUUUUCAAAAAUAAAAUGAAUAUAACUAAAAAGAGAUUUUAUGAGGAGAUCACUGGGGUGCCAAUAGUCCAACUUGUAAUUAAGAAUCUCCCAUUAUAUUGUCAACCAAAAAGACACUUGAAUAAGAAGAAGAAUUUAUCAGUUUGAUUUUAUUUGUAGAUCCAACAUUUCUCAUAUCCUGAACGCCUUUUCGUAUCAAAUUAAAACAGUAGUAGCAAAAUCGUAGUAUUAAAAUCGUAGUGCACAUUCAAUUAACCAACUAAUAGUCUUUGGUAUAAGAUUUUAUAUUAGGUAGCCAAGUAGGUUGUCCAUCCCACUCAGACAUGCACGAAAGCUAAAUUCAUCAAAUGAAUUACUUAAGAAGUAUUUGAUAAUUUUGAAAUUAUCAAAAGGUGUUAUACUAUUAAAUAUUUUUAUACUUAAAAUUGUUUUGAAAUUAUAAGUUCAAAUUAAAAUAAUAGUAGCAAAAUCGUAGUGCACAUUCAAUUAACCAACUAAUAGUCUAAGAAGCAAAGAGAGGAUUACAAGUUCACAACACCAUUACAAAGGAUUCAAAAUUCCCACACGAAUACAUCAAUGUACAGAUUAUAAACAAUCCGAAUUGGACACAAGAAAAACCCUUCAAUAGAUUGCUUGCCUUCCCAAUGCUAUAUACUGUGCAAACUGCGCAUUGGCCAAGAAAAUGUUUUCAAUUUAGUGUAUUUUCAAAAUGCUUAUUUUCUCAUAGUAUAAAAAAUAAAAAAAAUAAGAAAGAAUUCUCACAUGUUUCAUCAGCAUGAUUAAAAUCAAAGAAGAAAGCGAGACAUAAUGUCUCUGACAUAAUAAAAUUACAAAAAUUUCAAGGAAAAAAAAAGGUUAAAACAUGUAAUCUUCAGAAGCAUAUAAUAAAAGAACACUUCCACAAAUUACUACAAUUUCAUGCAGUAGAGAUUGAAGAGUUGAAUUCCACUAAUUUUAAUAAUGAAAACAACAACAGAGGAUUAACUGAUGCUUUGACUUAUUAGUUCUGCAGAGCAUCUCCAAAAGCCUAUAUAAAUUUUACUCUUCAAAUACUUAUUUGCUUACCUAUGUGGCAAAUAAAAGGGUGAAAAAAUAUGAUAUUCUCCAAAAGACUCUUCAAAUAGAAAAAAGUUAAUAUUAUUUUAAUCAUAUAAUUAAUUUUUUAAAGAAAAAGUCAAUAGCAAUUAAAGCACUUCUCUCUCUUUCUUCAAUGAAAAGUAAUAAAAUAUAAAUUGAAGAGGGAGAAAUUAACUCUCCAAAUUUGAAGAGAGAGAAUUAAUUCUUAUUUAAAGAAUCUUAAUUGAAGUGUCUUUUGGAGCUUUAAAUAUUGAUGUGGCUCUUCAAAUAAGUAAUAAAAUCUUAUUUGAAGAGCCUUUAAAUAAGGUGCUUUCAAAAGCAAAAUGGAAUACAUAGAUAAAAACAUCAUCUUAAACAAAUCACAAUCUAGAAUUAGAGCAUUUUCGACAUACCUAAGGAAAACGAAUACGUGAAAACGGGUGAUUCAUUUGUUAAGGAGUGUUGAUUUGGUCGUCUCUGCAAAUUCUUUAGGGACUCGGUUCCAAUUCCUCAUCAUCAAAACUGUAAUAUAAUUCCCCUUCAUCAGAACUCGAAUCGAUGCAAUAUAAUUCCCCUUCAUCAGAACUCGAAUCAAAUUCACUUGCAGCAGUUCCACUCGCGCUUGGCAAAUCAUCCAAUUUCCAAACUUCGGUAGCAAAAUUGAGAGUAAAAGUGUUGGCUUUGAUCUCGCUGGGAUUUGCAUAUACUGGACAUACUCCGCAACGUUUUAUCUUCUGACCCUUUUGGACCUUUAUUAUGUUUCGGUAACGCUCAUUGAAGAACUUAAGUGAGACAGUUGUAUGAUGGUAACCAUCAGGAAAGCCAACAUUCAAGCAAGGUUUAAAACCAAGUAUGACAUGAUCUGAAUCAUGGGGGUCUUUAAUAGAGUCCCAAUAGAAACUCAGAUCAACAUGUUUGGUUUCAGAGAGAGUCUUUAUUUCUAAGUCGGAUCGACAGUAAACGUAAAAAUAACGAGAACGAUCAGAAUAAAGUUGCUUAAAAUCAAGAACAGCACAAAAAGCAAACCCGAUUAAGUUUCUGCAAAAAGAGUGCGGUGGCAGUUGAAUACGUAUCGAAGAUCCUGAACUUUGAUUGCUGAACCAGUCAGGAAUUUCGCUCCCAGGUAAAACAAUUUGGGAUUCCCUGAGUUCAGAAAGUUUCUGUGAAACGACAUUUAAAAAAAGAAAAUUGUAAAAUGAAAACCAUGAUUUCAGAUAUAACAAAGAGGGACAGAGUAAACAAGAGAGGGAAUUUGAUACCUCGUUGUAUGCAUUUUCAUAGCCCAGUCUCAGUGAUGCUGCAAUUGCCAUACGUAGUGAAUCUGCCAAAAUCUUGUUGUUUGCUUUUCCAUCAAGUUUCAAGCAGUUAGUAAACCCAAAAUAAAUUGGUUGUGGCGUCACAUAUUCCGGAUGCCAUUGACGAAGGUCAGGAGAGGGUUUGGAUAGCUUUUCGAGUACGGAUGCAUCUAGUUCUUGUACACAUGACGGAAUCUCUGGCAAAGAUUGAAGCCGGUUGCAGUUCAUUGCAAUUAGUGACUGUAGACACAAUGGAAGUUCAGGUAAUGACCGAAGCAUGUUACAAUCCUCCAAGUGAAGAGUUUCUAAACCCAAUGGAAGUGCUGGUAAUGACUGAAGCAUGUUACAACGCCACAAGUGAAGAGUUUCUAGACCCAAUGGAAGUUCUGGUAAUGACUGAAGUAUCUUACAAUCCCUCAAUUCAAGAAAUUUUAGGCCCAAUGGAAGUUCUGGUAAUGACUGAAGCAUAUUACAAUCCUCCAAGUAAAGAUAACUUAGCCACGACAGUUGCUUGAUACUUGCAGGUAAACUCUCAAAGUUAUUUCCAUUUAAAUUGCCAAUGUUAUCCGGCAACUUAUCAAGUACAGAGCAACCACUUACGGACAAAAGUACAAGCCCCGUUUGCAAUGCCUCAAAUCCAACUUUUCAAGAUCAGUUAGGCACUCUACUGAUGAUGGAACUUCUUCUAUUGCAGUCUGGCCCAAGUUUAGCGAUGUUACUUUCCCAGAAAUCUGUGGAAACUCUAUGAGAUUAACACAAUAGGAGAAAUCAAUAGUUACUGGACAAACAAAAUGAAGAUUGCUAGGAAAAGACCUAAGACUUUUGCAGCCCAUAAAAUCCAACCUACUGAGAUACUUGAAAUUCUGGAUAUAUGAGGGAACACAAGCCAAGUUUGUAUAAUCCAAAAGAUAUGUUUCAACAUUUGGGGUUUCUAAUGGGCCUGGCAUCUUAAUGAAAUGUCGAGAAUGGCUGAGGUUAAUAGAUUUUAACUUGAAAGCUUCCUGCAAUAACAGAUAUAUAAAGACUAUAUUAAUUAAAAAGCAACAUUGAAUUCAACAAUUAAUUGCACGUAUAUUUAAAGAAAGAAAAAAUUAAUGUUUUAGUUUUAGUACAGAACUUACCUUUUCUCCUUCCCAAAGUUGCUCAACUUUACUAAAACGCAAAUUCAGUUCAACAAGGUUCUUUGGCUUGAAAUUUGAUGGCAGUGUCCUUAAGGGAUAUGUGUCCCAAUGAAGAUAUCUCAAUUUUUUAGGAAGAUAAUCUAGGCCAUUUGGAAGCUGCACUUUAGAGUAUGAAAGUUGCUCUUCAAUGCUCAUACUUAGAAACUUUUCAAUCUCAGGUACAUAAAAUUUGAGCAAUCUUAGAUUAGACAUUUUUGUGAAGGCUCCAGGGUCUAAAUUGAUGCCUUUUAUUUUGGACAAAUCCAGAAAUAUGCCUUCAAUUGCAUCGGUCCCCUUAUUAAAAAAAAAAACAAAGAAUGAGUAACCCUAAAACAGAAAAGAAACAUUCGCAAACUUUAUUAACUAAGAACUCCUUAAACAAAAACAAAUUCUGCAAUCUUUGAUUUUAUUUUUUAAAAAUAUUAAAUAUCUAUAUAUGAGAAAAGAAAAUUUUGGGGACCAUUGCAAAAUUAAACUAACCAAAAAAAAAAUUCAAAAUUUCUCUAAUUUACAAACCUGUUAUCUUAAUAUCUAGAAGUUGAGAAGACAAGGCGUAUUUGAUUGGUAUAAGAUUUCGAUUUUUUUUUUAGUCCAUAGAAUCCAAAAUGUUUGUUCAAAAUCAGGGAAAAAAACGAAAGUUAUUUUUUUUUCCACUAGCUGUAAUUGUAUCCAAGUCAAAUUGAGAUACGACCCUUUUCGAAAGGAUUUAAUCAUCUUAUAGCCUCCUUAAGAUACAUUUAAGCUAAAAGGAGUGAUUGGAGGCAGAACUUAGUGGGCCAAUCAGUUCAUUUUAUUAGCGACUGUUGCUUAAAAAAAAUUAUACUCUAAAACACACUUACUUUUUUGAAAAAAAAUAUAAUUAUAUUUAAGUAGAACCAGGUGGGCCAAUCCUCAUGGCACUCACUUUGUUCUGACACUCUUCACUAAAUUUGAAGAAAAAUAAAAUUAUACUCUUCACACUCUUAUUCAACAUUCCAAAAUUGAUAAAAUCUGGAGUUUUCUUUAAAAUUUUAAAAUUUGAAGACUUGUUCUCUUGACACCCUCAGUCAUUAAUUUUACCUAAUUAUGGUUUUGGUUGUUUUGUUCAUAAAAAUGCUUUUACUAAAGGAUGUUCUGGUAAUGAAAAAAUUUAUAAAAAAACAAACAUGGGUGUGCUGAUAUAGUUGGAAAAAUAUGAGUGCAUAACUCCAAACAAAUAAAAGAUACAUAAAAAAAAAAAAGGAGGAUUCUUACCAUAUUAUGCUUUAGUACGCGGCGGAUUUCCUUAGGAUCCCACAACCUACUGCGUCUGCCUGGCUCUUCCUCAGAUUCUUGGCGAACAAUCUCUCGGCCCAUUUCUUGCAAUAAAUCAUGCAUUUGCAAGCAGUUAUCUGACACUGUUAUAAGUGACUUGUCCACGAGGACAUCCAGUCUGUGAGACCCAGAAUCAUCAAGUAUCCUUAACACAAAAUCUUUAUCCUCUCCCUCAAGGAAACACGCAAUAUCUAGAAACAUACUCUUCACCCUGGGCGUUAAUUCUUUAAAACUAAUCUUUAAUGUAUCAUAAAUACCAUGAAUAUCAGAUUCACAAAUCCGAUUUAAGUCGUCCAAUACAUUUUCCCAAUGGCUUUUCCCCUUGAGAUACAGGGAGGAACCCAACACUUUAAGAACUAAUGGAUUGCCAUCGGCAUACCAUACAACCCUCCAUGAGUGCCGGUAGAGAUCUUCAGGACAAUGAUUUUCUUUAACAGCGAAGUUACAAAAAUGCUCGAAAGCCUCAUCAAAUUUCAAUCCAUUGACCCUAUAUAUUUUCUCCACUCCAAAUUUUUCGAGGACUCGUUUAUCCCUGGUGGUUACAACAAUUCUACUUCCUGGACCAUAUUGAUCAAGCCCUCCAAUCAAACCCUCUAAUUGUUCAUCUUUAUUCACAUCAUCGAGUACAAUCAACACCUUCAUGCGUCGGACCCUCCCUUUAGUAAAUUGUGGAAUAUUGGGACCAGCUACUUCAAGUUUUUCACUUAAUAUUGUCGAAAGCAUUUCCUUUUGUAGGUCUUCUAGGCCACCCUCUGUUUCUGAUUUUCUCCUAACAUUUUUUGCAAAGUAUUUACCAUCAAACUCACCAGAGAAUUGAUCGAAAAUAGCUUCAGCAAGGGUAGUUUUGCCUAUACCACCCGUGCCCCAAAUUCCAACAAUAUGGACAGUAUCCCACAAAUCCAUACACAGAAAUGGUUUAAUCUGCUCAAUUCGUGAAUUUAAUCCAACUAGGCCAUUGGAUGAGUCCGUUGAGACUGUUAUUUUUUCCAACUUCUUCAAAACAUCAUCGACAAUUUUGUUUACAAGUUCCGCAUCGUGCCUAAUAUAAAGGUGCAAAGAUGCAAAAACAUUGAGUCAAAUCGGGCCAAGACAGAAACAGAGAAAAGAUGAAUUAGGAAAGAGAGUUACCUGAAUUUCGUGGAUUCAUGGCCGGCUAGAUGGGAUGUUUCUGUCAGUGCAUCCCUCCACUUCUGAACCAUUUCUGGUUUAUCUUCGAACUGUUUUUUGAGCUCAUCAAAACGGUCUCCAAAUGUUCCGUUUUGAUGCCGCACAUCAGAUGGACUUACUCCAUAGAAGACUGGAAUAAUAAUUUGGCCGUUUGUGUUCUUGCAUUCAAGAAUCUUGACAAGUUCAUUCAGGCACCAUUUUGAAGAAGCGUAGUCCUUUGAGAAAAUGACCACCGAAAUUUUUGAACCUUGGAUUGCGUUCAAAAGGGCGGGUGAAAUCUCAUCUCCUCGCCUAAGCUCUUCAUCAUCAAUAAAUGUUUUGAUUUUUUUUCCUUCAUACAAUUUAUCAUAAAGAUAGCAAGUAAAGCUCUUACGAGUGUCCUCCCCUCUAAAGUUGAGGAAGACUUCAUAAUUGCAAGAAGAAGAAGAGGAAGCCAUGAAGGAAAUUCUAGAAAUUUGAAAGUAGAUUUAGGGAAUUAUAAAAAGCUGAAGGAAAUUGGAAUUUUGUACAGUUUCUCCAGCGAGGAACUUUCACCUCCGCACUAGAUUCUUAAGUUUUGAAAAUUAUGAGACCUUUAUAUUGGAAGAUAUUAUAAUCGAAUCAAAACUUAAAAUUUUAAUAUUGUUAAUCUUUAAUCUUUAAAAAAAAAUUACCUCGCCGUUACAGUUUGGAUUAAGAUUUGAGCAAGCAUUUACCUAAAUUUUAUCUCCGCCUGUAAAUUCUUAUGUUUUAAAAAUUAUGAGACCUUUAUAUUGGGAGAUAUUAUAAUCGAAUCAAAAUUUUGAAUUUCAAUAUUAUUAUUCUUUUAAAAAAAAAAUUGAGAUAACAGAGUGAUUGAUAAUAUAGGAGAACUUGUCUAGGCAAGCACAUGCAUACACAGAAAUGUGAUGGAUUCAAAAAGAAAUUAAAGUGAUAAUGUACGUGGAUCCUUAAAAUAAAAAGCGAAAUCGCUUGGUGGCCCAGUAAAAUUAGAGAACAAAGAAGAAUUAGUUAUUGAUAUACAAAAGAGAAACACUCCAAAAUUUCAAGCAAAAAUAGUUUCAUAUACCAUUUCAAUUUUGUAAGGGGUGAGGUUUUGAAUUUCAAUAGUUUCCUCUAAAAUCAAAAGGCAACAAUUAAGUUAGAAAGAGCAAAGAAGACUUAUUAGUACCUUAUUAAAGGUAACAUUAUGGAACUUUCAAUUUCAUUACCUCACUCUUCAAUUUUUAUUGAGAUUUGUGCAAGAAUUUACCUAAAUAUUACCUAAAAUUGAGAUAUCAGAGUAAUAUCAAAUAGAAAAACUUGCCACGGUAAGCCAAAAGUCUAGUCAACCACAUGCAUAAAGCUAAAUAGAACAACUAACAAGAGAACAGAGAAACGCGUGGGUCCCUAAAAGAAAAGGCAAGCACAUAGAUGAAAAAGCCAUUACAUUUCGAUUUUACAUGUCAUUAAUUUCUGUAACACGGUGUGUGGCAGCAUAUGCACAAUCAAGUGAGGCAAAAGGGAUUCGAUUAUCGUGGCAGAACAUGAACGAGGACGCGUGAUGAAUAAUUCCUUCGAUAAAACGAAAAACAAACGCAGAGAAAAGAAUUUCUUAUAUGACAAGAAAUCAAAGAAAUCAAAGUAAUGUUUCAUUUUCCCUUCCCUACCUUUUUUUUGUUUUAUUUUUAUAGCAAAGAAUUAUAUCAUGAAAAGAAUCAAUUUAAUCACCUUUUCUAGCAGCACAAUUUUUCUUUUAUAAAAUUUGACCAGGGAGACAAAGAAUAAUUAUUCAUACCUUCAUCACUAAGGAAAUACUUUUCGGUAUGGCUAAGGUGAGAAAAGGCUUUCCACAAAAACUUGUACUUUGUAUUCCUGUAAAUUUUCUUUAAAGUCAAUAAAAACCAUAAGUUCUUUACAAUAACCAUCUCUUUGAUAAAAAAGUGCCGUAUUCCUUUAGAAUUUAAAACCGGCAAAACUGAAUCAGUGUCUUUGAAGAGACAUAAUGGUCGUAAUUCUUUAAAUGAGUUGGCUAUGGAAAUCGUUAUCCAAGAUUCUUUUACGCCAUAUUCUUUCGUAAACCAAAAUUCAUUUUGGAAUACUCUGUUGAGAAUGUCAAAUAAAACGGCAUUGAAGGAAGUUUUCAAAGGCAGAAUCUGCACUUGUCAGAUGGAUGAUCUGCACUUGUCAAAGACACAAUCCGCGUCGAACGAAUCGACACAUUUCCUUUCGUAUUCACAUAUGCAAUUUUUGAAAAAAUGUAGCUUUUACAUCUAUAAAUAACACUCAGUGUAUAAUGUUUUAUUCAAGAAAAGAAAACAAGUUUCUUCAUGGUAUCAGAGCCAUGAAUACGCUCAAGUUUCUUCAAGUUUCGCUGCUCUGUUUGUAACAAAAACAGAGAAAACCAAAAUCUUCCCACAACCAUUUUUUCCACCAUUUUCUUCCUUAAAAUCAUUCCUACCAUUAUAGAAAUCCAUGCCGAUCAAAAAACAAGCCACCCAUACGUAAAAAACUUGAGUUUACAAAUUUAUCAACAAUCUCAUAAAUUAGAUACAAAACAACGUGAUGUUAAAUCUCCAGAACUGCAGCAGUCUUAAAACGACAUGUCGUUUCUAUUCCAUCAGAACCGACAUAUCAUUUCUUUAAGCAGAGGCCAAACGACUUGUCGUUUUUUUUUUUAUCUAAAAAAGUUAUUUUUUCUUAUUUCAAUCUAGACGCCAAAAAAAAAACAAAAAAAUGGAGAAAACUCCAACUGAAUCUGAUCCUGUUGUCAUUCAAUCUGUUCAAUCUGAUGAGUAUUUAAUGUUGGAAUUAUCUUCACUGAGACAAACUACGAUAUUUGGUCUUAAAUAAUGGAGUUGCAUCUCGCAGAAAGAGAAAAACUCUCAUAUAUUUGUAGCAACACAAAGUCAUCUGAGGAAUCUUCAAAGGAAUAUGAGAAAUGGUAUAGUGAGAAUGAAAAGGUAAAAAAAUGGUUACUCAUAUCCAUGUCUCUGGAUAUCAUGAAGUGAUAUUUACGAAUUCCUACAGCCUACGAAAUAUGGGAUGCAUUAUCAAAAGCCUUCUAUGAUGGAAUCGAUGAAUUACAAGUUUUCACUCUAAACCAGAAGGCGUCUCUACCAAGAAAAAUUGACAGCCACUAUCUAAAUUCUACGGAGAAUUGAUCGAAAUAUUUUGAGAACUUGAUCACCGAGAUAAAGUGAUCAUGAAGGAUCCAGAAGAUGUUGUAAUAUACAAAAGGUCUGUUGAAAGAUUGAGAGUUCACAUUUUUCUUGUUGGGCUAGAUGAAGAAUUUAACCAAGUUCGUGGAGAAAUUCUAUGAAAAGAUAUUAUCCCAGACUUAGAAGAAUGUUAUUCUUUGAUCUGAAGAGAAGAUGUACGGCAAAACAAACUAAACAAGAAGGUCGACUCAGAAACGUUUGCUAUGAUAGCACGACAACAGCCUCAAAGGAAGCUUGUUGACAAGUCAUCACUCCAUUGCACUCAUUGUAGGAAGAAGGGUCAUAUGAAAGCACAAUAUUUUGAAAUCAUUUGAUAUCCUGACUGGUGGGAUACUUGAAAGAAAAACAUCAAGCAGGGAUAAAAAACUGCAGUAGCUGAAUCCACAUCCACUACAGAUCUUAGAAAAGAAUCUUCAGUGCAAAUCGCAACCUCUGUUAGUCCAGGUAAGGCCCUUAAAACUCUUAUACUUGUUAUUAAUAGUACAUGGAUAAUUGAUUCUGGGGCAACUGAUCAUAUGACUUUUGAUUCUCGACAAGUUUCUCAAUUGAUACCAUCUUCACAAAAACAUGUUUCCACUCCAAAUGGAACCACAACCUUAGUUAUUGGGGAAGGAUCUUUACGACUCACAUAUAAAUUAAAUUUAGACUCUGUGUUAAUUGUUCCAUCUUUAGAUUAUAAUCUUUUAUCUGUGUCUCAAUUAACCACUUACUUAUCAUGUGUUGUAAUUUUUUGGCCUGAUCAUUGUGUGUUUAAAGACAUCCAAACGAAGCAAACGAUUGGUUAUGGUAUUAGACGGGGCCACUUGUACUAUUUGGAGAUGACAUCAACAAACACUGGAAAGCUAAGCCCUGCACUAGUCGCAGAUAGUUCCAUAAAAAAAAGGAAAUCAGAAAUUUGGUUAUGGCAUAGACGUUUAGGGCAUGUGUCAUUUGGUUACUUAAAAAAAUUAUUUCCUAGUUUAUUUCUGAAAUUUGAUAUUUGUAACUUUAAAUGUGAUGUUUGUGAACUUUUAAAAAGUCAUCGAACUACUUUUCCAUUGUCCUUAAAUAAGAAUCAAGUUCCUUUUAUGGUAGUACAUUCUGAUGUAUGGGGGCCAUCGAAAGUUUCUACAAUUGGAGGUGCUCGUUGGUUUGUUACAUUUAUUGAUGAUUGUAGCAGAAUGACAUAGAUUUUUCUGAUGAAAUCGAAAGACGAAGUAAACUCUUUAUUUUAAAGAUUUCAUAAGAUGGUGACGACUCAAUUUCAGACACAAAUUCGAGUUCUACAUACUGAUAAUGGAGGCGAGUAUAUGAGCACAACAAUUCAACAGUUUCUGAAAUCACAAGGAACUGUCCAUCAAACCACUUGUGUGGGGACACCCCAACAAAAUGGCAUUGUUGAACGAAAAAACAGACAUUUACUAGAAGUUGUUCGAGCAUCACUAAUCCAGGCCCACAUGCCACUAUCUUAUUAGGGAGAAGCACUGGCAUCCGCAGCAUACUUGAUCAAUCGAACACCUUCAAGCUCCCUUGGAUUCCAGACUCUUUUCCAGGUUCUAAAUGAUGCAAUUAUGUCACCAAAUGUGCCGAAUUUACCCCCACAUGUGUUUGGCUGUGUUGCCUUCGUUCAUUUGCCGCAACAAGACAAAUUAUCUCCUCGAGCACUACGUUGUGUGUUUGUAGGGUAUGCCUUACAGCAAAAGGGAUACCGAUGAUAUGAUCCACCAUCAAGAAAAAUAUACAUCACCAUGGAUGUCGUCUUUCAUGAAGAUAUCAUAUACUACUUGUCAAAGCCUGAAUUUCAGGGGGAGUAUAAUGAAGAGGAAAUUCAUAAUCUUAUAUAUCUUCCACCUAAAGAAGAUCAAUCUUCCAUUGAGGUUGUAAACCUUCAAGAUACUGGAAAAGAAAAUGGUGGUGAUUCUCAGGCUGAGAUAAGUGAAGACACAUUUGGGGAGCAAAAUAACUUAGACACAACUGCAAUCGAGAAUGAGUCACAUGAAGAAAUACCUAACUAAUCGUCUGCAGAGGAUGUUCCUACCACAAGUCCUAGUCUAGUCAGAAGAAUUCUUCCUCAGCGUCAAAAUAGAGGUAUCCCUAAACCCACAUAUGAGCCCGACCUUUCUAGUAGAGUCAAAUACCCUAUGAUUUAUUUUGUGUCUAACCAUCGCUUGUCAGAAUCAAAUCAGUCAUUUGUGAAUCAAUUAUCUACUGUAUCUAUUCCUAAUAGUGUGCAGGAAGCCUUAAAAGACCCAAAGUGGAAAGCGACUAUGAAUGACGAAAUGUGAUCUCUUCAAAAAAAUCAAACAUGGGAACUAGUUGAUCUUCCACCUGGAAAGAAACCAGUGGGUUUCCGAUGGAUCUACACUAUAAAGUACAAAGCAGAUGGCUCUAUUGAACGAUACAAAGCAAGGCUCGUAGCUAAGGGUUACACCCAAACCUACGGGAUAGAUUAUGCCAAUAUGUUUGCACCGGUAGCAAAAAUUAAUACUAUUCGUAUCUUAUUAUCAUUAGCAGUCAACUUGGAUUGGCCAGUGUAACAGUUCGAUGUAAAGAAUGCUUUCCUCCAUGGAGACCUGUCUGAAAAAAUUUAUAUGGAUAUGCCACCAGGAUGUAGUGGACCAGAACGACUCAAUCAGAAAGUAUGCAAAUUGAAGAAAUCAUUGUAUGGGUUGAAGCAACCCCUAAGAGCAUGGUUCGGGAAAUUCACAAAGGCUAUGGUUCUUUUUGGGUAUAACCAAAGCAAUUCAGAUCAUACCUUGUUCAUUAAAAAAUGACAAGGUAAAAUCACUGCCCUCAUUUUCUAUGUGGAUGAUAUGGUAGUCAUAGGUAACGACGGGGAAGCAAGAGAGGCUCUUCAGAAGUACUUGUCGAGAGAGUUUGAGAUGAAGGAUUUAUGAGCCUUAAAAUACUUUCUUGGAAUUGAGGUUUCUCGAUCUAAGGGAGGAAUUUUCCUGUCUCAAAGGAAAUAUGCUUUAGAUCUAUUAAACGAAACGUGAAUGACAGCUUGUCAGCCUAUUGACACCCCAAUAGAAGAAGGACUGAAGUUUUGUAUUACCUCAGACUAAGUUCCAGUAGACAAAGGAAGAUAUCAAAGGCUGAUUGGAAGAUUGAUGUACUUGUCCCACACAAGGCCAGCUCUUGCUUAUGCAUUGAGUGUUGUAAGUCAGCUUAUUCAUAAUCCCGGAGAACAACACAUGAAAGCAGUAAUGCGGAUCCUAAGGUACCUGAAGUCAAAUCCAGGAAAAGGAAUCCUAUGUUCCAAAAAUGGAGAUUACAGCAACAUAGAAGUUUAUACUGAUGCAGAUUGGGCCCGGUCAGUUAGUGAUAGACGCUCUACCUCAGGAUACUUUACCUUAGUGGGAGGCAACCUUGUCACAUGCUGCUUCACUUGCUGCCAAUCCAGUUCAUCAUUCAAGAACAAAACAUAUAGAGAUUGAUGUUCACUUUGUGAGAGAUAUAAUUUCCAACGGCGGAGUGGAAGUAAGAUAUGUCCCUACUGAAUAUCAGCCUGCAAACAUCUUCACAAAAGCUCUUCCUGCUGAUAUGUUUCAACAGUUGCGAGACAAGCUACAUAUUCUUCCUAGAACAUUGCGCUUGAGGGGGCAUUAUGAAAAUAUUGUAGCAGAGCUACCAAACUUGAGUAAUACGAAUUCAAAGUUGUUAGAUGACAUGGCAGCACACUUGGCAUUCAUUGGUGUUUUGGAAAGUUAAAGUGAUCAACCUUAUCUCUUAGCUUAUCAUUAAUUCAAGCUGCACUUUUGUAUUUAUCAAGAUCAAGAUAAAGAUAACAAUUGUGCUAGGCUUGAUCUUAUUCUUGGCAUUAUCGUGUUUCCUGUAGAGCAUUAUAAAUGUAAUGAUUAUGAGAUGAAUAAAAUAACGAAAAUGUGUUUUGUUUCUUCUUUAAGCUCAUCUUUAUAAUUUAAGUUGGUAUCAGAGCAUGGCGAGCUCCAAUUCUGCGAAAUUAGUCAAUAUGAAUACUGUAAACCAAACACCACAAAUUUCUAAUUUUUUGACUCCUGUCAAAUUGGAUAGGCAAAAUUUUAUGAUAUGGAAGUCUCAAGUGCUACCUUCCAUUCGUGGUAACAAUCUUGAAAGCUUGAUCAAUGGAGCAAAACUUGUACCCACUAAAUUCUUGGUGCAAGUAGAAGAGGAUCAAACAGUAACGACUGUGGAAAAUCCAGAAUAUAUACAAUGGCUGAGACAAGAUCAGCUUUUACUUAGUUGGCUUUUGUCCACUAUGACUGAAUCAGUUUUAAGCAUAGUGGUGCAGUAUACAACCUCUUUUGAGGUUUGGAAUGCCUUGAAGACAUUGUUUGCAUCUCAGUCAAAGGCUAGAAUUUUGUAGCUCAAGAUGCAACUCCAAACCACGAAAAAGAAUGCUAUGACCAUGAGUGACUAUGUCAACAAAAUGAAAAAUUUAGCUAAUAGCCUGGCAAUGGCUGGAAAAUAUGUUACUGAAGAUGAUUUAAUUUCUUAUAUUCUUGCAGGUUUAGGAACUAAAUACGACCCUGUGGUUGUAAAUAUUACAGCAAGAACAAAUGAUUUAUCUCUGCCUGAAGUAUCCUCUCUUUUGCUCAAUCAUGAAAGUCGAAUGGAACAACUCUCAGCUGCUGCAAAUCUUGAGUCUAAAGGCAGUUUUAAUGCAAAUUUUGCAGGAGCUUCUUUUCACAAAAGGAAAGUUAUAAGAAAAGGCUUUAUGUCAGGAAGUUUAUGAGGCAAUGAACGUGGUAGAGGCAAAGGAAGAACCAAUUUUAGCCGUGGUGGAAAUAGGCCAACCUGUCAGAUAUGUGGCAAAUAUGGACAUUCAGGAUAUCAAUGUUUCUUCCGCUUUGAUCGGGGGUUCUCUGCAAGACAAGAGGCAACACAAGCAGGUCAAGCCUCUGCCUAUAUGGCACUCCCUGCUGAAGAAAUAGAUAAUGGAUGGUAUUUGGACAGCGGAGCAACACACCAUGUUACAAAUGAUUUAAACAAUCUGCAGAUUAAGUUAGAAUUUAAGGGAGGUGAGAAGCUGGUAGUAGGUAAUGGUAAAACUUUAGCAAUAUCUCACAUUGGCAGUGCACUUAUUUAUAUUCCAAACCAUGAACCAUUGUUGCUUAAUGACAUUUUAUAUGUGCCCAAAAUCACCAAGAACUUAAUUAGCAUUUCAAAAUUACUUUCUGAUAAUAAACUAAUGCUUGAUUUCUGUGACAAUGUUUGUACUCUUAAGGACAAAGUUCUGGGGAAGAAGCUGCUGCAGCGAAAAAUUGAAAGAGGCUUAUAUCGGCUACCAGUGCUUUCAAGACAAGCCAUUCUAUCUGAUUCAAAAAUUAUUUCCAAUAAAUCUUAUUAGUCUUCUCUUCCAUUUAGCUGUUUCAAUUCUAGCUCAACAAUAAGUUCUGUAAAUGAACAAGAAUUUAUUUCCAAUUCCAAGCCUAGCAGUUUUAUAAAUCUUUUGCACAGAAGGAUGAGACAUCAUCAUCUUGCUGUACUAAAACAAAUUCUACCUUUGUGUAACAAAACAAGUCAGUUAAAUAAAAAUCUCAUUCCUCAAUUCUGUGAUGCAUGUCAACAAGGAAAAAGUCAUAGGCAAACUAUCAAAGCAUCAAAUAGUAGAGCUUCAGAACCUUUAGAAUUAUUGCAUCUUGACUUGUGGGGGCCUGCACCUUUAAUGUCUAGAAAUGGCUACAAAUAUUAUUUGAGUAUUGUAGAUGACAACACACGUUUUACAUGGAUAUUUCCACUUAAAGUUAAAUUACAAGCGUUUGAAGCUUUUAAGUAUUUCAAAGUUCAAGCCGAAAAACAAUUAGGAAAGAAAAUCAAAAGUUUACAAACUGACGGUGGAGGAGAGUUUCAAGCAUUUACAAUUUUUUAAAAGAACAGGGUAUUAUUCACUGACUUUCUUGCCCACACACGCAUCAUCAAAAUGGUAGAGUGGAGCGAAAACACCAACAAAUUGUAGACACUGGUUUAACACUUUUGGCAUAGGCUGGCAUGCCACUCACUUUUUGGUGGGAUGCUUUUCAAACAUCUGUUUAUUUAAUUAAUAGAAUGCCUACUUCCAUCUUAGAAAACAAAUCACCAUUUCAAAUACUUUAUGAUGAAGAAUAGGAAUCAAUAUUAUACUAGGAUUAGUUUCCUUAUUAACUAAAGUUUAAGACUUUUAAAUUCCUUUCUAAUUUAGAAUUUUGUUUCCCUUUCAAUUUAGGAUUUUGUUUUACUUCAUGAAUUAGGAUAAUUAUUACUACUAUAAAUAGCUCCCUCUUGUAGCCUUUAAAGGCAGAGAAUUUUGAGUUUAAUAAUAUUUCAAUUUUCAAAUCUCUUUGUGAGUAUUUGAACAGUUAAUUCUCGGUAUUCUGCGAAAUCAACGAGUCUUAAAUCCCUAAGUUCGCGGUAUUCUUUUGAAUCAACAUGAAUUUAGUUGUUCUUUUAUUCUGGUAUUCUCUAGAAUCAACGGAAUAUUUUGAAUAUUAAACUUCCACUGCAUCACUUUACAAGAAAAUACCUGAUUAUUCUUUUCUAAAAGUUUUUGGAUGUGCUGUAUUUCCUCAUCUUCGAGAUUACAACAAACAUAAAUUAGAUUUUUGAUCAGAUAAAUGUAUAUUUUUAGGCUAUAGUACAGCUCAUAACGGGUAUAAGUGUCUCCACAAGUCAGGAAAAAUUUUUGUAAUGCGACAUGUUGUCUUUAAUGAAUAUGAUUUUCCUUUUAAAAGUGAUCCCUCCUUCAAAAUCUCAAAGAGUUAUCCAAAUCAUGAUUCUAGUACUCUCUUUCAGUCUCCUAUGUUUGCAGGUUUUGAAAGUCCUAGAGCCUAUAAGACUCUCUCGGUUAUUCAUGCAACAGACUCUCUACUAGAGUUGGUUCAUAACACAAUAGUUAUAGAUCAGGCAUCAAGUCAAGAUGAGGAAACCAAUUUUGAAUCCAACACCAAAAGCCCACCUGGAAAAGCCAACCUUGAAUCAAGCACUGAAAUCCAAGCAACUGAAAACACCACACAAUCUUUAUCUAUCCCCGCGUUUAUCAAUCAAGAAGCCGAUCACACAAUCUCUCAACCACCUAGUUCAACUCCUCAUUCUCAACAGCCAACACAUACACAAUCCACUCAUCCAAUGAUCACUCGUGCCAAGGCCGGCAUCUUUAAACCCAAACCUAGACUUUACCUAACAACCUCUCAUACCAAAAUAAGUGUACAUGCCAGUGUUAGUGAAGCUUUGGAAGAUCACAAUUGGCGUAAUGCUAUGACAGAAGAAAUGAAUGCUUUGGCUAGGAAUAACACACGGUGUUUAGUUCAACCUACUUCUGACAUGAAGAUUGUGGGAAAUAAAUGGGUUUUUCGGAUAAAACAAAAGGCUGAUGGUUAGAUAGAGCGAUAUAAGGCUCGGUUGGUUGCAAAAGGAUUUCAUCAGACCCCAGGAAUCGAUUUCAACGAGACUUUUAGUCCUGUUGUUAAAGUUGCAACAAUUCGAUUGGUGUUAAGUAUUGCUGUGAUGAAAAAUUAGGGUGUAAUACAACUGGAUGUGAACAACGCCUUUUUAAAUGGAGACUUAGUAGAAGAUGUUUACAUGAUGCAGCCUGAAGGCUUUAUCAACAAAGCACAACCAAAUCAUGUGUGUAAAUUGAGAAAAGCAUUGUAUGGGCUUAAGCAGGCUCCAAGAGCUUGGUUUGAAAAACUCAAGAGAGCAUUGAGUGACUGGGGUUUCACAAAUUCUAAAUUAGACACAUCACUAUUUAUUUUGCAGCAAGGAAGGGAUAUAAUAUUUGUCCUUAUUUAUGUGGACGAUAUUUUAAUAACAGGAAGUAAAGAAAGUUUGGUGCAAGAAGUUAUUGAACGACUUAAUUGUCAGUUUGCUUUAAAAGUGCUCGGACCAUUAAGCUAUUUCCUUGGUCUUGAAGCUCAUCGCACAGAGAAUGGCCUACAUCUUAGCCAACACAAAUAUAUUUGUGAUCUCUUGAAGCGCACAGAUAUGGAUGGCUGCAAGGAAACAUCUACUCCUAUGAGUGUAGUACCGAAACUUUCAGCUGAAGGUGGUAAGCAAUUUUCUGAUCCUACACUUUAUCGUAGCAUCGUUGGAGCCUUAUUAUACGUAACUAUUACUCGGCCUGAAAUUUCUUAUGCUGUUCAUCGUUUAAGUCAGUAUAUGCAAAAUCCUUUACAGCCGCAUUGGCUUGGGUGUAAAAGAAUCCUUAGAUAUUUACAAGGAACAGCUGAUUAUGGAAUUUAUUAUACUACCAAAGGAAGAAUGACGCUCACAGGCUAUACAGAUGCAGAUUGGGCAAACAAUAUUGAUGAUAGAAAAUCAACUGGAGGCUACUGUAUUUAUCUUGGCAAUAACUUAAUCUCAUGGAGUUCAAAGAAACAAAAUGCAGUAGCAAGGUCUUCAACUGAGUCAGAGUAUCAAGCACUUGCAAAUACCACAGCAGAAAUUUUAUGGCUUCAAUCUGUGCUUAAAGAGUUGCAGGUGCCACUAACUGAAAUUCCAAUUAUUUGGUGUGACAACACUGAAGCUGCUUCACUUGCUGCCAAUCCAGUUCAUCAUUCAAGAACAAAACAUAUAGAGAUUGAUGUUCACUUUGUGAGAGAUAUAAUUUCCAAAGGUGGAGUGGAAGUGAGAUAUGUCCCUACUGAAUAUCAGCCUGCAGACAUCUUCACAAAAGCUCUUCCUGGUGAUAGGUUUCAACAGUUGCGAGACAAGCUACAUAUUCUUCCCAGAACAUUGCGCUUGAGGGGGCAUCAUGAAAAUAUUGUAGUAGAGCUACCAAACUUGAGUAAUACGAAUUCAAAGUUGUUAGAUGACAUGGCAGUACACUUGGUAUUCAUUGGUGUUUUGGAAAGUUAAAGUGAUCAACCUUAUCUCUUAGCUUAUCAUUAAUUCAAGCUGCACUUUUGUAUUUAUCAAGAUCAAGAUAAAGAUUACAAUUGUGCUAGGCUUGAUCUUAUUCUUGGCAUUAUCGUGUUUCCUGUAGAGCACUAUAAAUGUAAUGAUUAUGAGAUGAAUAAAAUAACGAAAAGGUGUUUUGUUUCUUCUUUAAGCUCAUCUUUAUAAUUUAAGUAAAGGGACUUUUGCAUAGCCUCUGGUGUGUGUGUGAUUUCUCUUUCGUUUCCUCAUCAAAUUCUGUAAUUCUUGCUUCGAUAAAAAGCUUUUAAUCUCUUCUGUAGUGUGUGAUCAGUGCGUAAUCAUUUUGAGCAAUAACAGCUUGUGGGUUUUUCCUUCAAACAGUGUCGUUUUGGUCAGUUUGUUAGUUUCUGUGUUCGUCUGAUUCCAUUGCUCUUGUUCUCUGUUCUUGAUCUGUUCGUGGAAUUUUUCUUUGGUUAUUUGUUCUCAAAUUUCAACUGUAUAUAAAGUUUGAACUCUGAUUGCUUAUAAUGUAUUGAUUAAGAAUAAUCCUAAGAGUUCCCGAUUGAAAUUUUUAAUGACUAUUUUUAUUGUUUUGGAUAUACAAAUUGAAUUAAGAAAAAAUAUUGUCAAAUUCAGAGGAUAAGGGGAAAUAAUUAUGCUUCAAAAGGCCAGAGAUUAGAGAAUAAAGAAGCAUUCAUUACUCUAUCAAAAAAAAAAAAAAAAAAAAAGCAUUCAUUACUGAUAUACAAACUGCUUUUAUUUGGAUUUUGGAAGGGGUGAAGUUUUGAACUUCAGUUGUUCCUCUAAAAUCAAAAGCAGCAAUUAAGCGUUCUCAAUUAGAAAGAGCUAAGAAGACUUAUUGGUACCUUACUGAAGCUAACAUUAUGGCACAGUUGUUCAUAUAUAAUGGCUGCUCUGUUAUGCUAGCUUCUCUGUUUUUGCUUCUAUUUUUGCUUACAGUUUUGAACAUAAAUUCUUGCUCAAAUAACCCAUAAUUAAAUAACACUAAUAUGGCUCGUGAAAUCCCAUAAUAGCUAAUUACGCAACUUUCUCCUCCUCCUCAAUUCUGUCUUCCCCUGCUCGUACACUAAAUUCAAAAUUCAAUGCCCCGAAAAACAACACAAGAAAUCUUUGAGUUAAUUCGCGACCAGUUUAUAUAUAGUAGCAAUUGAAAAAGGAAAAAGAAUAAAAGAGUUCAUUAUUAUUCAGACCUUCACUUAUUAGGAAGUUUGUUCUGCUGUUGGGUGAGAUCAAGCUCUCAGCAUAUACUUCCACAUUAUACUUUCUAACAUUUUCUUGAAAGCCAUCAAUCAUAAAAUCUUCAUACUUUUUUCCAUCCUUUGGAUCAAUAAGUACAAAUUUCUCAUCUAAAACAGACAAAAUAAAAUCACUGUCCUUCAUGGAACAUAAUGGCUGCAAUGCCUGAACUGAAUUGGCUAAUGAAAUUUGAGUCCAGGAUUCUCUCAGCCCAUAUUCUUUCAUAAUCCAAAAUUCUUUUCUUUCUCGACAUGGAACAUAGUCUUCUUUUCUUUCUGGACAUAUGUCUCUGUACUUUUCUCUCUCUACUGAUCCACACUUUUUCAUACUUCUAACUAUCAUUUUGUUUUUUUUUUGUUAAGUUGUGAUUUAUUCAAUUAUUUUGUAUUUUUAAUGAAAAUUAUUUAAUAUUUAGUUAGUUUUGAUAUUGAUUAGUGAUUGAAAGUGUAUUUUAGAAGACUUCCGGUCUCUUGGAAAAAGGAAAAAUGGAGACGAAGAAGAAGUGUUCUUGAUUUUUUUGUAGGCAUUAAAGUUAAACGGUUUGAAAUGAUAUUUUGUUUUAAUUUCACUCAUUAAUCUCAUUCAGGAUAAAAUUAUAAAUGCAAAUAAAUGGGGUUUCAUGAGUUUUUUUUAAUAGUGUUAAAAGGUCUACUCACUAAAUAAAUAUGUUUAACCCAAACCAAUGCGAUUAGUAAGUUAUUGGGUUGGGUUGAUCAGGUUAAAAAUUAAAAUUAAAAAUUAAAUAAUUAAAAAAGGCAUAAAAACUAUCUGUUACUUGAAAAUAAAAAGAAUUUCUAAUAGUUAGUUCUAAUGUCCCAUAUCCAAAACAUCCAUAUUAAAUAAAUAUUAUAAGUUAGAAAUACAAUAUCCAAGAAAGAAUGAAUGAAAUACCAUAUUUUUGUUGAGAAUUAAGAGUGUGAUUUUAAUUUUGAUAUUGGAGUCUAAAGUGCCACGUUUAAAUAAUCUCUUUUAUAAAAUAAUAAAAAGAGAUUAAAAAUUAGGUUAGCCAUUUAGGCAUUCAGGGUUUAGCAAUUAAGGAUGAACAUAUUAUUGUUGUUGUUUUUUGUUGUUGUUGUUGUUGUUGUUGUUGUUAUUAUUAUUAUUUAUAUGUUUACUAAUCCAAUUUACGUAUAAGUACAAAAGUUUCAAAUAUUGUCUAUUAUUUUUUUAACAUGCCUAUUCCUUGUGGAUAAUUCUGUCUCAUCACUAAUGUUGUUUCUUGCUUACAAUUUGUAUAGCGUCUCAAAAUAGACAAUAGGGGGAUUUUGAAUUUUUUAAGUCUCAAUAUAGUCUCUUAUCUUGUGAGACAGAUUUUCUUUCAAUAAUUUGGAGGUAAACAUAACAUAACUUUUUGGACUAAAGCCUAGCUCUGCUAAUUAGUAAUUGGUGGUAUCCUUUUCAAGACCUGAGUCUUUAAAUUCGAGUUUUAUAUAGUGCGCAUGUGUAUUUAAUUAAUAUUUUUUUAAAAAAAUUACAUCAAAUACUAAUAUUCAUGACAUAAUUUAGUUCAUAAUGUUUUUUUAAAUACAUCGAAAAUAUAAUUUUUUAACAACUUAUAGGCAUGACAAAUUUCAAGAUAUAAAUAUCAGUCAAAAUAAGUGAAAGAAAUAAUGGUGCCAAUUCUAAUUUCUUAACUAAAUUAAUUACUGCAUGAGCCCCCAAUACGGCACGAGAGUUUGAUGGGCUAACUUGGCACAAGAACAAUAGUUAAUUGAUUUAAGAAAUAAUUCAAUGAAAAAUAUAAUUGAUAAGAAUUUAGUAUUGAAAUGAGUUUUUUUCGAAACACUGAAUUAAUGAUUAUUAAGCAAGAACAAUAAAAAAAAUAAAAUAAAAAAUAAAGAUUAACCAUUGAUAAGCUUCAACAAGAACUUAACACAACCCUCAAUCCUAAUUCAAAUUAUAAAUGUCAUUCAUAUAUUCAUUAUAAAUCAAUAACAAAGGUUAUAAAUGUUUAGAAAUUCUAGAGGGAAGGAAGCUAUCGCCGGGCAAUCAACAACUAAAUUUGAUGUAAUUGUGGCACAAGAUGGAAUAUGAAAACUACACCAUAAUUUCAAAUGCCGCCAUAGACAUUGACUUAUCUACAGUAACAAUGAUCUAAUUAAAAUUAAAAUAAAGUUUAUGGGCAUUUAUUAUAUUUGCCAUUCCUCAUUUGCAAAUAGGGAUAUAAUUAUAAUUUUACUUAGUCAAAGCAAUCAGUAAUUUUUAGGGGUGUUCAAAAUUCAAUCCGAUCCGCUCAAUCCGUCUGAUCCGUAGAAAUCCGAUCCGUAAAAAUCUGAUCUGUGGAUUGGUAGAUUGGAUUGAAUUGAAAAUUUGAUAAUCCGCAAUCGGUGGAUUGGGUAUGGAUCUACUUCUGUAAAUUCGUAAAAAUCCGUGAAUCGGCAAAAAAUAAAAAGUAUUUAUUUAUUAAAAAAUAAAACUUGUAAAUAUGGCAAUAGUACUUACUAGUAAAUAAAUAAGUUAAAAUAUAGUUACAUUAACACUAUAUUAUAUCUUAUCCGAUAAUAAUAAAAAAUAAAAAAUAAUUAAAUAAACAAAUAUAACUUUCUAAAUAGUUAAUUUUCAUGUACUGAUCUAAACGAAUGAGAUUUUUUUUUUUUCAUUUUGGUGUGUUAUGUUUUGAACUUUAAAUGUAAUUUUUAGUUUUAUUUAAACAAGUAAUUUAUUUAAAUCUUAUUUAAUUUUAAAUUUGAUCGGCAAUAAAAUUAUUUAUAUUAAUUUUUUUUUAUUUAGUUAGUUCGUAGAUUGGACAGUAUUAAAAAUUUUCAGUCCGUAAACCAAUUCGCAAAAUGGUGGAUUGGAUAUGGAUUGGGUCAAAUCCGCAUCCAAUCCGCAGAUGUAUGAAUUGAAUUUCACCAAUCCAUGAAUUGGAUUGGAUUAAAAAUUUAUAAUCCGCAAAAUCGUGGAUCAGAUAUGGAUUGAGGUCCAAUCCGUAAAAUUUGAUCCGGAAACACCCCUAGUAAUUUUCUUCAUUAUAGGAGUGAAGUAAAAACAUUUAGAUUUUAAUGUAUGUACGGAAAAAUUUAUCUUUAAAAAUACUUUCUUAAUGUGUGUAUAUAUAUUGAAAUACUCAAACCAAUUUUGGUUAUUAUAUAAUUAAACAAAUUUUAAAAUAUGAAAAAUAUAAUGUAGUUAUAGUGGAUAAACAAUAAGUGAGCGCAAUAUAAUUAAUCAAAUAUCAUGCCAUCAAAAGUUAAUUUUAGAAAUUCCAAAUCCAACAGCCAACACAAUUCUUUUAAAAAAAAGCUGACACAAUUAAUAAAAUUAGUGACAUGAAUUUCACACCAUUGAUAAUAAGCAAUUAGUAUUACUUUCUAAACUUGCUUCAACUGGUCGUUGAUGUCCGGGGUCACCAAAAGUAUAAGCAAUAAUAAGGGGCAUUGGGCAAGAGUGAUGAAUGUUUAGUCGGUGCAUUUGAUUGCUAGAUAUAUAAAGGGCCGAAACUUGAGAUUAUAUUACUUUUACAAAUUUUAAUCCAAUCACAUAUUUAAUGAAAACAAAAUGAGUUAGGAUACUUUAUUUAGAACCCACAUUUUAAUAAGGCUUCAUUUGAUGUAGUUUUUUAAACAGUGAUUAUUUAAGUAAAUUUUCCUCAAUAGAGUUUUUAUCAAACAAAUUUAUUUAUUUAGUUGUCGAUAAGAGUUUUUAUUAAAAAUUAUAAAAUUAUUUAAAUAAACAUGUUUUUUAAAAUUACAUUAUAAAAAUAAUUAAAUAAAAUUAUAAAAGUAAAAUAUAUUUUAGAUAUUUUAAUAUUUAAGAAAAAUUUUCAAUCUCUACUUUCAAAAGCUCAAAUUUUUAGCUUUUAGUUGUAGAGACAAAAUAUUUUAUUUAAUCUUUAAAAGUUAUGCUAAAAACAAUCAAAUAACUACAAAAAUUUUAAUAAGAGUAUAUAAAAUUAAAUGGUAAUUUUUAAAAACCUCCCCUGAGGUUUGGGCUUGUUGCAAGUAGAUGGCGAGAAUCCAUUUAUUUGUAACAAACCCCCUACCGUCAGUUAAUUUUUGCAUUAACCGUUAGUUGACUGUGCAAAGACAAUAUUGUCCCUAAUGACAGUUUGUAGACUGACAUAGCUAAAAAAAAUGCUGAGAUUGUCGGCACGAAAAUCACAAAUAAUUUUUUUUUGACAAUUUUGUCCUUGUUAAUUCCAAGAUUUACAAUGUCAUAAGUAAGGAUUAUGACUAUUUUACCCUCUUAAAAUUAUUGAUAAUUCCUUAAAAUUUCUACAAAAAAGAUAAAAUUAAAAACUUGAAGAAAAAUAAAGUUCUCAAGCCGGCUAACCAAACACAUAGAAUAAAAAAUCCAUCGUUUGACAACAAAAACAACUUUCCAUAAACCCAAACAAAAAUAAACAAGUCCCCAUUACUCUAAUUGGCUUUGCUUGGAGCUGUUACUAUUGUGCAUACAUUUCUAGGCAAAGCAAAAUGACCCCAUGAUAUAAACCUUAUAAAACAUGCCUCCACUAUUCUUAAUUUUGGUAUAAUAAUAAUAAUAAUCACAAAAAAUUAAUUGAAAACUUGACUAAUUAUCUUUGGUGGAGAAUUUUAAACCGAAACCGAUUCAGGAACCUUAAAUUGAUCAAAAGGAAGCUAAUAAUGACAAAAAAGUAACCGAUCAAAAAUCAUUAAGCAUAAAAAAAUAUUGAAUUUAAAUAACUAAAAAUGCCAUCGGAAAUUGAAAUUAAUUAUUUAACAUAUAGCAUGAAAACAAAUCUUCACUAUUGGUGCUAGGCGGCUGUCGUUUAGCUUGGUUCUAAGAGGUGGCAGUCAGUCAACUUCGAGACGGUGCGUUCGAAGUCAACUAAGCUGCAGCAGAGGUUGCAGGGGGCAGAUUGCAGCGAAGUCGCGGUGGAGCAGAGGUCGCGUCGCGGUGGAGAAGAGGUCGCGUUGCGCUGGCUUGGCUUCACGGUGGUGGGAUGGCUGGGCGGGCUGGCCAGCUGUGUGCGCAUUGUAUAUGAUUGUUUUUCACUUUUUUAAUAUUUUCUUGUGCAUUAGUUCAGAUUAGAUUAGUGAGUUUGUGUGUGUGUUUGCAGUUGAUUUGGUUAAGAUAUUUAGGUUAAAAUAAUUUUUUUUAAUAAAUUUUUUUUUUCAAAAUGUCAACAAUGCCCACAACUACCCAAAUGGCAACUAAGCAGAGUAAAAACGUAGGGGUUUUUUUUUAUAAAUAAAUAGAUUCUCGUCAUCUAUUUGCAACAAACUCAAAUCUCGGGGGAGGUUUUUAAAAAUUACCCUAAAAUUAAAUAAGCAUUUAUUAAUAAUCACUUUGGUAUACUUAUCUAAUGACCAUAAGUGUUUAUUUAAUCUCAUAAGUUCUUAUUUAAUCUCAUGAGCUCUUUUCAAUUUUUUUUGUUGUUUGUUUUUUAGUAGAGUUUUUGAAAAUUAAAUAAACUAUUUUGUCUCUACUAGAAAAAACUCAAAUUUUAGAUUUUUGUGAGUAAAUGUUUAAUUUUUUAAAAAAAUAUUAAAAUAUCUAAGAUAUCUUUCCUUUAUUUCAUAAUCUUAUUUCAUUUUUUCAUAACAUAACUUUCAAUAACUUACCUAUUAAAAUAAUUUCACAAUUUCUAAUAAAAACUCUAAUUGACAAUUAACAAUUUUUUUUUGUUUGUAAAAACUCUAUUUAUAAAAAAUCUAAUAAAAAUUCUAUUUAAAUAAAUUAUAUUUGAAAAGGUGUACUAAACCAACCUAAGAUAAAAACAAAAAUUUUUACAUCCAGACAAUUAAGCUUAAAACAAUUUCAAAUGAAUUUUAGACUAAUCAAAGUACAAUACGUACCAAGUUUGGUAACUUAUUGACAUCUUCUCAUAUAACCUUCGAUCAAGUCGAUUCUCACCUGACGACUAAUUGGUACAUCACCGUUGUUCUCUAUACUCGCAUGCAUCCGAUCACAAAUCUCACUCCAAUUGUCGUCUUUCUUCGGCGUUUUAGCACAUCCUUCUUGAAUUUCCCGCAUUUCGUUCCCUCCUGUUACAAGUCUCCGGUCAGGUCAGUUCUCUUGACGAUUAAUUCGGCAAAUCUCGAAUCUCUUCUCGCGUCGUUUCACUUCAAUUUUUUGUGUCUCCUUUCAGUUUUAGUGAUUGAAUCAAUUUUAUUGCAGUCUGAGAGAAAUUAAGUAAUGCUCUUGGAUUUAAAUUUUUUUUGCUUUCGACUUUAGAUCUCGAAAGUCAAACUCUGCUACGAAUCCUUAGAUUCUCAAUGUUUAUAAUCUUAUUUGUGUUUGACCAGGUAACUGGAUCGUGAAAUUCGUCGUUUUGUAUCAAUUCAAGCUUUCGCGAGCUCAUGGAAUCACCUGGUGAGUUGUGGUGAAACGUUAUCGUUUCAAUUUUCGCUUAAUUCUUUAUUGCAUAUUUUUUCUCUAACAUUUCAGUUUAAUUUAGAAAAGAAAGAGGACCCAAAAAGAGAGAGAGAGAGAGAGACUCUACCAUACUCAAUUCCUUGCUCAUUCUGAUUUGGCCUGAAUGUUGGCAUUGACUAUUAUUUGUUUUCAUUUCGAUUUAAUUCUCAUUUAGACAGUCUUUACUAACGGUCAAUAAUAGUUUAAGGAAAAUGAUAAUAGGGAUUCUGCAAUAAUCUUUUUAAGGAAAAUGAUAAUAGGGAUUCUGCAAUAAUCUUUUUAAGGGAUGUAUAACUUAUUAAUCAGAGUCCUGUUAUUAUGGUUUGACACUACUGACAUAUUGUGUUGGUAUUUAUUUGUACUUCCCUUGGUUGAAUUAUUUGCUGUCCCCAUGCCAUUCGAUAUGGUGCUACUUGGUUUUUGAUCAUCCAUGACGCUAUAUAUAUGUAAAGGAUGAAUUGAUUGUUUUGGCUUGUAUUCUCACAUUUUAUGAUUGAUCGAUGGAAAGGUCUUCAUGUAUUAAAUUCAACCUCACAAGCGUAAGAUUGACAGAUUCUGGGCAAAUUUUCAGGAAAAGAAACUAGACUUCAUGGAAGCAAUGAAGCUUGAAAUUGAACGUCUGCAGCUGAAAGGGAUAGAGCUUUAUUGUCAAUUGGAACUGAUCCUGCCUCUAUAAAUCCAAAUGUAUUGCUUGAUGAAUCUUACAUGGGAAGACUGUCGAGUAGCAACCACUCUUGCAUUACUUGGCCAAACUUCCCUAGAAGACAAAAUUGUUGGUGCAAUGGCCUUGAGAAUAGUGAUGAUAGUGUUUUAGACUUCUGGAAUAUUACUAGAAUCGGAGAGAGUUGUUCUGGUGGCGCGUGCAAGGUUCGUGCAGAAACUAAGGUGCCUGCUCUUGCUUCCUCAACUGCAGCAUCUGUUGGAGCUUCACAAUCCCCUUUGUUGUGUUCUCUGUUGUGUUCUCUGUUGUGUUCUCAAUGUGAAAGAAAAGUUUGCAAAGUUUGUUGUGCAGGAAGAGGAGCUCUACUGUUUUCAAAUUAUAAAUCAAGGGAUGUGACCAACUACAAUGGCUUCUCAAGUCAGAGUGGAUCAAGCCAUGGAAGCCAAGUUGAUGUAUCUACCAGUCGUUCACUAACACUGGAUGGCGUUAUCUGUAAACACUGCUGCCAUGAGAUUGUGCUUGAUACAAGUUCACAACACCAUUACAAAGGAUUCAAAAUUCCCACACGAAAACAUCAAUGUACAGAUUAUAAACAAUCCGAAUUGGACACAAGAAAAACCCUUCAAUGGAUUGCUUGCCUUCCCAAUGCUAUAUACUGUGCAAACUGCGCACUGUCCAAGAAAAUGUUUUCAAUUUAGUGUAUUUUCAAAAUGCUUAUUUUCUCAGAAUAUAUAAAAAAAAAAAAAGAAUUCUUACAUGUUUCAUCAGCAUGAUUAAAAUCAAAGAAGAAAGCGAGACAUAAUGUCUCUGACAUAAUAAAAUUACAAAAAUUUAAAAAAAAAAAAGUUAAAACAUGUAAUCUUCAUAAGCAUAUAAUAAAAUAACACUUCCACAAAUUACUACAAUUUCAUGCAGUAGAGAUUGAAGAGUUGAAUUCCACUUAUAGACACCGACCUCUUAUUUUGUCUAAUGUUAACAAUGAAAAUAACAACAGUAAUGAAAACAACAACAGAAUACAACAACAGAAAACAACAAUCCGCUCUGCAAAUUCUCUUGGGACUUGGUUCCAAUUCCUCUUCAUCCGAAGUUCCACUCGAAUCAAAUUCACUUGCAGCAGUUCCACUCGCGCUUGGCAAAUCAUCCAAUUUCCAAACUUCGGUAGCAAAAUUGAGAGUAAAAGUGUUGGCUUUGGUCUCGCUGGGAUUUGCAUAUACUGGACAUACUCCGUAACGUUUUACCUUGUGACCCUUUUGGUUUUGGUAACAAUUAUUGAAGAACUUAAGUGAGACAGUUGUAUGAUGGUAACCAUCAGGAAAGCCAACAUUCAAGCAAGGUUUAAAACCAAGUAUGACAUGAUCUGAAUCAAGGGAGUAUUUAUUUCUAACACUUGUGGUUGCGGGCCCACUGAAACCUAGAUCAACAUGUUUGGUUUCAGAGAGAGUCUUUAUUUCUAAGUCGAGUUGAGAGCGGCCGAAAACAUUGCAGCAAUAACAAGAACCAACUUUCUUAAAAUUAAGAACCGCACAAAAAGCAAACCCGAUUAAGUUUCUGCAAGAAGAGUGCGGUGGCAGUUGAAUACCUAUCGAAGAUCCUGAACUUUGAUUGUUGAACCAGUCAGGAAUUUCGCUCCCAGGUAAAACAAUUAGGGAUGUCCUGAGUUCAGAAAGUUUCUGUGAAAUGACAUUUAAAAAAAGAAAAUUGUAAAAUGAAAACCAUGAUUUCAGAUAUAACAAAGAGGGACAGAGUAAACAAGAGAGGGAACUUGAUGCGUUCUAAAUGUUCCAUUUUCUCCAAGAUUUCUGGGAAACGCUCAAGGUUCAAGCAGCCAUGAAGAAAAAGCUCAACCAAAGAUUUCAAUUUACAAAACCUAGUUGAAAUCCUCUUCAGCCGUUCGCAAUCCCUCAAAUCCAACUUUUCAAGAUCAGUUAGGCACUCUAUUGAUGAUGGAACUUCUUCUAUUGCAGACUGGCUUAAGUAUAGCCGUGUAAUUUUCCCAGAAAUCUGUGGAAACUCUACGAGAUUAACACAAUAGGAGAAAUUAAUAGUUACUGGACAAACAAAAUGAAGAUUGCUUGGAAAAGACCUAAGACUUUUGCAGCCCACAAAAUCCAACCUACUGAGAUACUUGAAAUUCUGGAUAGAUGAGGGAACACAAGCCAUUUCUCCUUCCCAAAUUUGCUCAACUUUACUAAAACGCAAAUUCAGUCCAACAAGGUUCUUUGGCUUGAAAUUUGAUGGCAGUGUCCUUAAUGGAUAUGUGUCCCAAUGAAGAUAUCUCAAUUUUUUAGGAAGAUAAUCUAGGCCAUUUGGAAGCUGCACUUUAGAGUACGAAAGUUGCUCUUCAAUGCUCAUACUUAGAAGCUUUUCAAUCUCAUACUUAGGUACAUAAAAUUUGAGCAAUCUCAGAUUAGACAUAUUUGUGAAGGCUCCGGGGUCUAAAUUGAUGCCUUUUAUUUUGGACAAAUCCAAAAAUAUGCCUUCAAUUGCAUCGGUCCCCUUAUUAAAAAAAAAAAAAAAACAAAGAAUGGGUAAGCCUAAAACAGAAAAGAAACAUUCGUAAACUUUAUUAACUAAGAGCUCCUAAAACAAAACAAAUUCUACGAUCUUUGAUCUUAUUUUUUUAAUAUAUUAAAUAUCUAUAUGCGAGAAAAGAAAAUUUUGGGAACCAUUGCAAAAUUAAACUAACCGAAAAAAAAAAUCAAAAUUUCUCUAAUUUACAAACCUGUUAUCUUACUAUCUAGAAGUUGAGAAGACAGGGCCUAUUUGAUUGGUAUAAGAUUUCGAUUUUUUUUUUAGUCCAUAGAAUCCAAAAUGUUAGUUCAAAAUUAGGGAAAAAAAUGAAAGUUAUUUUUUUUCCACUAGUUGUAAUUGUAUCCAAGUCAAAUUGAGAUAUGACCCUUUUCGAAAGGAUUUAAUCAUCUUAUAGCCUCCUUAAAGGAGUGAUUGGAGGCCUAACUAGGUAGGCCAAUCAGUCCAUUUUAUUAGCGACUAUUGCUUAAAAACAUUUAUACUCUAAAACACACUUACUUUUUUGAAAAAAAAAUAUAAUUAUAUUGAAGUAGAACCAGGUGGGCCAAUCCUCAUGGCACUCACUUUGUUCUGACACUCUUCACUAAAUUUGAAAAAAAAUAAAAUUAUACUCUUCACACUCUUAUUCAACAUUCCAAAAUUGAUAAAAUCUGGAGUUUUCAUUAAAAAUUUAAAAUUUGAAGACUUGUUCUCUUGACACCCUCAGUCAUUAAUUUUACCUAAUUAUGGUUUUUAUGAUUUUGGUUGUUUUGUUCAUAAAAAUGAUUUUACUAAAGGAUGUUCUGGUAAUAAUAAAAUUUAUAAAAAAAAACAUGGUUGUGCUGGUAUGAUUGGAAAAAUAUGAGUGCAUAACUCCAAACAAAUAAAAGAUAUAUAAAAAAAAAUGGAGGAUUCUUACCAUAUUAUGCUUUAGUACGCGGCGGAUUUCCUUAGGAUCCCACAACCUCUUGCGUUUGCCUGGCUCUUUCUCAGAUUCUUGGCGUCGCCCCAUUUCUUGCAAUAUAUCAUGCAUUUGCAAGCGGUUAUAUGACACUGUUAUGAGUGACUUAUCAACAAGGACAUCCAGUCCAACAGACUCAGAAUCAUCAAGAAUCCUUGCCACAAAAUCUUUAUCCUCUCCCUCAAAGAAACACGCAAUAUCUAGAAAUAUGCUCUGCACCCUGGGCGUUAAUUCAUCAAAACUAAUCUUUAAUUUCUUAUAAAUAGCAUGAAUAUCAGAUUCACAAAUCCGAUUUAAGUCGUGCAAUACUUUUCCCCAAUGGCUUUUCCCCUUGAGGGAGGAACCCAACACUUUAAGAACUAAUGGAUUGCCAUCAGCAUACUUUACAACUCUCCGUGAGUCAGGUUUGAAAUCUUCAGGACAAUGCUUUUCUUUAAAAGCGAAGUUACAAAAAUGCUCGAAAGCCUCAUGAAAAUCCAUUCCAUUAACCCUAUAUAUUUUCUUCUCCUCCACUCCAAAUUUUUCGAGGACUCCUUUAUCCCUAGUGGUUACAACAAUUCUACUUCCUGGAACAAAUUGAUCAAGCUCUCCAAUCAGACCCUCUAAUUGUCCAACUUCAUUCACAUCAUCGAGUACUAUCAACACCUUCAUACGCCGGACCCUCUCUUUAGUAAAAUGUGGAAUAUUGGCACCAGCUACUUCAAGUUUUUCGCUUAAUAUUGUUGAAAGCAUUUCCUUUUGUAGGUCUUCUAGGCCACCCUCUGUUUCUGAUUUUCUCCUAACAUUUUUUGCAAAGUAUUUACCAUCAAACUCACCAGAGAAUUGAUUGAAAAUAGCUUCAGCAAGGGUGGUUUUGCCGAUACCACCCAUGCCCCAAAUUCCAACAAUUUGGACAGUAUCCGACAAAUCCAUACACAAAAAUGGUUUAAUCUGCUCAAUUCGUGAAUUUAAUCCAACUAGGCCGUUGGAUGAGUCCGUUGAGACUGUUAUUUUUUCCAACUUCUUCAAAACAUCUUCGACAAUUUUGUUUACAAGUUCCGCAUCGUGCCUAAUAUAAAGGUGCAAAGAUGCAAAAACAUUGAGUCAAAUCGGGCCAACACAGAAACAGAGAUAAGAUGAAUUAGGAAAGAGAGUUACCUGAAUUUCGUGGAUUCGUGGCCAGCAAGACCGGAUGUUUCUCUCAGUGCAUCCCUCCACCUCUGAACCAUUUCUGGCUUCUCUUUGAACUGUUGUUCGAGCUUACCAAAGCCGACCCCAAAAAUCCCAGUUUGAUGCCGCACAUCGGACGGACUUACGCCAUAGAAAACCGGAAUAAUGAUUUGGCCGUUUGUGUGCUUGCAUUCAAGAAUCUCGACAAGUUCAUACAGGCACCAUUUUGAAGAAGCGUAGUCCGUUGAGAAAAUGACCACCGAAAUUUUUGAACCUUGGAUUGCGUUCAAAAGGGCAGGUGAAAUCUCAUCUCCGCGCCUAAGCUCUUCAUCAUCAAUAAAUGUUCUGAUUUUCUUUCUUUUAGACAAAGCAUCAUAGAGAUGGCAAGUAAAGAUCGCACGAGUGUCCUCCCCUCUAAAAUUGAGGAAGACUUCAUAAAUGCAAGGAGAAGAAGCCAUGAAGGAAAUAUUAGAAAUUUGGUGACAGAAACAGAGAAUUAAUCUUGAGAGCUGAGAGAGGAGAUGUAAGAAUGAACAUGUGUGAAUAUUCUUGCGAGUACAUAGUAAAUAAUUGAAUGGCUCGAGCUUUCUUAGUUUCCUGGAAAUUUCCUGGAGCUUUCGUAUACAUGAUUUGUCAAGUCAAGAAACAUAGUCAUGAUAAUGGGGCAGACCAGGAAGAAAAGGAAAUUGGAAUUUUGUACAAUUUCUCCAGCGAGGAACUUUCACUGUCAUUACCUCACCGUUACAGUUUGGAUUAGGGUAAUUUUUACCCCGCACCCAAAUGUUUUGACAUACAGCACAACGCACCCAAUUCUUUUGCCCAUGAGCACCGCGCACCCAUUUCCGUUUAUUUUUCAGUUAACUGUAACAGAUCAGGGUAAAAUUGGAAUAACGCAUCAAAAUUUAAAAAUAAAAAAAUAGGUAAACUCGAUGUUUGCGCCAAAAUAAUUUCACAUCACUGUGCUUAUGUUCACUGCGUUUGCGUGUGAGACCAAGAAGCAUGGCCACACCUCCAUUGAUGCCAAAAUCGAGGAGGUGGGUGAAGAAGAAUUGGCGCCAAAAUCAUUCACAUAUGAUGUGCAAGGAAAUUAUUUCAGCCUUUAAAUACUUUUUUAUUACAGCAGCAUCAGCUAUUGCUCUGUUUCGAAGAUCUGCUCAAUUUCUAAGACAAUAGUUGGUUUGAGAGUUUAAGGGAAGUGAAUCCACUGAGCGUGCUAUUGAAGAAGUGGAGGUCAGUUUCAUUUCUUGCUCAAUUGUUUUAAUUUAUUCCAUUUUGUUUGCAUGUCAAUUAUUUACACAUUUUUAGCUGGAUUUUGCUUAUCUAUAAAACUUGAAUCAUUGUUAAUCAAAUCAGCUAUAAUUUACGCCUCAAUGUGGUUUGUAAGUUUAAGUUAUGUUGGAUUAUACCUGAAUAAUGUGGUGUUUGCGUUAUUGAUUUCAAUUUCUAUUGAUGAUUUUGAGUAUACAUAUUAGUGGAUGAAAGUUUUUAAUUAGGAUGAUUGGUCACGCAUAUAUGUCAUAGCAACUGUGUUUUUUUGGGUUAUGGUUGUACUGUAGAUCAGUAGUAGUAGUGAUUUGGAUAUAAACGCUAGUGCUUUUAUUGUAAAUGAUAGUGAUGAAGAUCCAGUGUUACAGAAUUUGAUGUAAAAGUUAUUGGUUUUUGGCUAAAUAUCUUAGAUAAAUAUGAUGCUCAUGCAAUCAAAUCCAAUGCUUAUGCAAUUUACACCAUGUUUAUGAUAAGUAAUUAAAAAAAUAAAUGACUAUUCCAGGUGAAAAUGGAUGAUGAUGAUAUUACAACUGUUCUUUGUACAUUCAAGGGCAAGACAUAUAAUGUUGGUGUAAUUGAUCCAGAUAAGUUUAGUAGAGUUUCUGUAAUUAACAAGGUUUUAGUUAGAGUCUAUGGAAGAAAGAUGAGGCCUGAUGAGAAGUUUACACUAAGUGUUUGGGUACCAUGGGUCUAUAAGGAAGUAGAGAUUAUGUCUGAUCAUGACUUAAUAUUCCAGCUGAGAGAGCAUAAUAAGAUGUUGUUCUACUGCAUGCAAUUGUAUAUUGAAGAAAUCCAUGUACCUCAUGAGUUUGUACCUAGAAGGGCUUUGUUUCAGCACUCAGCAGAAGAAAGCUUACAAGGGUAUGCUGAAACAAACUUUCCAGCCACUACUGACCUGCACAAACCUUAUACACAUGCUACAUCCACCAACACAAAUCCUUAUGAAAAUGACAGUAAUGACCAUUCGAACCAUGAACCCCCUGUCAAGAACUCCAGCAGCAUAAUGAUGCAUAAUGUUGCACUUGAUAGCAUCCAAUCACAGACCAAACCAGAUACCAACCCUGACCUAUAUCAAGACUUUUUGGAUACCUAUUUCAGAUCAUCACCACAACAGAAAACACCAUCAGCUGCCCAAACUAAUGCCGAAAAUAGUGAUAGUGAUAACACAUCUUCAUUUGGUACAAAUAAGACUCCUACUGAGCAGCUUCAACAAAACUUUGCCAUCUCUUCUGAGUUGUCCCCUUUAUUGCAGCAACAUGGACAUCAUGCAUCCCAAAAUGAACCUAUACCUUUUCACCAACCUGAGUUCUCAUCUCAACCAAUAACUCAAAACCCUCAGUCACAAGUUGUACAAGCAGAAAACUUCCAGCAACCAGAAGCCACUACACCAGCACUAGUAGAUUAUAACUCAGAUGAUAGCCAUUAUAGUGUAACUGAUAGUGAGGAAGAUCCAGAUCAUCCAUUAGGUGCUCCAAACAUUAAUAAUACUCCUAGGAAACCUUCUGUUAAUGUUGACUUAGGCUCUAUGCCUUCUGAUGAUAGUGAUGAAGAUUGUAUGCUAUCUGAUUGUGAGAGUGAUGACAAUGAGUUUGGGGAAGAAUCUGAUGAAGAGAUUGAUCAAGUGCUGGUCAGAAUGGAUGCUGUUAUGAGAGAGAACAUGUACAUUCCUAGUGAUACACCUGUUCAAUUCUUUAUUGGGCAGUGUUUUAGGAACUUCAGGCAGCUGGCAUGGGCAAUAAGGACUUAUGCUGUGGAAAACAAGUUCAAGGUUUAUAAGCACAAGUUUGAAAAAUCCAGAGUAACUGUUGGAUGUAAUUAUUUCAGGUGCCCAUGGUUUUUACAUGUUGCAAAAACUAGAUUUGGACAAACCUUUAUUGUUAGGAGGCUUCACAACGUACAUACAUGUCAGAGAGACUUAAAGAAUCCUGAAUGCACUGCAGAGUUCAUUGUUGCCAAGUUUGCUGCAACUAUAAUUGAGCAUCCAGAUACAAAGGUUGGGUGGAUUCAAAGUGAACUUAGAAGGAUGUAUGGAGCUAAGAUACACAAGUAUAAAAUUUAUAGAGCAAAGAAGAAGGUUUUACAGAGACAAUGAGCUGAUUAUGAGUCUAGUUACAUGUUGAUCAGAAAUUAUGCUCAGGCCAUACUUACUAAGAUGCCACAGGCCUUGGCAUUGGUUAAGGUUUUCAGGAUGCAUGGUCAACAACCUCAAACUCACUUUGACAGCACUGUUAUAUCUUUCCAUGCCCUCAGAGAUGGCUUCAACCAAGGUUGUAGACCCUUCAUUGGUAUUGAUGGAUGCCAUUUGAAGGGUCCAUAUAAGGGUGUUCUUUUAUCAGCAGUUGCUAUUGAUGCCAACAAUGGAAUCUUCCCACUUGCAUUUUGUGUAUGUAGUGUCGAGAGUACAACCAGCUGGACAUGGUUUCUAAGCCACUUUAGGGAAUUUUUACAAGAUACAAGACAACUGACCUUUAUGUGUGAUAGGCAGAAAGGAAUUCAGAAUGCUCUUGCCUUAGAGUUUCCUAAUGCACAUGUUAGAUUCUGUGCUAGACACAUCUUAGCAAAUAUUAAGUUAAAACAUCCUCAAUCUGACUUUAAAGCAUAUUUCUGGGCAGCAGCAAGAGCAUCAAACAGAAGGGCAUUUGAUGAUGCUAUGCAAAACAUAAGAGCAGCACAUGAGGGUGUAUAUGAGACUCUUAGGAGGAUACCACCAAAUUUCUGGUCAAGGCAUGCCUUUGACAAUAAUUGCAAGUCUGAUCAUUGCACUAACAACGUAACUGAAUCUUUUAAUGCAUGGAUUGGGAUUCAAAGAAAGUUGCCAAUAAUCUCAAUGCUGGAGUGGAUUAGGAAGAAGCUGAUGAAAAGAAUGAUUGGAAGAAGAAAUAAGGCAGAGUCUUGGGACAGUGAUAUACCAAGAAGAAUUUAUGCACAAAUGAUGAAGAAUUUACAGAUUGGCAGUGCAAACCCUAUCUGUAGAGCUAGUAAAUGGCUUUAUGAAGUGGAUGAAAAUACCAAGACUUAUAUCGUUGAUCUUGAACACCAUAUGUGUGACUGCGGACAAUGGCAAGUUAGUGGGAUUCCAUGUGUACAUGCAAUGCCUUGUAUUGUGAAUAGUCAAAAAGAUCAAGCUCAGUUCAUUAGCCAAUGGUUGAAGAAAGAUACUUACCUAAGGUGUUAUUCUGGAUUGAUUAAACCAAUUCCAGAUAGAACGUCAUGGGUAGAUGCUGGUGGUGAUGAAAUACUGCCCCCUUUAGUGAGAAGACCACCUGGACGACCUAAGAUGACAAGAAGAAGAGAAGCUGAUGAGGUACCAGCACAUAAUAAACGAUACAAGAUGCAAUGCACUAUUUGCAAGGGAUUUGGACACAACAGAAGGGGUUGUCCUGUUAACCCUCAUAAUGCUCACAAGACAACAAGACAAUAUAAGGUGAGUGUGUAUGCUUGUAAGAGAAUAUUCAAUUAUUUUUUGAACCAUGUUCCUCCCAUGUGAUGACAGCUAAUGUGCCUUGUUUGUUUGUGCUUUUUUAUAGAAUAACCUGAAGAAGCACGUGACAAGGACAAAUGGGGAGCAAAGUGAAGGUAUAAGAGUAAUUUACUAAGUUAUAUUACUAUAUUACUUUACAGCUGUAUUAGAUAAUUAUAUAGUUGUGUAUCACCAAACUAUAUUAAAUUAACUUAUUUAUUUAACGUUGCUUUAUUGGUAAUUUAUAAGGCCAAGUUCACGGAAUUACCUCAACUAUUUUGGAAAGCCAAGACAAUGACAUGGUCCAAGUAACUGUCUCAGGCCAAAACAUAACAAAGAACCAGCAGACUGCAUCUAACAAACGCAAGAUUGGCAAUCAAGCAGGGCCAUCAAAAGCAAAUGAAGUCAUUGGCAAGAGCAUGAAUGGGGUCAUAUCUGUAGCUCCAUGGGUAGGUGAACAGGGAAGAAAAGUAAUGUCAGCCGCUGGAUUAACCUUCAGCAAAGAGGAUGAAGUCGGCAACUAUACUGAAAUGAAGCAUUUGGACAAAGGGAAGGCACCAGCCUUCCCUUCGUAAAGGGUAAAACCAUAGUUUUCUAUUGAUAUAAAUUAAUAUUGGUUUUGGAAAUGAUAUUUAUAAUUUGUAACUUGUUUUGUAGUGAUUCUUUGGCUAUGAUGGAGACAUUGGCAGCAAACUUAUUAACAAACAGUGGAGGCAACAUUAUCAUUUUUUGACACCUUCCACAAUGCCACAUCAACCCACCAGGCACAAGGUUAAGGUUAUCUGGAUGCUGAUUUCAUUAGGAUCAAGUGGCCAAGUAAUGACCAGGCAUGUCAUUGUUUUCUUUUUCUUUUUUAUUUUGGAGCUGAAAUUGGUGGAAGUUGUUGGACAUUAAGCUUAAGCAUUAUAGAGCUGGAAGCUGUGAUGACCUACUAUAAGUAUGAUUGGAAGGGUUUAUGGCAUUUUGAAAGUUUUUGGGAUUAAGAUACAUAUAGGACUGAUAUCAACCAAACCAACACUUUUUUUUUUUGUUUUUUGGUCACAUGUAUGUAAACACCAGAUUGGAUGUGACUAACAUUGUAAGUUGCUGCCAAUAUGCAUUUAUAGAUAAAAUAACUUAUUGCUAUUAUUGAUAUCAUAUUUGAUUAAAUGGUAUAUGUCAAGAAACGAAUGCAUUUUAUUGAUCAUAAGAUUUCAUUUUACACAUUGUUCUAGCAUUCCUUACAGUACAAUACAAGCAAUACAAGUAUAGUUAUCACUAUAAUCGUGAUUUGAUACUUCUUAUUUUUAUGAAGUAAACCUUCAAUAUUGAUGAACCUGUUGUGGAAGUCCUCAAUGUUAAAUUGUUGAAUCUCACUUGCCCUGUCUGCAGCUUCUUCUUCAAACCUUUGUAACGCUGCUUCAAUUUCUAUAGCCUCACCUGUAGAUGGUUUCCACCAUCUAAAGAAACCACAAGAUGGGUCAUUAGGGCAUGUGUAAUAUAGUUUGUUGGGGUUUGUUUUUGAUUCUGACACUUUGAUUUCUGCCCUUCUUCGACAGUAGCAUACUGUGUUAUAGAACUUGAUGAUGCCCCCAUUGAUUUUAGGUAAAUCCCUUCUUCUGUUAUAAGUUGAUGAACUUGAUGCAUUCCUUGAAGUGGACAUUUUCUUCAAAUUUCCAAUGUCGUGUCUGUUAUAUUCUUUUUGAAAUACAGCACAACGUAUCUGAACUUCAAGUUGUUGUGCUUGUUUUGUGUGUGAAUGAAGCUGCUGUUGAAGUUGUAUUGUUUCGGUGGGUAAAACCAAAUGUUGUACUACUGUAAGUUGUUGCUGAGUAAAAAAAAUGGUGGAGUUUCCAGGUGAGUCAAUGAAAAUCACUGAGGUGUGAAGAGGGUAGGAAUUUAUAUGUGUUAAACAUCACAGCUUGUGGUGAUGCAUCAGCUCAAAUUUAUCAAUUUCUUUUACUGUUCUUGUAACCAUAUAGCCGUUAUUACUGUUGCUCAGAUUUUAUAGCCGUUGGAUUUUUGAUGCGCAUGGUAAUAAACCAAUAUGCUAAGGGCAAUAUAGUCAAUAUAAUUUAACAGUUAUAGUUGGUCUUCGUGUGUAAAUACACCUUUAAAUAAUGGCCAGUGGUAAAUUCCUUAGUUCAAUGACUCACCUGGAUGCAUUUGAAUUCAACGCAAGGGUAUAUUUGUCAUUUAAUCAAAAUAUAGACUGAUCCGUUACAAUUAACUAAAAAAUAAACAGAAAUGGGUGCGCGGUGCUCAUAGGCAAAAGAAUUGGGUGCGUUGUGCUGUAUGUCAAAACAUUUGGGUGCGGGGUAAAAAUUACCCUUUGGAUUAUGAUUUGAGGGUGCAAGUAUUUACCUAGAGUUUACCUCCGCACUAAAUUCUUAAGUUUUGAAAAUUAUGAGACCUUUAUAUUGGGAGAUAUUGUAAUCGAAUCAAAACUUAAAUUUUUUAUAAUGUUAAUAUUUAAUCUUUUAAAAAACAAUAACCUCGCCGUUACAGUUUGGAUUAAGAUUUGAGUAAGUAUUUACCUAAAUUUUACCUCCGUCUGUAAAUUCUUAAGUUUUGAAAAUUAUGAGACCUUUAUAAUCGAAUCAAAAUUUUGAAUUUCAAUAUUAUUAUUCUUUAAAAAAAAUUUUGAGAUAACAGAGUGAUUGAUAAUAUAGGAGAACUUGUCUAGGCAAGCACAUGUAUACACAGAAACGUGAUGGAUUCAAAAAGAAAUUAAAGUGAUAAUGCGAAAUCGCUUGGUGGCCCAGUAAAAUUACGACUGAAUUUUUUUUUUUUUUUUUACAAAAUUCAAGCUCAUAAAUGACAAAUUUCAUUUCCCUUUCACACGUCAUUAACUUUUGUAACAUGGUGUGUGCAUCGUCAAGUGAGGCAAAAGGGUUUCAAUUACAGUUGGAAAACAUGAACAAGAAUGCAUAAUGAAUAAUUCCUUCGAUAAACCGAAAAUUAAGCACAGAAUAAUCCUAAAAUUUAAACUCUAAUAUCUUAUAAUGUAUUGAUUAAAAAUAAUCCUAAGAGCUCCCAAUUGAAACUUUCAUAAGUAUUUUAAUUGUUUUGGAUAAACAAAUUGCACUAGGAUAAAAAUUUGGCAAAUUCAGAGGAUAAUGGAAAAUAGUUAUGCUUCAAUAGGCCAAAGAUUAGAGAACAAAUAAGAAUUAUUUAUUGAUAUACAAAAGAGAAACACUCCAAAAUUUCAAGCAAAAAUAGUUUCAUAUAUCAUUUCGAUUUUGAAAGGGAUGAGAUUUUGAACUUCAAUAGUUUCCUCUAAAAUUAAAAGGUAGCAAUUAAGCUAAAAAGAGCAAUGAAGACUUAUUGGUACCUUAUUAAAGGUAAACAUUAUGGAACUUUCAAUGUCAUUAUCUCACUGUUCAAUUUUUAUUGAGAUUUGUGUAAGCAUUUACCUAAAUCUUACCUCCGCCUUUAAAUUCAUAAGUUUUGAUUAAUUAUGAGACCUUAUAUUGGGAGAUAUUAUAAUCAAACUAAAACUUAAAAUUUCAAUAUCAUUAUUCUUUAAAAAGAAAUUGAGAUAUCAGAGUAAUAUCACAUAGAAAAACUUGCCCACGGACGGUAAGCCAAAAGUCUAGUCAACCACACGCAUAAAGCUAACUAGAACAAGAGAACAGAGAAACGCGUGGGUCCCUAAAAGAAAAGGCAAGCACAUAAAUAACUUUCAAAAUGCCCAAGCAAAUACCGAUGAAAAUCACUGUUUAAGAAUAAUUUAUUAUGUGGUUGAAGCUUUCUUUUUAUCAAUCUUCUUUCUACCCAUUAAUUUUCCCACGACUUUCCCGUUUCAUUUCUUGAAUCUCCAUGGAUUAACUUUCAAUAAACCAUAAAAUAAACUAAGGAAUCAUUUUCUCGAAUACAGCUAUGAUUUUAAUAAAUGGGCGGACCAUCUAGAAUAGUAUAUAUAAUUCUGUUUAAUUAAUAAGUUGAAAAAACCAUCAAGAGAAAUUCUAAUAUUAUGAGCUUGACACGAAUUCUUCACUAAUUCCAAAACAAGGAGCUGUUUUAUAAGAACUGUGGUUGGAUUAUUAAGUUUUACAAUUUGAAUAUAAAUAAGAAAAUAAAAUCAGUCGCGUUGAUGUUUUCGAUACAUUUCGCUGCUAACUUUUUUUUUUUUUUUAUUACAUGAGACUAUUGCUCAAAUUACAACUCAUAUUACAUGAGAAUAUAACUGAUAUUUACAAAUCAGACUAUAACUGGGACCAAUAUACAUCAAUACUAAUGGAGCGCUGCCCAGAUUUUAACCCUCUCAAAUAUUCAAGGGAUGUCUACACCUCACACUUGGGUAAGGAAACAGACUGUCUUCACUUAAAUUUACUUGAGGAAUGAAGACCCCCACAAUACAUUGUGGGGGUUCACCACUCGACCAAAGGCCGAGUGGCUCAUUUCGCUGCUAACUUAAUUAAUUACUUUACUUCAACUUUAUUUCCUUAGGGGCACUUUAUGGUGGGUCCAAGAUGGGACCUACAAUAAUCAAUCCUAAAAUUUAGUAUGGUUACCAAAUAGCUAGUAGCUAGUGUUAUUUUGUGUUUGGUGGAAGAGAUUGAAUAUUUAGUUUUAACUUAACCAUUCAACUAAUUAGAAAAUAAAUAAAAUUAAAUGAAAUGUUUAGAUAUCAAUUUAAAUAUUAAUAUCGGGGAUAUAAAUUAGUUAUAAUAUAGUUCAUUACAUAAAAUUGAUUAAAUUAAUAAUUACCCGUGAACAUAGAUGUAUAUGCUUUCCAAUUUCCAAAGUGCUCAAAGCACUUUUCUCACCAAACUUUCCUCUGAAUUUCCCGUAGCUGACUCCUUUGUUUGCGUUUUGUGAAAUUUCUAGGAACUUUUUUCGAUUUAGAAUAUUGUACAUUUUUCUUUUCAGCUGAGAUUAAUUUAACUUAUAGAAAAUCUUAUCCUUUUUUAAUAUUAUUUAAAUAAAAUUUGUCUAUCUUUUAUUUUAUUAGUCUACUUUUUACCCAUUAAUUAAGACUUUUCAAUUUCUUUUUUACCUGAGGUUUUCAGUGACUAUCUUUCAAUAAACCAUAAAAAUUACUUAGUCAUUUAUCGAACAAUUAGAUGACCAUAUUUCAAAAUAUCAACUAGAAGUUGUCCUGAAAUAUUUAAUUAAUAGUUGAAGAAUUGUGAUUAGUGUGGGCAUCUACAUAAAAAUUAUAUUAAAACACCGCUAAAAGAUAAAAAUAAAAUAAAAUAGUACAAACAUACACCCAUAGGUUAAAACAAAGAAAAAACACGAACCAAUACACUAAAAUGUUUUAGCUGUAGUUAGUUUUCAGUUUCAUUACUUAAGUCCCACGUGCAUGUCACGUGACUGAGGUCAAAAAAUGAUUGUCACAUUAAAGUUCAAAAUACGGAGCAGGGUAAUUAAGGAGUGGAGCUAUUGGCACCCCUCCAUUAUUCUUACAAAACUCCACUUUAAAUCAAAAUAUAAUUAAGAAUAAUUGAAAAUUAAACACUUAUAGAUUUCUUUACAACAUGUUGAGUGAUAAAAAAGCACCAGUCGGGCAUGUCCCCAUUUCUUACCCGGUGCCGAAUCUCCACGGUCGAAUGGUAUGAGUAGACUCUUGGUGAUGUCUUCUAUGUGGAGCACGUAACAACAGACCAGGAACUAGUACCAACCAAAAACGAGUACUGAUCGAAACAAGCAUGACCAGAAACGCAUACCGACCAGAGACUUGUGGGUCCGUAAAAGAAAAGGCAAGCACACAAAUGAAAAAGCCAUUACAUUUCUAUUUUACAUGUCAUUCCUAAUUUUUGUAACACGAUGUGGCAGCAUAUGCACAAUCAAAUGAGGCAAAAGGGAUUCGACUAUCGUGGCAGAACAUGGACGAGGACGCGUGAUGAAUAAUUCCUUCGAUAAAACGAAAAACAAACGCAGAGAAAAGAAUUUCUUAUAUGACAAGAAAUUAAAGUAAUGUGACGGAACAUGAUGAAGAAAUUGCAGAUCGAUCAAUUAUCCCCAUGGACUCCUAUAAAUUCAACCAAAAUAACAAUUCCAAUAUUACCAAAUUCUUGAGUUAAAUUUAUUCAAUGCUUUUUUUUAAGAGAAAUUUUUUCCAAUGCUACUUUCCCUUUUUUGGGGAAAUUAGAACUGCGGCAUGUAUAGAAGACAUUGAGGUAUAAAGCAACAUUAAUUUCAUGGGUUAUGCGUUAUACGCAUAAUAUAUUUUCAGUCCAAAUUCAACUAUGCAAAGAGGCUUGAGAACUUAAAAUUAAGCACAAACUAAACAGACGAAGUAAAUACAUGAUUAUGCAACAUAACAUUAAUUCUCUUAAUUUAUAACCGUUUUGCCACAUGAAUCUUGCACAGUUAAUCCUAAUUGAAGACUAAAAAAGAACAAUUGGAACAAGGUUUUGAAAUAGAAUGAUAGACAAUCGAUAUGAUCCAUUUCCAGUCGUCAACGCUAAUUAACUGCAGUUUCUAGACUCCUAAUUAUACUAGCCAUAAGAAACUGUUUAGAAAACUGGUGAUCAGAUUAGAUUUUGAAAUGAAAUAAUGUUCAUUUUCCCUUCGUUACCCUUUUAUUUAUUUAUUAUUUUUAUACCAAAGAAUUCUAUCAUGAAACGAAUCAAUUUAAUCACCUUUUCCAGCAGCACAAUUUUUCUUUUAUAAAAUUUGACCACAGAGACAAAGAAGAAUUAUUCAUACCUUCAUCAGUAAGGAAAUACUUUUCGGUAUGGCUAGGGUGAGAAAAGGCUUUCCACAAACACUUGUACUUUGUAUUCCUGUAAAUUUUCUUUAAAGUCAAUAAAAAUCAUAAGUUCUUUACAAUAACCAUCUCUUUGAUAAAAAAAGUGCCGUAUUCCUUUAGAAUUUAAAACCGGCAAAAUCGAAUCAGUGUCUUUGAAGAGACAUAAUGGUCAUAAUUCUUUAAAGAGUUGGCUAUGGAAAUCCUUAUCCAAGAUUCUUUUACGCCAUAUUCUUUCGUAAACCAAAAUUCAUUUUGGAAUACUCUGUUGAGAAUGUCAAAUAAAACGGUAUUGAAGGAAGUUUUCAAAGGCAGAAUCCGCACUUGUCAAAGGGAUGAUCUGCAUUUGUCAGAGACACAAUCUGCGUCGAAUGAAUCGACACAUUUCCUUUUGUAUUCGCAUAUGUAAUUUUUGAAAAAAUGUAGCUUCUGCAUCUAUAAAUAACGCUCAGUGUAUAAUGUUUUAUUCAAAAAAAGAAAACAAGUUUCUUCAUACUCGUCGUCCGAACAUACAGAGACCGUCUCUCAUAACUUCAGCCGAAUACUUAUGAUGAUGAUCAUUUGUGAUUUCAUCAGGCAUAGGGUUGAUGGUGAAAAAUUUUGUAUGUGUGAAGAAUUGAGCUGUGGAUAUAGGGGACUUAAGUGUAAUCGAAAGAGAGUUAUUAGGCCAUAGUGUAGAUUGCAUUCAGUUUAUGAGUCGAUAUGCAAAUAAUUUGUUGACGUGGCGAAAUUUGUUAUGGUCGUUACUAUUGUUUCUGGAAAUUUUCUAGAAACCUCAGCAUAAAAGGGGCUUUUGGAUAGCCUCUGGUGUGCGUGUGAUUUCUCUUUCGUUUCCUCAUCAAAUUCUGUAAUUCUUGCUUUGAUAAAAAGCUUGUAAUCUCUUCUGUAAUUGUGAUCAGUGCGUAAUCAUUUUGAGCGAUAAAAGCUUGUAGGUUUUUCCUUCAAACAAUGUCGUUUUGGUCAGUUUGUUAGUUUGAUCUGUUGGUGGAAUUUUCUUUGGUUAUUUGUUCUCAAAUUUCAACCUUAUAUAAAGUUUGAACUCUAAUGGCUUAUAAUGUAUUGAUUAAGAAUAAUCCUAAGAGUUUCCGAUUGAAAUUUUUAAUGACUAUUUUUAUUGUUUUGGAUGCACAAAUUGCAUUAAGAAAAAAUAUUGUCAAAUUCAGAGGAUAACGGGAAAUAAUUAUGCUUCAAAAGGCCAGAGAUUAGAGAAUAAAGAAGCAUUCAUUACUGAUAUAAAAACUGCUUCUAUUUGGAUUUUGAAAGGGGUGAAGUUUUGAACUUCAGUUGUUCCUCUAAAAUCAAAAGCAAUAAUUAAGCAUUCUCAAUUAGAAAGAGCAAAGAAGACUUAUUGGUACCUUACUGAAGCUAACAUUAUGGCACGGUUGUUCAUAUGUAAUGGCUGCUCUGUUAUGCUAGCUUCUCUGUUUUUGCUUCUAUUUUUGCUUACAGUUUUGAAGAUAAAUUCUUGCUCAAAUAACACAUAAUUAAAUAACACUAAUAUGGCUCAUGAAAUCCUAUAAUAGCUAAUUACGCAACUUUCUCCUCCUCCUCAAUUCUGUCUUCCCCUGCUCGGACACUAACUUCAAAAUUCAAUGCCCCGAAAAACAACACAAGAAAUCUUUGAGUUAGUUCGUGACCAGUUUAUAUAUAGUAGCAAUUGAAAAAAGAAAAAGAAGAAAAGAGUUAAUUAUUUUUCAGACCUUCACUUAUUAGGAAGUUUGUUCUGCUAUUGGGUGAGAUCAAGCUCUCAGCAUAUACUUCCACAUGAUACUUUCUAACAUUUUCUUGAAAGCCAUCAAUCAUUAAAUCUUCAUACUUUUUUCCAUCCUUUGGAUCAAUAAGUACAAAUUUCUCAUCUAAAAAAGACAAAAUAAAAUCACUGUCCUUCAUGGAAUCAGAAUUGAGCUUACAAAAACCGAAGUGGACAGUUCCAUUCAGAUUGGUCGCCCGAGAACAAUGAUGAGAAGACUUAAAAUCAGUUUCAAAGGUUUUCCAAGUAUUGUUCCUCUAAACCACUUGUAUAUUUUACCAGAACUCUUGGUUAAGAAAAUCCUAGUCCAUGGAGUAUGAUAUAUCAAUCAUGCAACAAUGACCUACAACAUCUAUGUGGAUUGAUUUUUGCAAAAUAAAGAACAAUGCUGACUGAGGAAUAAGGUGCAUACCCGAUUAGCAAUAUCUCAGCAAGUAACCAACAAUUUUUUAUCUGAUAAGAAAAAAUUACAAUUUCUUGAAUAUACAUGAAACAUUUUGCAGAAAGAACCAUGUCAUAAUUAUUAGUCCAACUGAAGAAUUAUCAAUACUUAUCACAUGAAACGAAAGAUACCCGAGUUCACUUAAUGAAAUUCUCUUUUUUUUUUCUCUAACAUUGAGAUAAGCAAAAACUUUUAACUAAAGACAAUCAUCUAGUGAUCUCAAACAAAUGAGGUUAGUAUGAAACCAUCAUAAUUUGUUCGCUCAUUGCCUAAUUUUAUUAAUGCAAGAGCCUGGAAGCAACUCAAAAAGAAAAUAACCGACAUAGGAAGUGUCAUCUCAUAUCUCACCAAUGAAUGGGAACAGCUUGAUGUGGCUGAGCAAACUGGCAGAAUUGUCAUUUUAACACACGUUCAAGAAACUCAGCAAAUUCUCAUAUCUGUUUAAAUUCCACAGCAAAGAUAGUUACAAGAAAUCUAAUCAAAAUUUAAAAUGUCAGAAGGCAAAUCUUCCAAUUAGGAUCAAAAGAAGAUAAUUAUAAUUUGUCAUUUCAAUUCUGAAUGUACAAUUUUAUUUUUUUAUGUGUGCAUUAAUUAAGAUUCUACCUUCUCUGCAAAAUUGUGAUGGACUUGGUAAAUAAUGAAUUGUAUCGACUUGAAUUUUAUACAACUUAUUGAGAUAAUAAUACGCCAAAUUCAACACCGUCCAUCCCAAAUCACAACAAGAAACUCAAACUUUUAUCCCCUCAAGUGGGUUCUUGAAACUGAAGCUUUAGUGCCAGUACAAUUUUGAAAGAUUGUGAUCAAACUAAAACAUCAAAUAAAAUAAGACGUAACAAAAACACGUCUUCAGAAAAUUAGUAUAGGAAUAAGAUAAGCUACACAGACCUACUUCAAUGAAUUAGAAAAAUUAUGAUAAACUUGAUGCAUUUCGAAAAACAACAAACAAAUAUUCCCAGGAAAACAAAAAAAAGACAACUUUGUUUAAGCUUAGACAAAAAUAACUAAGGACAUAUGAAUGCAUCAUAAUAGUAUCUCUAUGGGUAAUUUUCAGAAAUCUCCCCUAAGGUAUGGUGUAUUCUUAGUUUGAUAGAAAAUAUCUAAGUAUUCUUAUAGACCUCCCCUACUGUUAGUAUUCCAUUUCGUAUAUGUUAGGUAGAUGAGGGUAAGAUCGUAAUUUGAAUAAGUUAAUGAUAAAAAAUCCAGAAAUUUUAAGAUUUUCACAUUGGCCUCUGGGCUUUAUUCAUCUCUUUCAUCCACCAAAACCAGAAAUACAACUCACCUCUCUCCUCCACCUAAAUCGAAGCAAGGUAGCUCAAAACUCAUUUCAAAAAAUUGAUCAAUUACUUGGGUCACAAACUAGAGACAAUGACGACGAAGUUGAUGACGCCAAUAUCGACGACGAAGCUGAUGACGCCAAUAUCGACGACGAAUGAUUCGCAACUGCCAGGUAAGAGAGUAUAGUAGGUUUCGCCAUCGAACGCCCAAUCAUCCAGUUGUUUUGGAGCCGCGUUAUUUUUAUUAGCUAAAAUUAGAAUUUUUAGUGAAAAAUUGAAAGUGGGUCUCAAAAUUUUUUGAGAGCGUAUAUGUUUCUCCUGAUUUUUCGAUCGAUUCGUGUUAGUUGCAGUUAAAUGAUUAAUCCAAUUCGUGUUGAAGAUAGAGCUAACUCGAAUAUCUCUAUAGUCCUGUAAUUGAUUGAAAAUGGGUCUUGAAAAUUGUUUUAGAUUUCAGCUGUGUGCUUCUGAUUUUUUCCAUGGAUUCAUGAUAGAUGAAAAUGGUUGAUGAAGAUUUGCUUGACAUGUAUAUAGAUGGUAUUUUGUUAAAGGGGUUUUAAUUUUUUCCUUUUUUGGUGGUUUCGAUUGUGGUAUUUACAUGCCUUAGGUUGAGAAAAACGAAAAUGGUUUGUUGCACUCUUUUGUGUUGGAUCAGUGAGUUUAGGCGAUUUGAAAUGGUUUGCGGCAUUCAAUUGAUUGUUUUAUUUAUGUGGUUUGAUAUGGGAAAAGUAUAAUAAAAUUCAAUUGUUCCAUAUGUCAAUUUGGAUGUUUUGAAAUUAUGAACUACAAAAAGUUAAAAUUAAUUUCUUAUUAUAUUUUCAAUUGAAAGUUACUAUUGUCUUCUUUUUAGUACUUAGUAUGCAUUUUUCCCCAUCUUCUAGUGGUGGUGUUGCACCCAUUUUGAAUUUGAUCGGCAUCUUCUUCUGUACAUGCAUGUUUCUUGGACUCCAAUUUUUGUUUCAUAUGAUGAAGCUAAUUUAAUUCCUCCUUUUUAAUAUCAACUUUGUUCAUCUAGGUUUGCGAUUUUGAUCUUUCUCAUUUGAAGGCAAACACAUUUAUGUCAUCAAAAUUUCCAAUAUUUUUUAUUUUAUAGUAUCCAAACUGCUUAUGGCAAUAUGAAAUUGAGAAUAUUUCUUUCAUCAUGUUAACCUAAGUGGAUGGUGGAUGAUGUUUGUGUAAGAGAUUUAAGUUAUUUGUAUUAUAGAAUAUGUCUUAUGUUUUGAUUUGCAAUUUCACCAUUAAAUUGGCUUUGUAAAUGAUUAGAAGCUAAAUGCAUAAAAUGAAAACAAUAGUAACAUUUCUGAGUGGGGUAUAAUCAGAUGCUAACAUGGCGAUCCAUGACUUGUAAUUUCUAUUGUCGUUAUAAUUGGACUAGAUCGAGGUAAACUGACUUUUCUUGUUCUGUUUUUUUUUUCAUUUCUUUGUUCUAGAUUUUUCUUUCUUUGUUUUACUUCUGGUUUCUUCUUCAGCAUAUUCAAUAACUAGCAUGAGCAAAUGGAGAGGAAAAGGGUAGAAUAUGCUUUUAAAAAAAAAGAAAAGAAAAAAAGAGAUAGCUCUAAUUCAAAAAUAAGGAGGAGAAAAGGGCAAUGAUUGAAGUUGUGGAGAAGAAAUUCUUAAUGCAUAGGAGAUGACAACAAAGUGUUGCAACUGGGAGCAGUUUUAAAGUGCUAUUCGAUUGCUUUUGUAAUCAAAUUGUCUUUUGUACCUAUUUAUACACACACAUAUUUGUAUUUGUAAUUUGAAUUUUACAUUUUCUCAAGACAACUAUGUUUAUUUUAAAAAAAAUCUAAAUGUAACUAAAAUAUUAAAGUUUUUGUACUUAUUACUCCAUUUGAUGAUUUUUUUUAUUUUUUUGCUGACGAAUAUUCCAUGUCAAUUUUUUUCCCUUCAGCUCGUUUAAGGUGUUUUAUUGUCUGAUGUGAUAUUUGGUGCUCGGGAGGAAGGGUGUUUUAAGUCUUUUUUGGUGUCAGGGGCAAUUUUGUCUUUACAUCAGUCAACAAAUAGUCAAUGGAUGGAAAUGCAAACAGCAGGGGAGGUGUCUGAUAAUACACGGAUACUUUCUAUCAAACUUAUAAUACACAAAAUCUCAGGGGAGGUUUUUGAAAAUUACCCAACUGUGCAAAAUUAUGAAAAAAAUGAGCUAAACAUAUAUAGCAUUUCAGAGGAGUGCUUACUUGACAAAUCACUAAUACAAAGCUGCGAAUGGGCAUUCGGAAUGUUUUGAGAGACUCGUAUGGAUAAAAUAUGUAGUUAUUUAAGUAAUGACAGAAGGAGAAUCGUGUGGCUUGUCAAAGCCGUUAGCUCCAUCUCAUUUGCCUCGUCCUCUCGUUUUGUUUCUGUGGGGACAUAUUUGAUAUUUUGGAUUUUGUCUAAAAUUCGUCAUGUUUUUGGAUACUAACAUCUGCGCCUCUAGACCAAUAGCCAUUUGAUUAAGUGGGAGAACCCUUACACUAGUGUAAGAAUUUGAACUUUUAUAAAAUUAUUUAUGAGAUUAUUUAUAAUUUUUUUUAAUUAUCAAAUAAUUGAGUAGAGUCAGUUUAAUCCUUACGAAAUAUUUACUAUUCAUAAAUAUCUUUUUUUUUCUCUAUCUUACAAUUGAAUAUUCUCUCUCUACUCCAACAUUAUGUAACCUAAAUAUUUAAUUUCACUCUUUUUUAAUUUAUUUUUUUGUCUUUUCUUAGUAUAUUAUAAUCUUUAUUUCAUGUUUUCUAUAUAUAAGAAUUUUUUUAUAUCUAUUAAAUUUUGUGUUUAGUGAAAAUUAAUUUCUUGAUAUUUUUAAUUUUUAUAAUUGAUAAAAAUAUAUCAAUGUUCAUUUUUAAAUGAUGGGUUUUGUUCAUUUUAGUUUGUUAUAUUAAUUUUUUGUAGGUAAAAGAAUAUAUUUGAAUGAAUUGAAGGAAAAUUGUGAAAUUGAGAAGAGAAAGAGAAGAAAAAGUUAAUUAAAUAAUUUUUUCAAAAAUUAUUUAAAUAAUAAAAUUCUUAAUUAAAAACAAAGAUGGAGAGAGAAAUUUAGUGGGUUCAAAAUACUUAUUUUAAAUCCAAAAAAGAACCAAUAAAAGAAAUCAAAAGAUGAUUCUUUUCUUUCUGACAUAUUUCUCUGUACUUUUCUCUCUCUACUGAUUCACAAUUUUUCAUACUUCUAACUAUCAUUUUAUUCAAGUAUUUUGUAUUUUUAAUGACAAUUAUUUAAUUUUUAGUUAGUUUUGAUAUUGAUUAGAGAUUUAAAGUGUAUUUUAGAAGACUUCCGGUCUCUUGAAAAAAGGAAAAAUGGAGAAGAAGAAGUGUUCUUGAUUUUUUGUAGGCGUUAAAGUUAAAUGGUUUGAAAUGAUAUUCUUUUUUAAUUUCACUCAUUAAUCUCAUUCAAGAUAAAAUUAUAAAUGCAAAUAAAUGGGGUUUCAUAAGUAUUUUUAAUAGUGUUAAAAGGUCUACUCACUAAAUAAACAUGUUUAACCCAAACCAAUGCGAUUAGUAAGUUAUUGGGUUGGGUUAAUCAGGUUAAAAAUCAAAAUUAAAAAUUAAAUAAAUAAAAAAGGUAUAAAAACUAUCUGUUACUUGAAAAUAAAAAGAAUUUCUAAUUGUUAGUUCUAAUGUCCCAUAUCCAAAACAUGCAUAUUAAAUAAAUAUUAUAAGUUAGAAAUACAAUAUCCAAGAAAGAAUGAAUGAAAUACCAUAUUUUUGUUGAGAAUUAAGAGUGUGAUUUUAAUUUUGAUAUUGGAGUCUAAAGUGCCACGUUUAAAUAUUCUCUUUUAUAAAAUAAUAAAAAGAGGUUAAAAAUUAGGUUAGCAAUUUAGCCAUUUAGGGUUUAGCAAUUAAGGAUGAACAUAUUAUUGUUGUUGUUGUUAUUAUUAUUAUUAUUUAUAUGUUUACUAAUCCAAUCCAAUCCAAUUAUUAACGAAUUUGAAAAAAUUGAUUCAAUCAAGCCAUAAUAAUUCAUUCAACUCGUCUAAAUUGGAUUAGGUUGAAUUUGGUUUGCCACCCUUGUUUUGAGCAACAAACCUCAAUGUGAUUCCAUGAGCUCUUUGAUUGUUUAUAAAAUUGUUUAUGAAAGUGCAAAAUAAAUUAUUGUAUACAUUAAAAUGUGCAAAACAAUGAAUUAUAUGUACGAACGAGUGCAAACACAUUUUUCAAUAAGAAGUUAAAAGAUAUUUAUGCAUGAAAAAGCCUACGUUUGUAGUUAUUCUAAAUUUUAAAAACAAAAUUUACAUUUAGAUCCCUAAAAUUUACGUAUAAGUACAAAAGUUUCAAAUAUUGUCUAUUAUUUUUUUAACAUGCCUAUUCCUUGUGGAUAAUUCUAUCUCAUCACUAAUGUUGUUUCUUGCUUACAAUUUGUAUAGUGUCUCAAAAUAGACAAUAGGGGGAUUUUGAAUUUUUUAAGUCUCAAUAUAGUCUCUAAUCUUGUGAGAAAGAUUUUCUUUCAAUAAUUUGGAGGUAAACAUAACAUAACUUUUUGGACUAAAGCCUAACUCUGCUGGUUAUGGUGGUAUCCUUUUCAAGACCUGCGUCUUUAGAUUCGAGUUUUAUAGUGUGCAUGCGUAUUUAAUUAAUAAUUUUUUAAAACAAUACAUCAAAUAUUAAUAUCCAUGACAUAAUUUAGUUCUUAAUUUUUUUUUUAAAUACAUCAAAAACAUAAUUUUUUUAACAACUUAUAGGCAUGACAAAUUUCAAGAUAUAAAUAUCAGUCAAAAUAAGUGAAAGAAAUAAUGGUGCCAAUUCUAAUUUCUUAACUAAAUUAAUUAGUGCAUGAGCCCCGAAUACGACACGAGAGUUUGAUGGGCUAACAUGGCACAAGAACCUGAAUAAAUAAUUGAUUUAAGAAAUAAUUCAAUGAAAAAUAUAAUUGAUAAGAAUUCAGUAUUGAAAUGAGUUUUUUAUGAAACACUGAAUUAAUGAUUAUUAAGCAAGAACAAUAAAAAAUAAAUAUUAAUCAUUGAUAAGUUUCAACAAAAGCUUAACACAAUCCUCAAUCCUAAUUCAAAUUAUAAAUGUCAUUCAUAUAUUCAUUAUAAUCAACAACAAAGGUUAUAAAUGUUUAGAAAUUCUAGAGGGAAGGAAGCUAUCGCUGGGCAAUCAACAACUAAAUUUGAUGUAAUUGUGGCACGAGAUGGAAUAUGGAAACUACACCAUAAUUUCAAAUGCCGCCAUAGACAUUGACUUAUCUACAAUAACAAUGAUCUAAUUAAAAUAAAAAUAGAGUUUAUGGGCAUUUAUUAAAAUAAAAAUAGGAGUGAAGUAAAAACAUUUAGAUUUUAAUGUAUGUACGGAAAAAUUUAUCUUUAAAAAUACUUUCUUAAUGUGUGUGUGCAUAUUGAAAUACUCAAACCAAUUUUGGUUAUAUAUAAUUCAACAAAAUUUAAAAUAUGAAAAAUAUAAUGUAGUUAUAGUGGAUAAGCAAUAAGUGAGCACAAUAUAAUUAAUCAAAUACUAUGCUAUCAAAAGUUAAUUUUAGAAAUUCCAAAUCCAAUAGCUAACACAAUUCUUUAAAGAAAUAACAAGGGGCAUUGGGCAAGAGUAAUGAAUGCUUAGUGGGUGCAUUUGAUUGAUAGAUAUAUAAAGGGCCGAAACUUGAUAUUAUAUUACUUUUACAAAAUUUAAUCCAAUCACAUAUUUAAUGAAAACAAAAUGAGUUAGGAUUGUUUAUUUAGAACCCACAUUUUAAUAAGGCUUCAUUUGAUGUAGUUUUUCAAACAUUGAUUAUUUGAGUAAUUACAAAGUACAAUACGUACCAAGUUUGGUAACUUAAUUGACAUCUUCUCAUAUAACCUUCGAUCAAGUCGAUUCUGACCUGACGACUAAUUGGUACAUCACCGUUGUUCUCUAUACUCGCAUGCAUCCGAUCACAAAUCUCACUCCAAUUGUCGUCUUUCUUCGGCGUUUUAGCGCAUCCUUCUUGAAUUUCCCGCAUUUCGUUCCCUCCUGUUACAAGUCUCCGGUCAGGUCAGUUCACUUGACGAUUAAUUCGGCAAAUCUCGAAUCUCUUCUCUAUCCCUCUCGUUUUCUCGUGUCUCCUUUCAGUUUAAGUGAUUGAAUCAAUUUUAUCGCAGUCUUAAGAGAAAUUAAGUAAUGCUCUUGGAUUUAAAAUUUUUUUGCUUUCGACUUUAGAUCUCGAAAGUCAAACUCUGCUACGAAUCCAUAGAUUCUCAAUGUUUAUAAUCUUAUUUGUGUUUGACCAGGUAACUGGAUCGUGAAAUUCGUCGUUUUGUAUCAAUUCAAGCUUUCGCGAGCUCAUGGAAUCCCCUGGUGAGUUGUGGUGAAACGUUAUCGUUUCAAUUUUCGCUUAAUUCUUUAUUGCAUAUUUUUUUCUCUCUAAUAUUUCAGUUUAAUUUAGAAAAGAAAGAGGACCCAAAAAGAGAGAGAGAGAGAGAGAGACUCUACCAUACUCAAUUCCUUGCUCAUUCUGAUUUGGCCUGAAUGUUGGCAUUGACUAUUAUUUGUUUUCAUUUCGAUUUAAUUCUCAUUUAGACAGUCUUUUUUAACUAGCAAUAAUCUUUUUAAGGAAAAUGAUAAUAGGGAUUCUGCAAUAAUCUUUUUAAGGAAAAUGAUAAUAGGGAUUCUGCAAUAAUCUUUCUGCAUUGUUCAAGUUAGUAGACAAUGAAUAGGGUGUUUAUGUUUACCUCAUUUUGAACCCUGAGGGCUUCGUUGAGUAGUUGAUCCAACAUAUCCAGCACCGGUUGAUGUGAGAACAGGAUGCCAUUUAGAUAGGCUUAAACUGAUUUUGGAGGUUUGUAUUCAUUCUAUUGUAUGUCUUGCUUACAAAUUUUUUAUUUUUUAUUUUUAAUUUUGUAUAAUAUGCUCUUUGUUGGUAAAUCUCAUUUGACUUAGAAGAGAUAGUUUUAUCCCAACAGUGGGAUAAAUCAUUGAGAUGCAUGGCAGUGUGAAUAUAGUAGACAAAAUCAUUGAGACAGAUGGUGGUGUGAACAUAGUAAACUUUGUCAAACACAGCUAAGAUAAACAAAUUGUUUCAUUAGCCUUUAUCUUAUCUGCUGUGAUGAUUCAAAUUAAUGCUGUUUGGUAGGUUGCAAAAAACGAAAUGAGCUGACUGUUCAUAUUAUUUAGUCAGAUCUAUUGCAAUAAGUUGAAGUUCACUGUCACAUGGGUUGGGAGUAGCGUGGGCUGUGAGUAGUAGAAUGGAUUUAUGGAGUUGAUACAAGUGCCCAUAAUCUAUCAUGUCAUUCUAGGAUUAAAUGGAUUGCACAUUACUGUAAAGAUGGAGGUUAAAUUUAUAUAAUUCGGAUUGAUUGUAAAAUGGGAGGCAGAGAUGAGUUAGAAAAAAAAUGACCUGUGUCCUUUUUGAGCUGUUUCUAAAUCUCCCUGGUGUGCUUCAUGCUUAACACGUGUCUGUCCAAAUAAUUUUGCUUAACCUGUGCUUGUCUACUUCUUGUGCUAUUCUGUGCCUGGUCCUGAGCUGUGUUGGUAGAUUGACAUAAUUUUGCUCUGCUAAAUGUAUAACUUAUUAAUCAGAGUCCUGUUAUUAUGGUUUGACACUACUGACAUGUUGUGUUGGUAUUUAUUUGUACUUCCCUUGGUUGAAUUAUUUGCUGUCUCCAUGCCAUUCGAUAUGGUGCUACUUGGUUUUUGAUCAUCCAUGACGCUAUAUAUAUGUAAAGGAUGAAUUGAUUGUUUUGGCUUGUAUUCUCACAUUUUAUGAUUGAUCGAUGGAAAGGUCUUCAUGUAUUAAAUUCAACCUCACAAGCGUAAGAUUGACAGAUUGUGGGAAAAUUUUCAGGAAAAGAAACUAGACUUCAUGGAAGCAAUGAAGCUUGAAAUUGAACGUCUGCAGCUGCAUCUUUCUGCAGCUGAAAGGGAUAGAGCUUUAUUGUCAAUUGAAACUGAUCCUGCCUCUAUAAAUCCAAAUGUAUUGCUUGAUGAAUCUUACAUGGGAAGACUGUCGAGUAGCAACCACUCUUGCAUUACUUGGCCAAACUUCCCUAGAAGACAAAAUUGUUGGUGCAAUUGGCCUUGAGAAUAGUGAUGAUAGUGUUUUAGACUUCUGGAAUAUUACUAGAAUCGGAGAGAGUUGUUCUGGUGGCGGGUGCAAGGUUUGUGCAGAAACUAAGGUGCCUGCUCUUGCUUCCUCAACUGCAACAUCUGUUGGAGCUUCACAAUCCCCUUUGUUGUGUUCUCAAUGUGAAAGAAAAGUUUGCAAAGUUUGUUGUGCAGGAAGAGGAGCUCUACUGUUUUCAAAUUAUAAAUCAAGGGAUGUGACCAACUACAAUGGCUUCUCAAGUCAGAGUGGAUGAAGCCAUGGAAGCCAAGUUGAUGUAUCUACCAGUCGUUCACUAACACUGGAUGGCGUUAUCUGUAAACACUGCUGCCAUGAGAUUGUGCCUGAUGCAUUGAUGUUGGACCAUGUUAGGGUCUUGAUUAGCUUGCGAAGAAGUUCCUGUGCAGACAACGCAGUCAUACAAUGCUUUGAAUGAGGUUGUUGGAUCCUGCUUAAAGGAUAGUGUUUCUGAAAGGAUUCAGUCUUCCGAUAACGUGCAAGCUGCUGAAGUCCUUCACCAAUUAUGUGGUGGACAGGAAUCACUUGCUGAAUUUCCAUUUGCUAGCUGUUUGCACUAGGUAUGUUCUUGGUUUGUAUUCAGUUCUCAUCAUGUUAUGUUUUCCUUUUAAAUUUCUUUUCUUGAUUAAAAUUUUUAGAAAUAUGUUUUAGUAUUUGUUCUUAUGAUAUAUGCCCAGAACAUUCAUCCCACUUAUCCAUGAGAAUCCUUGUCUGGUUUGAUUUUCAAUUGAGACAUUUUUGGGAACCCUGAGCAGGUUCCAUAUGCUAAUAAUCUUUGAGGUAAGGUGUUGUAGGAUGCCUUGAGAAGCUAAAAACCUAUUACAAGGAAAAGCUCUUGCAUUGUUUUGUGGAAUCUGUGUUGUGAAAAUAGGUAGAGAAAAAGUUUAUGGAAUAAUUCUCUUAUUUCAUAUGUUCAUGAGACUGUACACAGUCUUUAUAUAGGGAUACAAGAGACUAAGAAAGGAAAGAAAAAAUUAAAGCAGAAUAUUACACACUGAUUUCUAGGAAGCAAUAACUCUAUAUUUACACCAAAUAUACACCUAAAUAUAUAAGGAAAACCAAAUCAAUUUGAUUUGGUCAACCUUUCAACACUCCCCCUCAAGCUGGUCUAAAAAUGUCUUUCAUGGCCAGCUUGCAAACCAAUUUCUCAAAAUGUUUCUUAGGUAGUCCCUUGGUGAGUAUAUCAGCAAUCUGCUCAUUUGUAGGAAUGUAGGGCAUGCAGACCAAACCACUGUCCAGUUUUUCUUUUAUGAAAUGUUUGUCCACUUCAACAUGUUUAGUUCGGUUGUGGAGUACUGGAUUAUGUGCUAUUGCAAUGGCAGAUUUGUUGUCACAAUAUACUUUCAUAGGUAGAGAAUUAUUUGCCUUAAGUUCUUCAAGAACUUUUUUGAUCCAAAAAACCUCACAAAUUCCUAGAGCUACUGCUCUAUAUUCUGCCUCUGCACUACUUCUUGCUACCACAGUUUGUUUCUUGCUGCGCUAAGUGACCAAAUUUCCUCCGACAAAGGUGCAGUAACCCGAAGUGGAUCUUCUAUCGGUUACACUACCAGCCCAGUCAGCAUCAGUGUAGACUUCUACUUGUAGGUGCCCGUUUUUUCUAAACAAAAGACCUUUACCCGGAGAUCCUUUUAAGUAUCUAAGGAUUCUAUAUACAGUUUCAAAGUGUUCUGGUCCUGGAGCAUGCAUAAACUGGCUGACUAAGCUCACUGCAAAGGCUAUGUCCGGGCGUGUAUGUGAAAGGUAGAUUAAUCUACCUACAAGGCGUUGGUACCGAUCUAUGUUGGUCACAUCUUCAAUAUUAGCUGGCUGUAAUUUCAUAUUAGGAUCUAUGGGUGUCUCGGCUGCUUUACAUCCGAGUAAACCUGUCUCUUCAAGCAAAUCAAGAACAUACUUGCGUUGAGACACAACAAUCCCAUCUUUUGAUCUAGCAAACUCCAUGCCCAAAAAAUACUUCAGGUUGCCUAAGUCUUUGAUUUCAAAGUCACGUGCAAGCACUUUCUUUAAUCUGCAAAUCUCAACUAAGUCAUCACCAGUCAAAAUUAUAUCAUCUACAUAUACAAUUAACACGACUAAUUUCCCUUCAAUAGAAUGUUUGUAAAACAUUGUAUGAUCUGCCUGACUUUGGGAGUAGCCGUGUCCCUUUAUAACAUUACCAAAGCGUUCAAACCAUGCUCUAGGAGACUGUUUGAGCCCAUACAAAGACUUAUGUAGUUUACACACUUUACUGUUGCCAUGAUUUCCCUCAAAACCUAGUGGUAAAUCCAUAAAGACUUCUUCUUCUAGCUCCCCAUUCAGAAAAGCAUUUUUAACAUCUAACUGGUAUAGAUUCCAAUCAGAAUGUACAGCCAAUGAGAUAAGGACCCGGAUGGAAUUUAUCUUUGCAACGGGGGCAAAAGUUUCUUGAUAAUCAAUUCCGUAGGUUUGAGUGAAUCCUUUUGCUACAAGCCUUGCCUUAUAUCUCUCAACACUCCCAUCAGCAUUACAUUUAAGUGUAAACACCCACUUUCAACCCACAGUUUUCUUUUCUUUUGGUAAAUCCACAAUCUCCCACGUACCAUUCUUCUUUAGAGCAUUCAUUUCCUCUAAAACUGCUAACUUCCAAUCUGGGUGGUCUAGGGCUUCUUUUAUGGUUUUAGGAAUUGGUAUUUGAGAGAUUUUUGUGGUAAAGGCUCUUUGUUUAUUGGACAACUUUUCAUAGGAAACAUAUCUAGCAAUGGGGUGCUUAGUACAGGUUCGGGUUCCUUUCCUAUGUGCUAUGGGUAAGUCAAGAUCAGGAAAAAAAGUGCUGAAAUGUUUAGGAGAAGAAAUGUUACCUGAAUUUUCUGAGGAAUCAGUGCUUGGAGGCAACGAUUGAGGCUGUAUCGAGUUUAUGAGAGGGUCUUUACUGUUGUGAUGAUACUUUCGAGUAUAAACACGCAGCUCUGGUGGUGGAAUUUUAUCUUGUAGUAUUUCUCCCCCUGUCUCUGGUACAUUAACACUUGGUUCCUGUAGUUCAAGGUUUCCUAGGUUUUCAUUAUUAGAAAUAUCAGUUUUUUGAGUUUGAGUUGGAGUGCCCAGAUCAGGUAAAAACUGAUUAGGCAUAGGUGUAGAAGUAUGCCAAAAAUGAUCUUCACUAUUUUCUUUCUCCCCCUGAAGAGAAUUUUGGCCAAAAAAAGGUUGAUUUUCGAGAAAUAUAACAUCCAUACUGACAUGGAAUUUCUUUGUUUGAGGAUUGAAACAUUUGUAACCUUUUUUAUUAGGUGCAUAGCCCAAGAAAACACAUUUUUCAGAUCUAGGAUCCAAUUUAGAUCUAAGAUGGUUAGGAACAUGAACAAAUACAGUGCACCCAAAGACUCUUAACUGAAUAUUGGAGGUAAUCCUACUAGAAGGAUAUAUAAGUGUGAAGUAUUCUAAAGGUGAUUGAUACUUUAAAACACGGGUAGGCAUCCUAUUAAUCAAAUAACAUGCUGUUAAAACAGCAUCACCCCACAAAUAUUUAGGAACAUGCAUAGAGAGCAUGAUAGCCGACUAACUUCAAGUAAAUGGCGGUUUUUUCGUUCCGCAAUUCCAUUUUGUUGUGGAGUAUCACGACAAGUGGAUGUGUGAAUUAUACCCUUUUCCUUACAAAACACCUCUAGAUAAUUAUUAAAAUAUUCAGUACCAUUAUCUGUAUGGAGUAGACUUAUUUUUGUUUGAAAUUGAUUUUCAACCAUGUUAUAAAAAUCUUUGAAUAACCCCUCAACUUCAGAUUUUUCUCUCAUUAAAUAAACCCAACAAAGCCGAGUAUGAUCAUCUAUGAAUGUUACAAACCAUUUUUUUCCAGUUAAAGUGUUGAUUUUUGAGGGUCCCCAAACAUCACUAUGAAUUAAAUAAAAAGGUUUUGAGGCACGAUAAAUAAGUGCUUUAUAUGAAACUCGAUGACUUUUAGAUAAAAAACAACUUUCACACUGAAAAGUAGUACAAUCAACAUUUUUAAAUAAAUUUGGAAACAAAUAUUUCAAAUAAGGAAAGCUAGGGUGUCCUAGUCUAAGGUGCCAAAGCAUUAUUUGAUCCCUAGCAGAGUUUGAACUAAUACUACUGCUCAAACCUUGAGUUUGUUUAUUCCUUGAUAAGUAGUCAUCAAAAUAGUAAAGACCUUCUCGCAAACUAGCACUGCCAAUCAUCGUCCCCAAGUCCCUGUCCUGAAAUUCACAAUGGGAGUCAAAAAAGACAGCACAACAAUUAGAAUCUUUGGUUAAUUUACUGACAGAUAACAGAUUGCAAGAAAGUUUAGGGACAUGUAGCACAUUUUUAAGCUCAAUGGUUCCAGAGAUUUUUAUUGAUCCUUUUCCAGCUAUGGAAGAUAAGCUUCCAUCAGCAACUCUUACCUUUUUGUUACCAGGGCAAGGAUAAUAGGAAUCAAAUAAACUAGAAAUGCUAGUCAUAUGAUCAGAAGCACCCGAAUCAAUAAUCCAUGGUGCAGUAGUUGAGUGGCUAAAUAGAGCAUUAAUAAUACUACCUGUUUGGGCUAGUGAACCACUAGGAGUACUAGGUGGAGGAUUAGAAGUCAGCAGCUUUAUGAGAUGGUCAAUUUGCUCCUUGCUGAGAUUUUUUUCUAGAUUCUCCACUUCAUUGGCAGACGCACGGCUAUGCUUGCUGUUUUUCCAAUCUGCAGGCUUUCCGUGGAGUUUCCAGCAAGCCUCCCGAGUAUGGCGUGGUUUAUUACAGUAAUCACACCAUACUCGAGGUUUUUGUUGCUGUUGAGUGAUGGAGCGGGUAGCAUUAUCUGCUGUAACAAGGGCAGAUUUUUCCACAGAGACAACGGAGUUCUUUUUUCCCAACAUAACACCUCGACGACUUUCUUCUCUCCUUACUUAAGAGAAAACAUCCUCAAGAGUAGGAAGUGGCUUUCUCCCAAUAAUUCUUCCUCUUACCUCAUCAAAUUCAACAUUGAGCCCAGCCAGGAACUUGAAGAUUCGCUCAUUAUUGACAGUUUGUUUGUGGUGUUUAAAAUCUUCCAUGCUCUCCCACUCGUAGUCGUUGAAUAAGUCCAGAUCUUGCCACAAUCUCUUUAGAGUAUUGAAGUAUUUUGUUAUACUAUAAUCUCCUUGACGGAUAUCUCCAAGAGCAAGCUGCAACUCAUAGAUCUGGGACUGAUUUCCAUAGUCAGAGUACAUCUGACUCACAUUAUCCCAGAGUUCUUUUGCAGUAGAGUAGCACAUAUAAUUUGCACCAAUGUCUUCAUCCAUGGAGUUGACUAACCAUGCCAUAAUCAUGGAGUUUUCGGCAUCCCAAACACCAUAAGAGGGAUCAGAUAUUUCAGGAGCCUUAACAUCUCCGGUAAGAUAACCAAUCUUCCCUCUUCCCCUAAUAUACAUUCUAACCGACUGAGACCAUCUUUGAAAAUUUCCUUCAUUCAGCCGGAUAGUUGUAAUCUGGACAGAAUGAGAUUCAGAAUGGGAAAUUUUUGGUUCUAGUCUUUUUGAGGUGACUGUGGUUUCAGAAGAUUGGUCAGACAUGGUAGGGAAGAGAUCAGAAAGAAAGGGAGCCUAGCUCUGAUACCAUGUGAAAAUAGGUAGAGAAAAAGUUUAUGGAAUAAUUCUCUUAUUUCAUAUGUUCAUGAGACUGUACACAGUCUUUAUAUAGGGAUACAAGAGACUAAGAAAGGAAAGAAAAAAUUAAAGCAGAAUAUUACACAUUGAUUUUUAGGAAGCAAUAACUCUAUAUUUACACCAAAUAUACACCUAAAUAUAUAAGGAAAACCAAAUCAAUUUGAUUUGGUCAACCUUUCAACAUGUGUGCUAGCAAGUCAUGUCUCUAAUAAUUUCAUAGUUUGCUUGAUUGGAAUUUUUUAUCUUGAUAUGGAUUGUUUAUUCUAGAUUCCUUGGUGCUGUAGGUUGAAACAGCAAAAGAUUCAGCACCGAUUUUGUCACUGCUUGCUCCAUUAAAUUCUGGAUCAAGGCACUCAUAUUGGAGAGCUCCACCUUGUACUACUUCUGUUGAAUUUGUUAUUGUUCUCUGUUCUGUUUCUGAUGUCAGUGGGGUUAUCUUGCUUGUUAGUCCUUGCGGCUAUUCUGUGGGUGACACUCCGAUGGUAAGUGCCAUAUUUAUUCCCUUAUUUCCUUGUUGUUCAAUAAAUUUGGUGAUAAGCCAAGUGGCCUUAAUAAUGAAGCCCAGUACCAGGGGUGGUGGGUAAUCGAUAUUCAACUUGUGAAUAUUCCUAAGCAAGCACUGAAUCAACAUAGACCUCGGCAAAAGUUCUCCAUGCUAUUAUAACGAAAGUCAUAUUUUGAAAUGAUUAAAAGAGUCCCUGUGUAGUGCUAUUUCCAAAGAAAUUGCAGCUGGAGGUUUAGUUUCAUGUAGGUUAGUUUCCGAUAAUAAACUUUCCAUUUCAUUAAUUGCUGAUGAAAAAACCAAGUAAGAACAGUUUUGUUGCUCGUCAUUUAUGUAUAUUUUGGUAAACUGUAAUUUUAAAUUCUCAACGAUCUUCCCUUUGUAGGUAAGAAGAUGGUCCACUCACUUGAUAUUUAUGAUUGUAGAUCAGGUUUCUAUUGGUUUGCCUUUAUCAUUCGGAACCCAAGUUUGAUAUUAACAGAGAUCACGUCAAUAAUAUCCUAUUUGGGUAGAUGUGGGUGAGGAUUUAAAAUCAAAUUUGAAAUUGAGGGCAAAGAAGAGAAAAGAAACCGCAAUAAUUAAACAAAAUAUUAGGAACUAUUCUGAUGAGUUUUAAUCUCGAGAGGAACAAUUUUCAAAUGCAAAAUUUAACUGCUAGAGAAAUUGUAGCUUUUUGUCAUUAGUUAAGAGGAAAGAGAAUAAGAACUAUCUGGCCCUUUCCUUCAUGAAUGUGUGUUGAGGUUGCUGUAUUAUUUAGUCAGUAUUUGUAAUUUUCUUCCCUGCAGUGCUCUCUGCCUCCUGAAUUUGCUACUGAGUCCAUAUUUUUCUUUGAGCUGUUGCUUCCUAUUGCUGUUACAGGUACAAAUCUGGGCAAGCAAUAAGAUACACCGGGAGGACAGGUCAUCAAUGGGAAAAUGGGAUGUCCAAUCCCUCAUCACAUCUUCUUCAGAUUUGUAUGGUCCAGAAAAGUCUGCUAGUGUUGAAAAAUUACCUAGGCAUGUAAAAUUUACUUUUAAGAAUCCUGUUAGGUGCCGCAUUGUUUGGAUCACAUUACGUCUUCAGAGACCUGGUUCGGCUUCAGUUAAUUUCGGGAAUGACUUCAGUCUUUUGUCUCUUGAUGAAGAUGAAAACCCCUUUGCACAAGUAGACAGACGUGCUUCAUUUGGAGGAGCAGUUGAAAAUGAACCAUGUAUUCAUGCCAAAAGAAUUCUUGUAGUCGGAAGCCCAGUAAAAAGGGAGGGGCUUACCACAUCACAGAGCUCUGAGCAGCUAAGUAUUAGAAACUGGUUGGAUAGAGCUCCACAAAUGAGUAGAUUCAAGGUAUUAGUUGCUUUCACUCUUUGUUCAUUCAUAAUUCCAGCUUUCUGCUUGAUGCCUUGCCUCUGAUAAACCUCUUUUUUCUCUUCAGGUCCCAAUUGAGGCCGAGAGAUUGAUGGACUACGAUCUCGUCUUGGAACAGUAUCUACCUCCAGCGUCACCUUCGCUUGCCGGAUUCCGUCUAGAUGCUUUCAGUGCAAUAAAACCUAGGGUUACCCAUUCACCUUCCUCAGAUUCAGAUAUCUGGGACAAAUCAGUAACAUUUUUAGAAGACAGGUACAUCUCUCAAGCUGUGUUGUAUUUACAAGUAUCCGCACUCCAGGAACCACAUAACAUGGUAACUAUUGCGGAAUAUCGACUGCCGGAGGCUAGAGCCGGAACGCCAAUGUACUUUGAUUUCCCACGACCGAUACAGUCCCGACGAGUUUCAUUCAAGCUUCUUGGAGAUGUUACAGCAUUUGCAGAUGAACCUUCAGAACAAGAUGAUUCAGGAUUGAGAGCUCCACUUGUGGCCACAGGUUUGUCUUUGUCAAACAGAAUCAAGUUAUAUUAUUAUUGUGAUCCUUAUGAGCUCGGAAAAUGGGCAAGCCUUUCUGGAGUUUGAUCGUUAUUUAUAUGUCAGAGAAAGGGUUUUGGGUUUGAUUUUGAUUUUGAUUUGUAAUUUUUGUCAGUUUAUUGAAAUUUUUUGUUGUAUAAAAGCAGAAUGUAAAGGUAUAAAAAUUCAUUGAUGCUGCAAUGUCUGUGCUUUUGAGAAAGAAAGAAUUCUAUGGCUUUUCUAUGCCAUUGGAUUUUCCACUGCCUGUAAACUUGGGCUGUCGAAUGCUCUGUGAACCUUAAGGGCUAUAAAGUAAUUUUCAAGACUGAAGGAUUUAUUAAUCGAGUUCAAAAGAUUGCAAGUUGGUGAGCGUUGGCAUUUAAAAAAUCAAUUGUUAUUCUCUCAAUAAUCUCUGUCUUCUGCCGACACCCCAUGCUCAGAAACCCAUUGUUCCGACGGACGUGUAACACUUCUAGAAAUUGUUUUGAUCUCUCCUCGUGAAGUGUUUUCUUUUUCGAGUGAAGGUGGUUUUCUACUUGCAUACGUCGGGGGUCUUAUGAUAUGUAAUGUGUGAAAUUUCUUUCUCAUUUUACCAUAAAGAAAAAUGUUGUAAUAAUCUAAAGCUCGAGUCUUAAAUUAUCUUAAAUUUAUAUUUAGAGUGGAGCUAUUCGCAAUCCUACAUUAAAAUUACAAAUAAAAAUAAUUGAAAAUUAAACACUUAUAGAUUUUUUUUACAACAAAUUAUUUAAUUCAUAAUCAAUCCUUUAAAAAAAAAAAUCCAUAUGUUACUUGCUAUCUAACUAAAAUAAAUUUUACAAAUUUAGAAUAAUCUAUUGAUUUCUUUUGAUUUCUUAUUAAUUAAAUAUUUUUAUACAUAAAAUUGCUUUGAAAUUAUAAUUUGAAAUAUGUGUUAUUUCAGCCAAUGAUUAACACUAAAAAACUUAUCACCCAUAUAACUUUUUAAUUUGUGUGUAGGGUAAUAAUAAAAUCAAAAAUAAUUAAAAAAAUAGUACAAUAAUGAGUUUUAACAAUAAAACAAAUCAAAUGAAAAUUGAAAAUUUAGAAAAAAUGUAUCUAAAAAAGGGAACGUUUUUUAAAAUAAAAUGAAUAUAACUAAAAAGGGGUUUUAUGAGAAGAGCAGAGGGGUGCCAAUAGUCCAACUUGUAAUUAAGAAUCUCCCAUUAUAUUGUCAACCAAAAAGACACUUGAAUAAGAAGAAGAAUUUAUCAGUUUGAUUUUAUUUAUAGAUCCAACAUUUCUCAUAUCCUAAACGCCUUUCCGUAUCAAAUUAAAACAGUAGUCGCAAAAUCGUAGUAUUAAAAUCGUAGUGCACAUUCAAUUAACCAACUAAUAGUCUUUGGUAUAAGAUUUUAUAUUAGCUAGCCAAGUAGGUUGUCCAUCCCACUCAGACAUGAACGAAAGCUAAAUUCAUCAAAUGGUGUUAUACUAUUAAAUAUUUUUAUAUUUAAAAUUACUUUGAAAUUAUAAUUUCAAAUUAAAAUAGUAGUAGCAAAAUCGUAGUGCACAUUCAAUUAACCAACUAAUAGUCUAAGAAGCAAAGAGAGGAUUACAAGUUCACAACACCAUUACAAAGGAUUCAAAAUUCCCACACGAAAACAUCAAUGUACAGAUUAUAAACAAUCCGAAUUGGACACAAGAAAAAGCCCUUCAAUGGAUUGCUUUCCUUCCCAAUGCUAUAUACUGUGCAAACUCCGCACUGGCCAAGAAAAUGUUUUCAAUUUAGUGUAUUUUCAAAUUGCUUAUUUUCUCAUAAUAUAAAAAAUAAAAAAGAAUCCUUACAUGUUUCAUCAGCAUGAUUAAAAUCAAAGAAGAAAGCGAAGACGUAAUGUCUCUGACAUAAUAAAAUUACAAAAAUUUCAAGGAAAAAAAAAAGGUUAAAACAUGUAAUCUUCAGAAGCAUAUAAUAAAAGAACACUUCCACAAAUUACUACAAUUUCAUGCAGUAGAGAUUGAAGAGUUGAAUUCCACUAAUUUUAAUAAUGAAAACAACAACAGAGGAUUAACUGAUGCUUUGACUUAUUAGCAGGUUGCUUUGACUUAUUAGUUCUGCAGCUAAGUUAAAUAAAAUAAGCUAUUUUCAAAAGCAAAAUGGAAUACAUAGAUAAAAACAUCAUCUUAAACAAAUCACAAUCUAGAAUUAGAGCAUUUUCGACAUACCUAAGGAACACGAAUACGUGAAAACGGGUGAUUUAUUUGUUAAGGAGUGUUGAUUUGGUCGUCUCUGCAAAUUCUUUAGGGACUCGGUUCCAAUUCCUCUUCAUCAAAACUGUAAUAUAAUUCCCCUUCAUCAGAACUCGAAUCGAUGCAAUAUAAUUCCCCUUCAUCAGAACUCGAAUCAAAUUCACUUGCAGCAGUUCCACUCGCGCUUGGCAAAUCAUCCAAUUUCCAAACUUCGGUAACAAAAUUGAGAGUAAAAGUGUUGGCUUUGAUCUCGCUGGGAUUUGCAUAUACUGGACAUACUCCGCAACGUUUUAUCUUCUGACCCUUUUGGACCUUUAUUAUGUUUCGGUGACACUCAUUGAAGAACUUAAAUGUGGCAGUUGAAUGAUGGUCACCAUCAGGAAAGCCAACAUUCAAGCAAGGUUUAAAACCAAGUAUGACAUGAUCUGAAUCAUGGGGGUCUUGAAUUGAGUGCAAAUUGUAACCCAGAUGAACAUGUUUGGUUUCAGAGAGAGUCUUUAUUUCUAAGUCGGAUCGACAGUAAACGUAAAAAUAACGAAAACGAUCAGAAUAAAGUUGCUUAAAAUCAAGAACAGCACAAAAAGCAAACCCGAUUAAGUUUCUGCAAAAAGAGUGCGGUGGCAGUUGAAUACGUAUCGAAGAUCCUGAACUUUGAUUGCUGAACCAGUCAGGAAUUUCGCUCCCAGGUAAAACAAUUUGGGAUCCCCUGAGUUCAGAAAGUUUCUGCGAAACGACAUUUAAAAAAAGAAAAUUGUAAAAUGAAAACCAUGAUUUCAGAUAUAACAAAGAGGGACAGAGUAAACAAGAGAGGGAAUUUGAUACCUCGUUGUAUGCAUUUUCAUAGCCCAGUCUCAGUGAUGCUGCAAUUGCCAUACGUAGUGAAUCUGCCAAAAUCUUGUUGUUUGCUUUUCCAUCAAGUUUCAAGCAGUUAGUAAACUCAAAACAAAUUGGUUGUGGCGUCACAUAUUCCGGAUGCCAUUCACGAAGGUCAGGAGAGGGUUUGGAUAGCUUUUCGAGUACGGAUGCAUCUAGUUCUUGUACACAUGACGGAAUCUCUGGCAAAGAUUGAAGCCGGUUGCAGUUCAUUGCUUUUAGUGACUGUAGACACAAUGGAAGUUCUGGUAAUGACCGAAGCAUGUUACAAUCCUCCAAGUGAAGAGUUUCUAGACCCAAUGGAAGUGCUGGUAAUGACUGAAGCAUGUUACAACGCCUCAAGUAAAGAGAUUUUAGACACAAUGGAAGUUCUGGUAAUGACUGAAGUAUCUUACAAUCCCUCAAUUCAAGAUAUUUUAGACACAAUGGAAGUUCUGGUAAUGACUGAAGCAUAUUACAAUCCUCCAAGUUAAGAUAACUUAGCCACGACAGUUGCUUGAUACUUGCAGGUAAACUCUCAAAGUUAUUUCCACUUAAAUUGCCAAUGUUAUCCGGCAACUUGUCAAGUAUAGAGCAACCACUUACGGACAAAAAUGAAAGCCCCGGUAGAUUUUCAAAUGGCGAUGGCAGCUCUGUAAUUGCCGUCCAGACUAAAUAGAUGCAAUUUAAAUGUUCCAUUUUCUCCAAGAUUUCUGGGAAACGCUCAAGGUUCAAGCAGCCAAAAAGAAAAAGAUCAACCAAAGAUCUCAAUUUACAGAACCUAGUUGAAAUCCUCUUCAGCCGUUUGCAAUGCCCCAAAUCCAACACUUCAAGAUCAGUUAGGCACUCUAUUGAUGAUGGAACUUCUUCUAUUGCAGACUGGCCUAAGGAUAGCUCUGUGAUUUUCCCAGAAAUCCGUGGAAACUCUUUGAGAUUAACACAAUAGGAGAAAUUAAUAGUUACUGGACAAACAAAAUGAAGAUUGCUUGGAAAAGACCUAAGACUUUUGCAGCCCUCAAAAGACAACGCACUGAGAUACUUGAAAUUCUGGAUAGAUGAGGGAACACAAGCCAAGUUUGUAUAAUCCAAAAGAUUUGUUUCAACAUUUGGGGUUUCUAAUGGGCCUGGCAUCUUAAUGAAAUGUCGAGAAUGAUUGAGGUUAAUAGAUUUUAACUUGAAAGCUUCCUGCAAUAACAGAUAUAUAAAGACUAUAUUAAUUAAAAAGCAACAUUGAAUUCAACAAUUAAUUGCACGUAUGUUUAAAGAAAGAAAAAAAUUAAUGUUUUAGUUUUAGUACAAAACUUACCUUUUCUCCUUCCCAAAGUUGCUCAACUUUACUAAAACGCAAAUUCAGUUCAACAAGGUUCAUUGGCUUGAAAUUUGAUGGCAGUGUCCUUAAUGGAUAUGUGUCCCAAUGAAGAUAUCUCAAUUUUUUAGGAAGAUAAUCUAGGCCAUUUGGAAGCUGCACUUUAGAGUAUGAAAGUUGCUCUUCAAUGCUCAUACUUAGAAACCUUUCAAUCUCAGGUACAUAAAAUUUGAGCAAUCUUAGAUUAGACAUUUUUGUGAAGGCUCCUGGGUCUAAAUUGAUGCCUUUUAUUUUGGACAAAUCCAGAAAUAUGCCUUCAAUUGCAUCGGUCCCCUUAUUAAAAAAAAAAAAAACAAAGAAUGAGUAACCCUAAAACAGAAAAGAAACAUUCGUAAACUUUAUUAACUAAGAGCUUCUUAAACAAAAACAAAUUCUGCAAUCUUUGAUUUUAUUUUUUUAAUAUAUUAAAUAUCUAUAUACGAGAAAAGAAAAUUUUGGGGACCAUUGCAAAAUUAAACUAACCGAAAAAAAAUUCAAAAUUUCUCUAAUUUACAAACCUGUUAUCUUAAUAACUAGAAGUUGAGAAGACAAGGCCUAUUUGAUUGGUAUAAGAUUUCGAUUUGUUUUUUAGUCCAUAGAAUCCAAAAUGUUAGUUCAAAAUUAGGGAAAAAAAAUGAAAGUUAUUUUUUUUCCACUAGUUGUAAUUGUUUCCAAGUCAAAUUGAGAUACGACCCUUUUCGAAAGGAUUUAAUCAUCUUAUAGCCUCCUUAAGAUACAUUUAAGCUAAAAGGAGUGAUUGGAGGCAGAACUAGGUGGGCCAAUCAGUCCCUUUUAUUAGUGACUGUUGCUUAAAAAAAAUUAUACUCUAAAACACACUUACUUUUUUGAAAAAAAAUAUAAUUAUAUUGAAGUAGAACCAGGUGGGCCAAUCCUCAUGGCACUCACUUUGUUCUGACACUCUUCACUAAAUUUGAAGAAAAAUAAAAUUAUACUCUUCACACUCUUAUUCAACAUUCCAAAAUUGAUAAAAUCUAGAGUUUUCUUUAAAAAUUUAAAAUUUGAAGACUUGUUCUCUUGACAUCCUCAGUCAUUAAUUUCACCUAAUUAUGGUUUUUAUGAUUUUGGUUGUUUUGUUCAUAAAACAAUUUUACUAAAGGAUGUUCUCGUAAUAAUAAAAAUUAUAAAAAAAACAUGGGUGUGCUGGUAUGGUUGGGAAAAUACGAGUACAGAACUCCAAACAAAUAAAAGAUUUAUAUAAAAAAAAAUGGAGGAUUCUUACCAUAUUAUGCUUUAGUACGCGGCGGAUUUCCUUAGGAUCCCACAACCUACUACGUCUGCCUGGCACUUCCUCAGAUUCUUGGCGAACAGUCUCUUGGCCCAUUUCUUGCAAUAAAUCAUGCAUUUGCAAGCGGUUAUCUGACACAGUUAUGAGUGACUUGUCGACGAGGACAUCCAGUCUGUGAGACCCAGAAUCAUCAAGUAUCCUUAACACAAAAUCUUUAUCCUCUCCCUCAAGGAAACACGCAAUAUCUAGAAACAUACUCUUCACCCUGGGCGUUAAUUCUUUAAAACUAAUCUUUAAUGUAUCAUAAAUACCAUGAAUAUCAGAUUCACAAAUCCGAUUUAAGUCGUGCAAUACAUUUUCCCAAUGGCUUUUCCUCUUGAGAUACAGGGAGGAACCCAACACUUUAAGAACUAAUGGAUUGCCAUCAGCAUACUCUACAACUCUCCACGAGUCACGUUUGAAAUCUUCAGGACGAUGCUUUUCUUUAAAAGCGAAGUUACAAAAGUGCUCGAAAGCCUCAUCAAAUUUCAAUCCAUUGACCCUAUAUAUUUUCUCCACUCCAAAUUUUUCGAGGACUCGUUUAUCCCUGGUGGUUACAACAAUUCUACUUCCUGGACCAUAUUGAUCAAGCCCUCCAAUCAAACCCUCUAAUUGUUCAUCUUUAUUCACAUCAUCGAGUACAAUCAACACCUUCAUGCGUCGGACCCUCCCUUUAGUAAAUUGUGGAAUAUUGGGACCAGCUACUUCAAGUUUUUCACUUAAUAUUGUCGAAAGCAUUUCCUUUUGUAGGUCUUCUAGGCCACCCUCUGUUUCUGAUUUUCUCCUAACAUUUUUUGCAAAGUAUUUACCAUCAAACUCACCAGCGAAUUGAUCGAAAAUAGCUUCAGCAAGGGUAGUUUUGCCUAUACCGCCCAUACCCCAAAUUCCAACAAUUUGGACAGUAUCCGACAAAUCCAUACACAAAAAUGGUUUAAUCUGCUCAAUUCGUGAAUUUAAUCCAACUAGGCCGUUGGAUGAGUCCGUUGAGACUGUUAUUUUUUCCAACUUCUUCAAAACAUCUUCGACAAUUUUGUUUACAAGUUGCGCAUCAAGCCUAAUAUGAAGGUGCAAAGAUGCAAAAACAUUGAGUCAAAUCGGGCCAAGACAGAAACAGAGAAAAGAUGAAUUAGGAAAGAGAGUUACCUGAAUUUCGUGGAUUCAUGGCCGGCUAGAUGGGAUGUUUCUGUCAGUGCAUCCCUCCACUUCUGAACCAUUUCUUGUUUAUCUUUGAACUGUUUUUUGAGCUCAUCAAAACGGUCUCCAAAUGUUCCGUUUUGAUGCCGCACAUCAGAUGGACUUACUCCAUAGAAGAAUGGAAUAAUAAUUUGGCCGUUUGUGUUCUUGCAUUCAAGAAUCUUGACAAGUUCAUUCAGGCACCAUUUUGAAGAAGCGUAGUCCUUCGAGAAAAUGACCACCGAAAUUUUUGAACCUUGGAUUGCGUUCAAAAGGGCGGGUGAAAUCUCAUCUCCUCGCCUAAGCCCUUCAUCAUCAAUAAAUGUUUUGAUUUUCUUUCCUUCAUACAAUUUAUCAUAGAGAUAGCAAGUAAAGCUCUUACGAGUGUCCUCCCCUCUAAAGUUGAGGAAGACUUCAUAAUUGGCACAAGAAGAAGAGGAAGCCAUGAAGGAAAUUUUAGAAAAUUGGUGACAGAAACAGAGAAUUAAUCUUGAGAGUUGAGAGAGGAGAUGUAAGAAUGAACAUGUGCGAAGAUUCUUGCGAGUACAUAGUAAAUAAUUGAAUGGCUGGAGCUUUCUUAGUUUCCUGGAAAUUUCCUGGAGCUUUCGUAUACAUGAUUUGUCAAGUCAUGAAACAUAAUCAUGAUAAUGGGGCAGACCGAAAAGAAAAGCAACAAUUCAAAUAUUUGAUUCAACCAGUAUAAAAAGGAAGGAAAAGCAAAGAAAGGAAAUGUUGAAAGUAGAGUUAGGGAAUUAUAAAAAGCUGAAGGAAAUUGGAAUUUUGUACAAUUUCUCCAGCGAGGAACUUUCACAGUCGUUACCUCAUUGUUACAGUUUAGAUUAAGAUUUGAGGGUGCAAGCAUUUACCUAGAUUUUACCUCCGCACUAAAUUCUUAAGUUUGAAAAAUUAUGAGACCUUUAUAUUGGAAGAUAUUAUAAUCGAAUCAAAACUUAAAAUUUUAAUAUUGUUAAUCUUUAAUCUUUAAAAAAAAUUACCUUGCCGUUACAAUUUGGAUUAAGAUUUGAAUAAGCAUUUACCUAAAUUUUAUCUCCGCCUGUAAAUUCUUAUGUUUUAAAAAUUAUGAGACCUUUAUAUUGGGAGAUAUUAUAAUCGAAUCAAAAUUUUGAAUUUCAAUAUUAUUAUUCUUUUAAAAAAAAUUUGAGAUAACAGAGUGAUUGAUAAUAGAGAACUUGUCUAGGCAAACACAUGCAUACACAAAAAUGUGAUGGAUUCAAAAAGAAAUUAAAGUGAUAAUGUACGUGGAUCCUUAAAACAAAAAGCGAAAUCGCUUGGUGGCCCAGUAAAAUUAAGACUGAAUAUUUUUUACACGAGAAGUGUAGCUCAUAAAUGGCAAAAGCCAUUUCAUUUCACUUUUACGCGUCAUUGACUUUUGUAACAUGGUGCAUGCAUCGUCAAGUGAGGCAAAAGGGUUUCGAUUACAGUGGGAAAACAUGAACAAGAAUGCAUAAUGAAUAAUUCCUUUGAUAAAGCGAAAAUUAAACACAGAAUAAUCCUAAAAUUUAAACUCUAAUAUCUUAUAAUUUAAUGAUUAAAAAUAAUCCUAAGAGUUCCCAAUUGAAACUUUCAGAGAUAAUAGAAAAUAGCUAUGCUUUAAAAGGCCAAAGAUUAGAGAACAAAGAAGAAUUAGGUAUUGAUAUAAAAAUUAUUAAUUUUUUUGAUUUCAAGCAAAAAUAGUUUCAUAUACCAUUUCGAUUUUGGUAGGGGUGAGGUUUUGAACUUCAAUAGUUUCCUCUAAAAUCAAAAGGUAGUAAUUAAGUUAGAAAGAGCAAAGAAGACUUAUCGGUACCUUAUUGAAGGUAAACAUUAUGGAACUUUCAAUGUCAUUACCCCACUGUUUAAUUUUUAUUGAGAUUUGUGCAAGCAUUUACCUAAAUCUUACCUCUGCCUGUAAAUUCAUAAGUUUUGAAAAUUAUGAGACCUUAUAUCGGGAGAUAUUAUAAUCGAACUAAAACUUAAAAUUUCUUUUCUUUUUUUUUUUUUUUAUCAUAAAAGGGCUCUUAAGAGAGCUAAGGCAACACUAAAUGGGAGUGUGCAACCCCAUGAACAUCAUUAAUCAAUAUGUUUAGCGUAUUUGGAGGAAUAGAUUGAAAGCAAUGUAAACCCAAAGGAAAAGAAAAGCUGUACGAAGUAAGGAAAUCUGCUGCUACAUUGGUUUCUUGGUAGAUAUGAUCCACUUUGAUCAGCCAAUCACGCCGAAGGAGUUCUUCGAUGGCCUGAAUGAGAGUAAAAUGCUCAUUGACGGGAGGGUUUGAGUUAGAGAUUAACUUCAUAACACACAUGCUGUCCACUUCCACGUAAAACUUAAAAUUUCAAUAUUAUUAUUCUUUAAAAAAAAAUUGAGAUAUCAGAGUAAUAUCACAUAGAAAAACUUGCCCACGGACGGUAAGCCAAAAGUCUAGUCAACCACAUGCAUAAAGCUAAGUAGAACAAGAGAACAGAGAAACGCGUGGGUCCCUAAAGAAAAGGCAAGCACAUAAAUGAAAAAGCCAUUACAUAUCUAUUAACACGGUGUGGCAGCAUAUGCACAAUCAAGUGAGGCAAAAGGGAUUCGAUUAUCGUGGCAGAACAUGGACGAGGACGCGUGAUGAAUAAUUCCUUCGUUAAAACCAAAAACAAACGCAGAGAAAACAAUUUCUUAUAUGACAAGAAAUCAAAGUAAUGUGAAGGAACAUGAUGAAGAAAUUGCAGACUGAUCAAUUAUCCCCAUGGACUCCUAUAAAUUCAACCAAAAUAACAAUUCGAAUCUUACCAAAUUCUUGAGUUAAAUUUAUUCAAUGCUUUUAUUUUUUUAGAAAAUUUUUUUCCAAUGCUACUUUUCCUUUUUUGGGGAAAUUAGAACCGCGGCAUGUAUAGAAAACAUUGAGGUGUAAAGCAACAUUAAUUUCAUGGGAUAUGCGUUAUACGCAUAAUAUAUUUUCAGUCCAAAUUCAACUAUACAAAGAGGCUUGAGAACUUAAAAUUAAGCACAAACUAAACAGACGAAGUAAAUACAUGAUUAUGCAACAUAACAUUAAUUCUCUCAAUUGAUAACUGUUUUUGCUACAUGAAUCUUGCACAGUUAAUCCUAAUUGAAGACUAAAAAAGAGCAAUUGGAAGAAGGUUUUGGAAUAGAAUGGUAUACAAUCGAUAUGAUCCUUUUCCAGUAGUCAACGCUAAUUAACUGCAGUUUCUAGACUCCUAAUUAUACUAGCCAUAGCAAACUAUUUAGAAAACUGGUGAUCAAAUUAGAUUUUGAAAGGAAAUAAUGUUCAUUUUCCCUUCGCUGCCUUUUCUUUUCUUUUCUUUUUAUAGCAAAGAAUUAUAUCAUGAAAAGAAUCAAUUUAAUCACCUUUUCCAGCAGCCCAAUUUUUCUUUUAUAAAAUUUGACCACGGAGACAAAGAAGAAUUAUUCAUAACUUCAUCACUAAGGAAAUACUUUUCGGUAUGGCUAGGGUGAGAAAAUGCUUUCCACUAACACUUGUACUUUGUAUUCUUGUAAAUUUUCUUUAAAGUCAAUAAAAACCAUAAGUUCUUUGCAAUAACCAUCUCUUUGAUCAAAAAGUGCCGUAUUCCUUUAGAAUUUAAAACCGGCAAAACCGAAUCAGUGUCUUUGAAGAGACAUAAUGGUCGUAAUUCUUUAAAUGAGUUGGCUAUGGAAAUCCUUAUCCAAGAUUCUUUUAUGCCAUAUUCUUUCGUAAACCAAAAUUCAUUUUGAAAUACUCUAUUGAAAAUGUCAAAUAAAACGGCAUUGAAGGAAGUUUUCAAAGGCAUAAUCCGCACUUGUCAAAGGGAUGAUCUGCACUUGUCAGAGACACGAUCCGCGUCGAACGAAUCGACACAUUUCCUUUCGUAUUCGCAUAUGUAAUCUUUGAAAAAAUGUAGCUUCCGCAUCUAUAAAUAACGCUCAGUGUAUAAUGUUUUAUUCAAGAAAAGAAAACAAAUUUCUUCAUACUCCUUGUCCGAACAUACAGAGACAGUCUCUCAUAACUUCAGCCGAAUACUUAUGAUGAUGAUCAUUUGUGAUUUCAUCAGGCAUAGGGUUGAUGGUGAAAAAUUUUGUAUGUGUGAAGAAUUGAGCUGUGGAUAUAGGGGACUUAAGUGUAAUCGAAAGAGAGUUAUUAGGCCAUAGUGCAGAUUGCAUUCAGUUUAUGGGUCGAUAUGCAAAUAAUUUGUUGACGUGGCGAAAUCUGUUAUGGUCGUUACUAUUGUUUCUGGAAAUUUUCUAGAAACCUCAGCAUAAAAGGGGCUUUUGCAUAGCCUCUGGUGUGCGUGUGAUUUCUCUUUCGUUUCCUCAUCAAAUUCUGUAAUUCUUGCUUUGAUAAAAAGCUUGUAAUCAUUUCUGUAAUGUGUGAUCAGUGCGUAAUCAUUUUGAGCAAUAAAAGCUUGUGGGUUUUUCCUUCAAACAGUGUCGUUUUGGUCAGUUUGUUAGUUUGAUCUGUUGGUGGAAUUUUCUUUGGUUAUUUGUUCUCAAAUUUCAACCGUAUAUAAAGUUUGAACUCUAAUGGCUUAUAAUGUAUUGAUUAAGAAUAAUCCUAAGAGUUCCCGAUUGAAAUUUUUAAUGACUAUUUUUAUUGUUUUGGAUAUACAAAUUGCAUUAAGAAAAAAUAUUGUCAAAUUCAGAGGAUAACGGGAAAUAAUUAUGCUUCAAAAGACCAGAGAUUAGAGAAUAAAGAAGCAUUCAUUACUGACAUACAAAAGAGAAACACUCCAAAAUUGCAAGCAAACUAGUUUCAUAUACUAUUUGGAUUUUGGAAGGGGUGAAGUUUUGAGCUUCAGUUGUUCCUCUAAAUAGCAAAGAAGACUUAUUGGUACCUUACUGAAGCUAACAUUGUGGCACGGUUGUUCAUAUGUAAUGGCUGCUCUGUUAUGGUAGCUUCUCUGUUUUUGCUCACAGUUUUGAACAUGAAUUCUUGCUCAAAUAACCCAUAAUUAAUUAACAUUAAAAUGGCUCGUGAAAUCCCAUAAUAGCUAAUUACGCAACUUUCUCCUCCUCCUCAAUUAUGUCUUCCCCUGCUCGUACAAUAAAUUCAAAAUUCAAUGCCCCGAAAAACAACACAAGAAAUCUUUGAGUUAGUUCGUGACCAGUUUAUAUAUAGUAGCAAUUGAAAAAAGAAAAAGAAGAAAAGAGUUAAUUAUUAUUCAGACCUUCACUUAUUAGGAAGUUUGUUCUGCUAUUGGGUGAGGUCAAGCUCUCAGCAUAUACUUCCACAUGAUACUUUCUAACAUUUUCUUGAAAGCCAUCAAUCAUAAAAUCUUCAUACUUUUUUCCAUCCUUUGGAUCAAUGAGUACAAAUUUCUCAUCUAAAACAGACAAAAUAAAAUCACUGUCCUUCAUGGAACAUAAUGGCUGCAAUGCCUGAACUGAAUUGGCUAAUGAAACAUAGUCUUCUUUUCUUUCUCGACAUGGAACAUAGUCUUCUUUUCUUUCUCGACACAUGUCUCUGUACUUUUCUCUCUCUACUGAUCCACACUUUUUCAUACUUCUAACUAUCAUUUUGUUUUUUUUUUUUGAGUUGUGAUUUAUUCAAUUAUUUUGUAUUUUUAAUGACAAUUAUUUAAUAUUUAGUUAGUGUUGAUAUUGAUUAGUGAUUGAAAGUGUAUUUUAGAAGACUUCCGGUCUCUUGAAAAAAGGAAAAAUGGAGAAGAAGAAGAAGUGUUCUUGAUUUUUUUGUAGGCAUUAAAGUUAAACGGUUUGAAAUGAUAUUUUGUUUUAAUUUCACUCAUUAAUCUCAUUCAGGAUAAAAUUAUAAAUGCAAAUAAAUGGGGUUUCAUAAGUAUUUUUAAUAGUGUUAAAAGGUCUACUAACUAAAUAAACAUGUUUUACCCAAACCAAUCCGAUUAAUAAGUUAUUGGGUUGGGUUGAUCAGGUUAAAAAUCAAAAUUAAAAAUUAAAUAAAUAAAUAAGGCAUAAAAACUAUAUGUUACUUGAAAAUAAAAAGAAUUUCUAAUAGUUAGUUCUAAUGUCCCAUAUCCAAAACAUGCAUAUUAAAUAAAUAUUAUAAGUUAGAAAUAAAAUAUCCAAGAAAUAAUGAAUGAAAUACCAUAUUUUUGUUGAGAAUUAAGAGUGUGAUUUUAAUUUUGAUAUUGGAGUCUAAAGCAAUAGAUAGUACAAUGAAAUCAUGAAUGCUACGUUUAAAUAAUCUCUUUUAUAAAAUAAUAAAAAGAGGUUAAAAAUUAGGUUAGCAUUUAGGGUUUAGCAGUUAAGGAUGAACAUAUUAUUAUUGUUGUUGUUGUUGUUAUUAUUAUUAUUAUUAUUAUUAUUAUUAUUUACAUAUUAAUUAAUCCAACCCAACUCAAUUAUUAACGAAUUUGAAAAAAAAUGACCAAAUUAAUCCACAAUAAUUCAUUCAACUCGUCUAAAUUAGAUUAGAUUGAAUUUGAUUUGCUACACCUACAUUGAGCAACAAACCUCAACGCGAUUCUAUGAGCUCUUUGAUUGUUUAUAAAAUUGAUUUAGAGUACAUAAUGGAGUGUAUCGACAAUGAAAGUGCAAAACAAAUUAUUGUAUACAUUAAAAUCUGCAAAACAAUGAAUUAUAUGUACGAACGAGUGCAAACACAUUUUUCAAUAAGAAGUUAAAAGAUAUUUAUGCAUGAAAAAGCAUACGUUUGUAGUUACUCUAAAUUUUUUAAAAAAAAUUUACAUUUAGAUCCCUAAAAUUUACGUAUAAGUACAAAAGUUUCAAAUAUUGUCUAUUAUUUUUUAACAUAUGCCUAUUCCUUGUGGAUAAUUCUGUCUCAUCACUAAUGUUGUUUCUUGCUUACAAAAAACAAAUGUCAUCUCCUUUUACAAUUUUUAUAGCGUCUCAAAAUAGACAAUGGGGGGAUUUUGAAUUUUUUAAGUCUCAAGAUAGUCUCUAAUCUUGUGAGAAAGAUUUUCUUUCAAUAAUUUGGAGGUAAAGAUAACAUAAUUUUUUGGAUAGUGUGCAUGUGUAUUUAAUUAAUAAUUUUUUAAAAAAAUACAUCAAAUAUUAAUAUCCAUGACAUAAUUUAGUUCUUAAUUUUUUUUAAAUACAUCAAAAACAUAAUUUUUUUUAACAACUUAUAGGCAUGACAAAUUUCAAGAUAUAAAUAUCAGUCAAAAUAAGUGAAAGAAAUAAUGGUGCCAAUUCUAAUUUCUUAACUAAAUUAAUUAGUGCAUGAGCCCCGAAUACGACACGAGAGUUUGAUGGGCUAACUUGGCACAAGAACGUGAAUAAAUAAUUGAUUUAAGAAAUAAUUCAACGAAAAAUAUAAUUGAUAAGAAUUCAGUAUUGAAAUGAGUUUUUUUGUGAAACACUGAAUUAAUGAUUAUUAAGCAAGAACAAUAAAAAAAUAAAUAUUAAUCAUUGAUAAGUUUCAACAAAAACUUAACACAAUCCUCAAUCCUCAUUCAAAUGAUAAAUGUCAUUCAUAUAUUCAUUAUAAAUCAACAACAAAGGUUAUAAAUGUUUAGAAAUUCUAGAGGGAAGGAAGCUAUCGCCGGACAAUCAACAACUAAAUUUGAUGUAAUUGUGGCACGAGAUGGAAUAUGGAAACUACACCAUAAUUUCAAAUGCCGCCAUAGACAUUGACUUAUCAUAAUAACAAUGAUCUAAUUAAAAUAAAAACAAAGUUUAUGGGCAUUUAUUAUUUUGCCAUUCCUCAUUUGCAAAUAGGGAUAUAAUUAUAAUUUUACCUAGUCAAAGCAAUCGGUAGUUUUCUUCAUUAUAGGAGUGAAGUAAAAACAUUUAGAUUUCAAUGUAUGUACGGAAAAAUUUGUCUUUAAAAAUACUUUCUUAAUGUGUGUAUGCAUAUUGAAAUACUCAAACCAAUUUUGGUUAUAUAUAAUUAAACAAAUUUUAAAAUAUGAAAAAUAUAAUGUAGUUAUAGUGGAUAAACAAUAAGUGAGCACAAUAUAAUUAAUCAAAUAUUAUGCCAUCAAAAGUUAAUUUUAGAAAUUCCAAAUCCAAUAGCCAACACAAUUCUUUUUUUUUUAAAAAAGUUGACACAAUUAAUAAAAUUAGCGACAUGAAUUUCACGCCAUUGAUAAUCAGCAAUUAGUAUUACUUUCUAAACUUGCUUCAACUGGUCGUUGAUGUCCGGGUCACCAAAAGUAUAAGCGAUAAUAAGGGGCAUUGGGCAAGAGUGAUGAAUGUUUAGUCGGUGCAUUUGAUUGAUAGAUAUAUAAAGGGCCGAAACUUGAGAUUAUAUUACUUUUACAAAUUUUAAUCCAAUCACAUAUUUACUGAAAACAAAAUGAGUUAGGAUACUUUAUUUAGAACCCACAUUUUAAUAAGGCUUCAUUUGAUGUAGUUUUUCAAACAGUGAUUAUUUGAGUAAAGUUUCCUCAAUAGAGUUUUUAUCAAAUAAAUUUUAUUUAUUUGGUUGUCGAUAAGAACUUUUAUUAAAAAUUAUAAAAUUAUUUAAAUAAACAUAUUUUUUAAAAUUACAUUAUAAAAAGAAUUAAAUAAAGUUAUAAAAGUAAAAUAUAUUUUAGAUAUUUUAAUAUUUAAGAAAAAAAUUUUGAAUCUCUACUUUCAGAAGCUCAAAUUUUUAGUUUUUAGUUGUAGAGACAAAAUAUCUUAUUUAAUCUUUAAAAGUUCUGCUAAAAACAAUCAAAUAACUAUAAAAUUUUUAAUAAGAGUAUAUAAAAUUAAAUAAGCAUUUAUUAAUAAUCACUUUAGUGUACUUAUCUAAUGACCAUAAGUGUUUAUUUAAUCUCAUAAGUUCUUAUUUAAUCUCAUGAGCUCUUUUCAAUUUUUUUUGUUGUUUGCUUUUUUUAGUAGAGUUUUUGAAAAUUAAAUAAACUAUUUUGUCUCUAUUAGGAAAAACUCAAAUUUUAGGUUUUUGUGAGUAAAUGUUUAAAUUUUUUUUAAAAUAUUAAAAUAUUAAAGUAAAAGUUGUAGAGACAAAAUAUCUUAUUUAAUGUUUAAAAGUUCUGCUAAAAAUAAUCAAAUAACUACAAAAAUUUUAAUAAGAGCAUAUAAAAUUAAAUAAGCAUUUAUUAAUAGUCACUUUAGUAUACUUAUCUAAUGACCAUAAGUGUUUAUUUAAUCUAAUGAGCUCUUUUUAAUUUUGUUUGUUUGUUUUUUUAGUAGAGUUUUUGAAAAUUAAAUAAACUAUUUUGUCUCUAUUAGGAAAAACUUAAAAUUUAGGUUUUUGUGAGUAAAUGUUUAAAUUUUUUUUAAAAUAUUAAAAUAUCUUUUCUUUAUUUCAUAAUCUUAUUUCAUUCUUCACAACAUAACUUUAAAUAACUCACCUAUUAAAAUAAUUUCACAAUUUAUAAUAAAAAUUUUAAUUGACAAUCAAAUAACAAAUUUUUUUUUAUAAAAACUCUAAUAAUAAAAAUUCUACUUAAAUAAAUUAUAUUUGAAAAGGUAUACCAAACGAACCUAACAUAAAAACAAAAAUUUUUACAUCCACACAAUUAAGCUUAAAACAAUUUCAAAUGAAUUUUAGACUACUCAAAGUACAAUACGUACCAAGUUUGGUAACUUAUUGGGGUCCGCUUGUAAUACAGCGUCUGUAUCUCAUACAGCCAAAUUUAAUAAUUUAUUAAGAAAAAGGGCAACCAUUAGAUAGAAGUAGAUACAUCCAACGGUUAAAAUGUUUGAUUACUCAUUUUGGCGACCGGAUAUGCCAGUUAUUAUUUCAUCAAUUAACUUACCUAAAAAAUCACAGCCGUUGGAUUGAGAUGCCUCUCUUUCCCUCAAAAUAACAGCCUUCGUAUUCUCUCUGCUAUUGUUUUCUCCUACAUCCAGAAUUUUGGAUGAAUGAACUUGGUAUUCAACAAUAUUCACCACCCAUCACAGCAAAGAGCAAAGAUGUAGUCAAAGGAGUGCCAUUUAUUCAGGCUAACUCGAUCUGUCACUCUCGCUUCAAUUCGUCACUCAUUUUCUCGCGCUCAGCUUCAAUCUAUCACUCUCAGCUUCAGUUCGUCACUCACAGCUUCAAUUUUUCACUGUCGUGAAUCAUCUCUCUUGCUGUAUCUCUCUCUUAUGUCUUCCAAUAAUUUCGGUGAGCUCUCUCUCUAAUUUAAUAUAUGAUUAAAAAUCUUAUCAUCUUAUCAUGUCAUUUAAAUAUGCUUGAAGUUUCAAUUUAGUUUAUGAAUAUUACUUGAAAUUUCAGUUUCAAUAAUUUGAUUUUGCAAUUGAGAAAUUAUUACUUGAAAUAUUGAGAUGAUUUCUAGGGAUUGAUAAUUGAAUGAUAAUUGCUAAGGCUUGUCAUUUUUUGUUUUUGAACAGAUAGAGUUACAAUUAAGUCAUACUGCAAUAUUUUAUCUUGAGAUUCUAUUAUUCACAAAAAGAAAAAAAUCAUAAAUUGAAAAAAAAAAAAAAGAGGUUACGAGCAUCAAGCAACUGCAAGUAAUGGGGUUUGUUUUGAUGAGCUGCGAAUUGGGGCCUGUCAUUUUCUUGAAGUAUCUUCAAUAUAAGUGGAAGGAGAUUUCUUCUCUCCAAAAAAUUAUUGUAUAUUUCCUUUUAAAUUCUAGAUUCGCAUGUAGCUGAUUUUUUAUGUUUGAAGGAUUUUAUUAAAGAAUGUGCUGCUGCUAGUGGCAUGAAUUAAUGUAGUCUCGCUAGUAUUCGUGAUUUGGGGUAAGGAUCGAAUUGAACAAUUAUAUUUCUAUUAUUCUUAUAUUCGAAUCCAGUGAUAUUGUGGUGGUUUUAUGAUAAUAUUCAAUUGUUUUGUGCCUCAAAUCAGCCAAUGAGUUGGGUAUGUGCUGGGUAUAUGCCGUAUGGGCUUGUUGUUGAAUUUGCUUGACCUUGGAUGUGAUUCUUGCCGUGUUUAUAAGAAAUAGACACAGGUCUUUGUGUGGUAAUAGAAUUGUCUAAGGUGCCUUACAAUAAAUUUAAGAGUCUUAAGUAACUAUGCUUUGUAACCUUAAACCUUUAUUUGUACGACUUGGUGUUCUUGGUUGUGAAAGAAUGUUAAAUGUUGACCUAUUUUCAUCGGUGAAGAUAAAUGAAGUUAGGGAAGGUUUGUAAUCACUAUAACCCUGACAAUUUUUUUGGUGGGCCGUGAUAAUUUUAUUCAUGGCAUGUACUUUGUUUUUAUCAGAAGGCCCUGUUUGCUUGUAGUCUCAAAUCUAGGGUAAUAUUUUAAAUAAGUUCUGCAAUAUAUGUUUUGCUAUUUUUCUUUUUUGUUUUUAUUUUAAUUAGUUUUAGUAUUACUUGGAGGGGAAUUCUGAUCUGCUGAAGUUUAUCAAGCUGGUGCAGUGGUGCAGCAAGCAGACCUUUAUCUUAAUCUUAUGAUUGUGCUAAGUGGAAUUUUGUGUAAGUUACAACAAUAUAAUUUUUUAAAGAGCUGACAAGACGCUCUCUCUUUUUUUUGGAAUGUUGAGCAAAACUUUUCUUUCUUAUUAGGUGUUUAUAAUAAUUCAUAGCAUGGGUUUUGUCAUAUUGGUUUCAAUGCAUUGAUUUGAUCUUGGUUACAACCCAUCAGCCCUUACUCCUCAUUCCCAGCAGCUUUUAAUGCCUUUUUUUUAAGCAUUGUACUUUGUUUCAUGAUGAAAUUUGUUUAUAUGACGCAAAGUUGAGGACACGGUAAUAGUCAUUAUUUUAAUUUAUGCAACAAAGAUCAUUAUCCAUUAAAUUUUAUGUUGUUGAAAUAUUUAGAUUUUGUAAAUUUUGUUGUAAGAAAUGAGGGCUCUUGAUCCCAUCCCUUUAUUAUAUACAAUUUUUUUUCACUCUGUCAUUCAUUUAUUGUGUGUUAGAGGUAUUAGUCAUGUGCAAAAGUAAAGAUCUUUAUUUUGUUAUUUUUGUCAUCUUGUGCUUCAUUGGUAUAAAUGAGGAAAAAAAAGAAUAAAAUAAAAUAAAAUUAUAGUUUGUGCAUGAAUUCCACCAUAUAUGAAAUGUUUAAUAGAUUAAAAAGUAAGGAGUACACAGUGACUUUGAAUAGCAGGUGGGGGAACUCAUUUUGUUUUAAAAAAAAUUAAUACAUAUUGAUAGAAUAAUUAUCCUUCACUUAAUUAUUUAAAAAUUUUAUUUUGGAAGAAUACAAAUGGACAGUCACCAAUGAAAGCGUAAACGACUACCAGGGGGCUUACAGAAAAAAUUGCUCCUAUUCUAAAAGUAGAUGGUCAGGACAAAGUUCCAACAACUUCAACUUAUGGAUUUGUCUCUUACUUGUAAGGUAAUCUCUUCUUGUAGGGUGUUUAAUUGAAUUAAAAACAGAAUAUUAUUUGCAUUAUAGAGUACAGGCAUAAAUUCAUUAUCUAUGUCAGUUCAUUCAUGAUUUUACUCCAAAUGGAGUAAUAGAUCACCAUUAAUUUAUUGAUACAUCGUCCAUGUUUGUUUUCGUCUUCAAUUUUUAUAUUACAAUAUCUAAUCUAUUUAGUAUUCGUAAAAAAACAUACGAGAAAAAGUUGGAAAAACACUUUAGGGGUGAUUGUGUACACUUUCGUAUGGCACAAAUAGCGUUAGGCUUUGUUUUUUAAGUGGACGACGUGUCCAUUUUUUGUGUUACAUCUUACUCAUUAAUAUAUUUUUGAGUUUCUUAUGGAAAAAAAAUUGAAAAAACACUUUAAGUGAAAAAAAUUUGUAUUUCAAUUUAUAUGUAACAGUGAAUUGGAAAAUAAAUUCUACCAAUAAUUAAAAGAAUACUUUUCUUUUAAUUAUUAAAAAGAUAAGGUAGUUACUCAUUACCCAUAUAAAUGGACAGUUUUAAUUUGUUCCAUAUCUAUACAACAGAAGAGCUUCAGACACGGUUUGCAGCGUUCCACGAUCACUUCCAUUCUAAGCAGCAGCGUCUUCCGUCUUUUUGCACACCAACAGCAGAUUCUAGAUGGCCAGAAGCUCAUCUGCCGCACUCUCGGGAUUUCGCUGCCAUCCUCAUCUUCAUCUCCACUACCUCCUCAGUGAUUAUCCCCUGGUUUUAUGCUCAGAAAUUAUGAUUAUUAUGUAUCUUGUUUUCAGAUUUGUCAAUACUUGUUAUAUUUUGAUUAUGCAUUAUGGACAUUUUUCAUAAGAUAGCUUAAUUUUGUGGUUUGUGUUGACGAUUUCCAUGUAUGGAUGUUUGGAUAGGUAAUUUCGCCUUCCAUGCAUUCUUCAUUCCUGCAUCCUGUGGGAGAAAAUUGGAAAAAGUGGUUUUUGAUGAGAAACGGGGAGAAGGAUGAGAUAUAUAUUUUUGAAGUGUCACAUUAUUUCAAAAACAAACCCCAAAUUUAAUUUCUCUUACCGAUCAUGAGUUAAAAUAUAAAAAUUAACGUUUACUCAUCACACUGUUAUAAGUAUCAAAGCAUUACUUAUAGAAAAAUUAUCGUCACCUAUCCUACAUUUGUGAUUGAAUAGUGGCACAAUUUUAAUUGGGAUAUUUAACAUUACUCUUUGUAAUUGUUUGGUCUUAUUUGAAGUUUGUAAAUUUUUCAUAACUAUGACUUCAACAGCAUAUUUCAGGUUGCAUUUAAUCGUUGCUAUAAUUAGGUACUUUGAAAUAAUUUAUUGGCCACGAUUACAGUCAUUGUUAUUAGUCACCCCUCUUUUUUCUCUUUUGGCCAACCAGCUCUUGGAUAUUUGGGAACCGAUGACAAUAGUUGGGAAAUUAUGUAAUAUUGGUGUGUUUGCGAAAUAAAUCAAGAGAUUUGCCUUGCCGAAGUUAAAAGAGAUAUUGUGGCCUGAAUUUUUUUUUUUUUUCUCUAGGGGCCAUGGCUCUCAAGGACAAGGCAUGAAUCAUGCAUUAUAAUUGCUCGAAAGGGUUAGUAAAAUAGCAAUCUAAAAUACCCAAGUUGGAUCUGCUGUUGAAUCACAAAAAGAACAUAAUUGGGAUAUGAAGUCAUGGUUGCAAGUGUUGGACCCUUAGGUUACGUUUGGCACGUAGGAUUGGAUUGAACUAAUUACUAAAAUUGGAUUGAAUUAUAUUCGAUUGGAUUAAACUGGAUUAUAUUAUAUAGUUCUAUGGUUAGUACAAUAUCGGAUUAAACUAUGUUAAAUUAUAUUUAAAUAAUAUUAAAUAGCAUUUAAGUUGGUAUUUUAAUAUUAAUAUCAAUUAUUCAUGAAAUUUCAUAAUCAUAAUUAAAAUAAAUUUAAAAAACAAUUACCAGGAAAAUUAAAUAUAUUGUAAAUAAGUUACUGGGUAGUCAUAAUACAGUAAACAAAUGAACAUAGAUAAAAAAAUUAAAUUUUAAAUAAUUUUUAUCAAAUUUUAAAAAAAAAUUAUAUAAAAUCAAUUAUUUAAUGGUAUUAUUAAUUUUCAUGAUUAUUUUUAAUAGUAUAUAACAAUGAUUAUUAAAUUUAAUACAAUCAAAUAAUGCAAUAAAUAAUUAAACAUUUAAUUUUAUCAAUAAAUUACUAAAUAUACAAGUGGUGAAAAUUUAAUCUCCAGAGUUAGUACAAGUAAAGGUAUUAAUUUAAUUAGAUCAUAGAUAAUAAAUAAAAAUAAGUUUUAAGUAAAUCAUAUUAAAAAUUAAUUAAUUAAUUAAUACUAGGUGUAAAUAAAAAAAAUGAUAUAAAUAAAAAUCUCAUAAAUGGACAACUUUUUUCUUUAAUCUUAUCCCAACUAAACCCAUGCGUAAAUUAGGAUUAUCAAUUCCAUGAUUUUAGGAUUAAAUUUAAAUUACUACCCCCUUAAUCCAAUCCAACUAAGCUUGCCAAACAUUGGAUAAAUAUUUAAUUCCAAAAUUAGUCUAAUCCCAUACUUAAUCCUAGAAUCCAAACAUGGCAUUAGCACCUUAUAUAACAAAGUGUCACUGAAAUACAGCAAAACGUUAUAAACAAGAACUUAUUUCUGUACAAAAUGUUAUUUACUUUUUGUGAACUUCCAAAUACCUACUAUAUGAUUUGCAAACCCUACAAAAGUCUACCUUGCAUGCUCUUUCUAACGUGAAAUUUGAUUUUUAUUAAAUUUUUGAUGUGUUCACUAAUAAAUAAUUGGAAUCUAAAAAAAUUAGAAAAAAAUAGAAUUAGAAUGAGCUACAAUAAAAAUGAGGAAUAACAAAAAAAAUGAUAUUUGUUGAGAUGAAUGAAACACAAUUGAAAUACUCUAUAUCGCUCUUAAUAUGUUCACUUUGUGAACAUAAAUUAGAAUUAGUUGUUAUAACUUAGUAAUUUAUCCUCAAUCAAUUAUUAUCAUUAUUACUAUUUGUUAUAAUAAUUGUAAUUAUUAUUUUUGAUAAUUUUAAUACUAAGAAAAUUAUUGUUAGGGGUGGAAACACCAUAUAGAGAAGGAACAAUUAAAUUUAUAAAAUUUAGUGGGGAUAAAAUAGUCACUUAAGACAGCAAGCGUCUCCCAUUCUCACCUCCACGAGCAUGAAAACACUAGUAAUCAUUCUUAAAUUUUGAUGGAAUCUGUUGCUUUUAUUCUAAUAACGAACGCAAAACCUAUGGAAUUAGUUGGAAUAACGAAUGCAAAACCUCUGGAAUUACAAUUGAAAUACGUCAACCCAAAAUGGAGAAAGCACAACUAAAAUUAGAGACCUACAAAACCAAAAAUAAACUUAUAGAAAACAAACCCGGUACCUAAUCUCAAUAAUUGGAAUCUCAACCAGUUAAUGGAAAUAUUCAACUCAAAAUUAGGGAAAAAUUAGAUGAAACACGUGAACCAUUGAGAGAGAAAGUAUGACGAAAAUUAGAAACUCAUUUAACGAAAAAUAAUAUUUACUUGGAAUCUAACCCAUGAUACUGGUACCUAAGGAACUUUAUAGGAAUAUGAAACGCAAAACCAGUGGACCAAUAAGUUGAAACAUGUGAACCAAAAAAUGAAAAACUAUAACCAAAUCUUGAGACUAAUCAAACCAAGCAAAAGUAAUAUUGAUAUUUAACCCAUAUAAUUGGAAUUUUACCAAAUUAGUUGGAAUAACGAAUGUAGAACUUGUGGAAUUACAAUUGAAAUACAUCAACAAAAAAUGGAGAAAGCACAACCAAAAUUAGAGACCUACAAAACCAAAAAUAAAUUUAUAGAAAAUAAAUUUGGUACCUAACCACAAUAAUUGGAAUCUCAACCAGUUAAUGAGAAUUCUCAACGCAAAACUAUAGGAAAAAUUAGCUGAAACACAUGAACCAUUAAGAGAGAAAUUAGAACGAAAACUUGGAACUUAUCCAACGAAGAAUGCUCGUGACUUGGAAUCUAACAACAAAUAUUGGUACUUGACUAAUUUAGUAGGAAUAUCAAAUGCAAAACUCAUUGACCAAUAAGUUGAAACAUGUAAACCAAAAGAUGAAAAAGUAUAACCAAAACCUGAGAAUAAUCAAACCAAGAAAAAGUAAUAUUGAUUUUUAACCCAUAUAAUUGGAAUUUUACCAACUUAAUUGGAAUAACGAAUGCAAAACCUGUGGAUUUACAAUUGAUAUACGUCAACCCAAAAUGGAGAAAGCACAACCAAAAUUAGGGACCUACAAAACCAAAAAUAAAGUUAUAGAAAACAAACCUGGUACCUAACCUCAGUAAUUGGAAUCACAACCAGUUAAUAGGAAUAUUCAAUGCAAAAUUGGGGAAAAAAUUAGAUGAAACACGUGAACCAUUAAGAGAGAAAGAACAACGAAAACUAGGAACUUAUCCAACAAAGAAUGAUAGUUACUUGGAAUCUAACAGUAAAUAUUGGUACUCGACGAAUUUAAUAGGAAUAUCAAACGCAAAAAUAGUGGACCAAUAAGUUGAAACAUGUGAACCUAUAGAUGGAAAAGAAUUACCAAAAUUUGUAACUAAUCAAACCAAAAAAAGUAAUAUAGAUAUCUAACCCAUAUAAUUGGAAUCUCGACAAAUUAGUUGAAAUAUUAAACAAAAAACUAGUGGAAUAAUAGUUGAAACACAUGAACCAAAUGUGGAGAAAGUUUAACCAAAUUUUGAAACUUAUCCAAUGAAGAAUGCUAGUUACGUGGAAUCUAACAACAAAUAUUGGUACUCGACGAAUUUAAUAGGAAUAUCAAACGCAAAAAUAGUGGACCAAUAAGUUGAAACAUGUGAACCUAUAGAUGGAAAAAUAUUACCAAAAUUUGGAACUAAUCAAACCAAAAAAAGUAAUAUCGAUAUCUAACCCAUAUAAUUGGAAUCUUGACAAAUUAGUUGAAAUAUUAAACGAAAAACUAGUAGAAUAAUAGUUGAAACACAUGAACCAAAUGUGGAGAAAGUUUAACCGAAUUUUGAAACUUAUCCAACGAAGAAUGCUAGUUAUUUGGAAUCUAACAACAAAUAUUGGUACUCGAUGAAUUUAGUAGGAAUAUCAAACGCAAAAAUAGUGGACCAAUAAGUUGAAACAUGUGAAUCUAUAGAUGGAAAAGCAUUACCAAAAUUUGGAACUAAUCAAACCAAAAAAAGUAAUAUCGAUAUCUAACCCAUAUAAUUGGAAUCUCGACAAAUUAGUUGAAAUAUUAAACUAAAAAUUAGUGGAAUAAUAGUUGAAACACAUGAACCAAAUAUGGAGAAAGUUUAACCAAAUUUUGAAACUUAUCCAACGGAGAAUGCUAGUUACUUGGAAUCUAACAAAAAAUAUUGGUACUCGACGAAUUUAGUAGGAAUAUCAAACGCAAAAAUAGUGGACCAAUAAGUUGAAACAUGUGAACCUAUUGAUGGAAAAGCAUUGCCAAAAUUUGGAACUAAUAAAACCAAAAAAAGUAAUAUCGAUAUCUAACCCAUAUAAUUGGAAUCUUGACAAAUUAGUUGAAAUAUUAAAUGAAAAACUAGUAGAAUAAUAGUUGAAACACAUGAACCAAAUGUGGAGAAAGUUUAACCGAAUUUUGAAACUUAUCUAACGAAAAAUAAAUUUAAUUGGAAUUUAACCCAAAAUAUUAGUGUUUAACGAGUUUAGUGGGAAUAUUAAACAUAAAACUAGUGGAUCGGAAAAUGGAGAUAAGCAAACCAAUUAGUGAGAAAGUUGAAUCAAAAUUAGGUAUAUGUGAAAUUAACUUGGAAUGUCACCUAAUAUAUUGAUAUUUAACCAAAAGAAUCGAGACAUGCUCAUUUUAAUUUUUUUAAACUUUUGUUGCAAUUAAAAAUAAUUUUUUCACUUAAAUAUUGUUUGUGUUAAAUAUUUACAAAAUUUCCUUAAUUUUUCCUGUUUCAUUUUAUUUUUUCUACAUUAAAAAUAAUUUUUUAAAAAUUAUUAAAUGAACAACCGGUAAAAUACCGGUUGUUCAAGUUUCCUUUUUACUGUUGAAGGGGCUGUAUUUUAUACAGCACUGUACUAUAGGAAGACUCAACUUAUUGACAUCUUCUCAUAUAACCUUCGAUCAAGUCGAUUCUGACCUGACGACUAAUUGGUACAUCACCGUUGUUCUCUAUACUCGCAUGCAUCGGAUCACAAAUCUCACUCCAAUUGUCGUCUUUCUUCGCCGUUUUAGCGCAUACUUCUUGAAUUUCCCGCAUUUCGUUCCCUCCUGUUACAAGUCUCCGGUCAGGUCAGUGAUUGAAUUUCCCGCAUCUCUAUCCCUCCCGUUUUCUCGCGUCGUUUCACUUCAAUUUCUCGUGUCUCCUUUCAGUUUAAGUGAUUGAAUCAAUUUUAUCGCAGUCAUAAGAGAAAUUAAGUAAUGCUCUUGGAUUUAAAAUUUUUUUGCUUUCGACUUUAGAUCUCGAAAGUCAAACUCUGCUACGAAUCCAUAGAUUCUCAAUGCUCAUAAUCUUAUUUGUGUUUGACCAGGUAACUGGAUCGUGAAAUUCGUCGUUUUGUAUCAAUUCAAGCUUUCGCGAGCUCAUGGAAUCACCUGGUGAGUUGUGGUGAAACGUUAUCGUUUCAAUUUUCGCUUAAUUCUUUAUUGCAUAUUUUUUUCUCUAAUGUUUCAGUUUAAUUUAGAAAAGAAAGAGGCCCCAAAAAGAGAGAGAGAGAGAGACUCUACCAUACUCAAUUCCUUGCUCAUUCUGAUUUGGCCUGAAUGUUGGCAUUGACUAUUAUUUGUUUUCAUUUCGAUUUAAUUCUCAUUUAGACAGUCUUUACUAACGGUCAAUAAUAGUUUAAGGAAAAUGAUCAUAGGGAUUCUGCAAUAAUCUUUCUGCAUUGUUCAAGUUAGUAGACAAUGAAUAGGAUGUUUAUGUUUACCUCAUUUUGAACCCUGAGGGCUUCGUUGAGUAGUUGAUUCAACAUAUCCAGCAACGGUUGAUGUGAGAACAGAAUGCCACUUAGAUAGGCUUAAACUGAUUUUGGAGGUUUGUAUUGGUUCUAUUGUACGUCUUGCUUACAAAUUUUUAAUUUUUAAUUUUGUAUAAUAUGCUCUUUGUUGGUAAAUCUCAUUUGACUUAGAAGAGAUAGUUUUAUCCCAACAGUGGGAUAAAUCAUUGAGAUGCAUGGCAGUGUGAAUAUAGUAGACAAAAUCAUUGAGACACAUGGUGGUGUGAACAUAGUAAACUUUGUCAAACACAGCUAAGAUAAACAAAUUGUUUCAUUAGCCUUUACCUUAUCUGCUGUGAUGAUUCAAAUUAAUGCUGUUUGGUAGGUUGCAAAAAACGAAAUGAGCUGUCUGUUCGUAUUAUUUAGUCAGAUCUAUUGCAAUAAGUUGAAGUUCAUUGUCACAUGGGUUGGGAGUAGCGUGGGCUGUGAGUAGUAGAAUGGAUUUAUGGAGUUGAUACAAGUGCCCAUAAUCUAUCAUGUCAUUCUAGGAUUAAAUGGAUUGCACAUUACUGUAAAGAUGGAGGUUAAAUUUAUAUAAUUCGGAUUGAUUGUAAAAUGGGAGGCAGAGAUGAGUUAGAAAAAGAAUGACCUGUGUCCUUUUUGAGCUGUUUCUAAAUCUCCCUGGUGUGCUUCAUGCUUAACACGUGUCUUUCCAAAUAAUUUUGCUUAACCUGUGCUUGUCUACUUCUUGUGCUAUUCUGUGCCUGGUCCUGAGCUGUGUUGGUAGAUUGACAUAAUUUUGCUCUGCUAAAUGUAUAACUUAUUAAUCAGAGUCCUGUUAUUAUGGUUUGACACUACUGACAUAUUGUGUUGGUAUUUAUUUGUACUUCCCUUGGUUGAAUUAUUUGCUGUCUCCAUGCAAUUCGAUAUGGUGCUACUUGGUUUUUGAUCAUCCAUGACGCUAUAUAUAUGUAAAGGAUGAAUUGAUUGUUUUGGCUUGUAUUCUCACAUUUUAUGAUUGAUCGAUGGAAAGGUUUUCAUGCAUUAAAUUCAACCUCACAAGCGUAAGAUUGACAGAUUGUGGGCAAAUUUUCAGGAAAAGAAACUAGACUUCAUGGAAGCAAUGAAGCUUGAAAUUGAACGUCUGCAGCUGAAUCUUUCUGCAGCUGAAAGGGAUAGAACUUUAUUGUCAAUUGGAACUGAUCCUGCCUCUAUAAAUCCAAAUGUAUUGCUUGAUGAAUCUUACAUGGGAAGACUGUGUCGAGUAGCAAACACUCUUGCAUUACUUGGCCAAGCUUCCCUAGAAGAGAAAAUUGUUGGUGCAAUUGGCCUUGAGAAUAGUGGUGAUAGUGUUUUAGACUUCUGGAAUAUUACUAGAAUCGGAGAGAGUUGUUCUGGUGGUGGGUGCGAGGUUUGUGCAGAAACUAAGGUGCCUGCUCUUGCUUCCUCAACUGCAACAUCUGUUGGAUCUUCACAAUCCCCUUUGUUGUGUUCUCAAUGUGAAAGAAAAGUUUGCAAAGUUUGUUGUGCAGGAAGAGGAGCUCUACUGUUUUCAAAUUAUAAAUCAAGGGAUGUGACCAACUACAAUGGCUUCUCAAGUCAGAGUGGAUCAAGCCAUGGAAGCCAAGUUGAUGUAGCUACCAGUCGUUCACUAACACUGGAUGGCGUUAUCUGUAAACACUGUUGCCAUGAGAUGGUGCUUGAUGCAUUGAUGUUGGACUAUGUUAGGGUCUUGAUUAGGUUGCGAAGAAGUUCCUGUGCAGACAACGCAGCAUACAAUGCUUUGAAUGAGGUUGUUGGAUCCUGCUUAAAGGAUAGUCUUUCUGAGAGGAUUCAGUCUUCCGAU
rnacentral:lncRNA from 1 species